GUGCUGUUUUUUAAUAAUUUCAUUGCGAUAGCUUAUUCUUUUUUUGCUUUUUUUUUUCCCGGUACAAGUGCAUCGCUUUCUCCUCGUGAGAUUUGCUGUGAUGAAAUGGGAUGGAUUUGACUUUUUAGUCCGUAGACUUCACUUCUUUCCUUUUAUUUUUUUUUAUUUUUUAUAUAUAGUCAUGACUUUGUGUAGAAGUCGUGAGCGAAAUUUGAGUACGGCUAUUUCAAAUCUGAGUACCGGACAGUGCGGGCUUCACUGCGGUUGGGUUUACUCUAGGUCAUUGAAAAAGUUAAAAGGUUUCAAGCACUCAACAUGGAUGAUGGUUAUCUACCGUGCUCUUUGACCAUGAAUGAAAAACAUGAACUGCUUAAUCCUUCAAGUGGUCUCUCUUCGGUGGUUUCAUUAUUGUUGUAAAUAAGUUACCAAAACCCAGUUAGUGGAUAGUUUAGUAGUUGUUGCUUUGGGGGAUGACGGUCCAUAGUGAGUGGAGCUCAGCAUAUGCUCACGAAAGGCAUUGGACUUACCUAAUAUUUUACUUGUGAAAGUGUCUAAGCAAACGGCAUGUUUGCAUAUUUUAUACUCGACAGACUUAUCUGGUAGAUGCCUUAACAAUUAAAUCUUCAGUUUUCUUUUCUUCUAUUUUUCUAAUAGCACUUGGGGUCGAAUUUGCUUCAUUACUUGUAUUGAUUCACUUAUAAUCAUUUUUACUCUGUUAUAGUAACGUAUUAAAACGUGAAAUUCAGUCUCGAGUAAGUUUGUUUUCUUUAUUUGCCAGAACUCAUGUAAGUUUGUUCAAUAAGGGGAAUAUACUCUAGUUUUUUGUUGCUUUCUAAUAAAAAUGUUUCUUCUAAUUCAGUUAAUUUUCUUCACAGAGAUUCUUACCUUCAGAAUUUGGAAAUGAUGUGGAUCGUGUCCAUGCUGUGGAUCCAGCAAAAACUGCAUUUGCUAUCAAGGCCAAGAUUCGCCGCCUUGUUGAGGCCGAGGGAAUCCCUUAUACCUAUGUGUCUUCUAACUUUUUUGCAGGUUACUUCCUUCCAACAUUGUCGCAGCCUGGGGCUACAGCCCCCCCUAGAGAUAAAGUUGUUAUUUUAGGGGAUGGAAAUGUAAAAGGUAAGAAGCAAUUUCUUGAGAGAUGCACAUUUUAAUUUUUUUAGUUUUUUCUGUACAUUUUUCACAACUUAAUCACGGUAGUGAUCAGAGUGGGGCAGUUCUUGAAGCUUGCGAAUUCCAGGCAUCUUCUGUGUCUGGAGAUGUUGGCCUUUUACAUCCAUUAGUCUUCACUUUCAGAGACUAAUAGAUGACAUGGAAGUUAUUUGGUUUAUCUUGGCACAAUACCGCCUAGGCAGCAGAUCGUGAAGGUUAUCUUAAUGUAUUUGAUAGAAAAAAGAACGUAUGGAUGCAGUUGUGUGCGAGUUGUCUGGUGAUUCUGUUUACCGAGAAAAAUCUUCUUUGAAUGCGAGCUGAAAGUAACUCUAGGAAUAUUAAUGGCUUAUAUUUAUCAACUGAAUUCUAAAAUUCUCCCUGUCAAUAUACAGCGGUGUUUAACAAGGAGGAUGACAUCGGCACCUAUACUAUCAAAGCUGUGGAUGAUCCGAGGACCCUGAACAAAAUUCUGUACAUCAAACCUCCUGCUAACACCUACUCGUUUAAUGAUCUUGUGUCUUUGUGGGAGAGAAAGAUUGGCAAGACCCUGGAGAGGGUUUAUGUUCCAGAGGAGCAAGUUCUGAAGAAUAUUCAAGGUCAGGGAUGCGUUUCUAUUUGAUUUAAGCAUGUAGAAUUGUCUAUUUCUCUCUGAGAUUUAAGUAUUCUGAUGUUGAUCGGUCUACUUGUCUGGUGAUAUUGCAGAGGCGGCAGUUCCACUCAAUGUGAUAUUGGCCAUAUCUCAUUCUGUUUUUGUGAAAGGAGACCAAACCAACUUUGAGAUUGAGCCGUCAUUCGGAGUGGAAGCUUCAGAGCUCUAUCCUGACGUCAAAUACACGACCGUGGAUCAGUACCUUGAUCAGUUUGUCUGAUGGCCGAAACUGCCUGGGAUUGGUUGAUAUUUCACAGCAGUUUGAAUCAUGAAUAUUAUAGGAUUCUGCUUGUUAGGAUCCUUGUGUAAAAUGUCGCUCCCACUGAUCAUCUUAUGGCGUGUACAACCUUCAAAUAUGAGGACAUACUAUGAACAUUCGGUUUGUUUGCAUCUAUGCAGUGCUUGGAGAAGUUUCUUCUGUUUUGGAGUUGAUAUCGUUUUUUAUUUAUGGGAAAGCAAAAAGAAAGGCAUUGGGUUUCUCUGAUUUUGUGUAUUUUAUGUGGUGCGUCCUUGGUGUGGUAAUGAAUUGGAGCCUUUGACGAUGAGGUCCACCCUUGGCAAGGAUGUCGUGGCCUUCGCGCAGGCCUGGCGAUUGGCAGGGGAAGAACGGGGAAAAAAAGAAGGAAAAAAAAGAAGGCAGGAAGAAAUGCAAAGAAACAGAAGGAAAAAAAAUAAAAAAAUCAGAUUUUUUAUUUAAGUUGGUUUUUUUUUUUUUUAAUUUUUACGUUAGUAUUGGUUGUGUUGCAUUGUUGAUUGUAUUGUAAGGUAAAUUGUUAAAAGAUUUAGAAUCAAAUUAAUUAAAUUUAAAAGUUAAAUUUAAAAGUUGAGGAUUGAAUGAAUAUAGGUCGAUUGUUGUCGAGUCAUUCGACAUUUCAACUCUCGUGAUGUUUGCUUUUAUCAGUGGAGGUUGCGAAUUGUGAAUGUAGUAACCUUGGCCAAAAAAUUAAAGAGUUAAUAUUAAGAAAAAUUUUAAAUUAGUAUAUUCGUGAUAAGUUUAUUCUAAAUAAAUUUUUUGAUCAUAAAAAAUCUCGAACUAAUAUAUUUAUGAUAAAUUUAUUUUAAAUUGAUAAACUCGUGACAAUUGCUAAACUUUUCAACUGGUGUGAUGGAUAAAUUUACCCUCUAUUAACUUCCAUCAAAUUUUACCAUUAAAUUUGUCAAGAUAAAUGACACAUUGUGAUGUGUUAUGGUGACAUGGCAAGUCCACGUAAUAAUUCAUAGGAUUAAUAUCACGAAAAAUUCCAUAUUUAUUAUAGGUGUAUCGUUAAAUUUAUUACAAAAGUAACGUUAAAUUUAUCAUAAGUAUAUCAUUUUGAGUUUUUCAUGAUAUUUACCCUAUGGACAUGCCAUAUCAUCAUGUGUCAUCCAUGUUAGCAAAUUUAACAGUAAAAUUUGACAGAAGUUAAUGGAAAAUAAAUCUGUCGCAAGUUUAUCAGUUUUGAGUUUUUUGUUGUUAAAAUAUUAGUUUUGAGUAAAUUUGUCAGAAUCUAUCAAUUUGGGAUUUUUUGUGACAAAAAAAUAAUUUGAGAUAAAUUUAUUACAAGUGUACCAGUUUAAGUUUUUUGAUGGUAAAAAAAAUUAGUUUAAAAUAAAUUUGUAAUAAGUAUAUAGAAUUUGGGGUCUUUCAUAGUAAAAAUAGAAUCCCUAACACUUCACAAUUAUGAUUACUUAAAUUUAUAGCACCAUCAAAAUUAAAUUUUCUUGUUUUUUGCUAAGUUAAAUCUAUCUUACUUCACAAUAACUUAAUUGAUCACUGAAAUUGGACAAAAUUGUUAUCUUUUGUUUAUUUUCCCACUUUCCAUGUGCCCUUUCUCCGGUGAAGGAUUGUGUCAACAAGUAAGAUUAUUUCACUGAAAAGACGAUUAUGCCCCUUUCGGAAUCAAAAUCCAUUGACAAUCCAUCAUGAAGACAAGAACCCCCCCUCUCCACAGCAGAGUCGCUUCAGAGACCGAGCAAGUUCGCCGAGAAAAACCAUGCCUCCUGCUGGGAAAACUCUCCGAUGGCCGAUUAGAGCAAACUCCUGAUGAUUGGAGGCACUUAGGGUUUCAUAAUACCCUAGCUCAAUUUGAUUAUAGUCAAACUUUCAAUCAAAACUCGAGCUUGGAUUUUAUAAGCUCAAAUAUUAUAUCAUCAUAUAUAUUGUUAUAGUUAUCAAAUGCUUUUAAUAAUGAAAGCUCUAUAAGGUAUUGAGCUAAGUACUGAAAAGCGGAAACUCAACUCAAUAAGAUACUUGAGGGAUUUGAACUCGUGCUUGACUCAAAACUAAGCAAGUCGAACUCAAGCUACUCUUGAGUAACUCGACUUGGUUUUAGCCAUAUGCGCAAGUAGGGGUGUCAAAAAAGCCCACGUUGACCAGACCCUAGUUUUCUUUGGAUACAAAUUUUUAGAUGUUUGUAUCAUGAGGGUUGGGGUAGGGUUGGGCCGGGUUAGGCUUUUUUGACAUUCUAUGUAGGGUAGCUUUGAAUAAAUUUCUGAUUUUACACCUUCAAUGGAACCAUUUUACCCGUUCUCUUGUAUUAUAUGAUAUUCGAGUCUUAAGCGGGUUGGGUCAAGUCAAUCGCGUGCCCAUAGGGUUUUGGGUUGGGCCCAGUAUCAUGUAAACGCAGUCCCAUUCCCACCCCUUGACAUCCCUAAUGCGGGAGUGAAACCUUACUAGGACAUAGGCUCCAAUUUGAGCAACCUCUUUUGACCCAUCAUCUCAGCAUCAAGCCUUAGUUGACAAAAGCGAGUUGUAGGAUGUGUACGACAACCAUUCUAUUUCUGUUCCAAAUAAUUUUCUAUUUCAGAUUUGUUUAUGGAACAUAAAUCUGUUUGAUAACGCAAUUUUAUUUUUAUAUUUUUGAAAUAAAUUUUAAUCUAGAAAUAGGUUUGGAACAAAAAUGAGAAGUGGAAAUUCUUGUUAUUGCUUAUUCUCUCUACUAGUUAGUCACUUGCCCGUUGCUAUCGCCUGCCGUCCGCCACUGUUGUCCACCAUCCGUCGCCGGUUACCGUUGUUGUCGUCUGCCGCCUCCAAGGAAGGAGAAAUUUUGUAUCAAAAUUCUAUUCCGGGAACAGAAAUUUUACAUCAAUUAUUAAACAUGAAUUUUUCUCAGAAACUCAUCCAAAAAAAGAAAAAAAGAAAAAUCUAUUUCUUUUUUAAAAAUAAUUUCUAAUCAGAAUAAUUAUUAUUUGCGUCCGGUAGUUUUCAUCCAAUGCUGUCGAGACUUUACCACGCAUGCACCAUGGGCACUACGCACCUAACCCCGGUCAAAUUAUUCACUUUCGUUUGGUAGGACUCGUGCAAUGCUUCUGUUCUCCGCAUGCUUUUUAGUUUUUCCCUUCUUUUUGAAUCUUCUGGUCUACGGGAGUGCAUAUAUGUUGCUACUCCUGGGGUUCUGUCAAAAAAAAAAAAAAAAAGAAGAAGAAAGAAGCCACAAAAAAUAUACAAAUUAUGUCAACUGUGACAUAUAUAUAUAUAUUAAACUUUUUUUUUGUAACAUAAAAAUCCCCAAACUAUGAACUUUUUCUUGUUGUUUGACAUAUUUAUCCUCUGACAAGGUUUAUCAAAUGAUUUUCUAGCUAAAACAACGUCGGUUUAGCAUCAUGUUAAUAUCAUUUGCUUUCUGUCAUCCAUGUAAUCGAAUCUUGAUAAAGAGUAAAUGUAUCAUGUAAGUACAAGUUUUGGGUUUUUAGUGUCACACAAAAAUAUUUAGGGUAAAUGUGUAAGAGUGAGUAUAGUUUGAAAUUUUUGAAGGUCUUUUCCAAAAAAAAAAAAUGGUUAAUACCUUUAAAAGGUUAAUACCUUAAAAAACCUAAAACUGGUAUAUGUGUGACAAAUUUACCCUAAACUAUUUUUUUAACUAUGACAAAUCCCAAGUUGGUAUACCUAUGAUAAAUUUAUCUCAAAUUUGUAUACUUAUGACAAAUUUACCCUAAACUAAUUUAUAAUAUCGCCAAAAACCCCAAACUAGUACAUUUGUGAUAAAUAUAUCCUCAAUUAAAUUGAAUUAAUACCACAAAAAAUUGCAAAAUUUGUAUAACUGUGAUUAAUGGAGAGUAAAAUCCCAAAUUGAUACACCAACGAAUUGUCACAUGUCAUUCAACUUAAUAAUUUGACAGUAAAAUUUAACGGAAACUAAUGUAGGGUAAAUUGAUUAAAAGAAUACUAGUUGGGGUAAAUUUGUCAAAAAUGUACUAUUUUGAGGUUUUUGAUCGUCAAAAAAUUAGUUUGAGGUAUAUUUGUUAUAGGUGUACCGGUUUGGGAUUUUUCAGGGCAUUAAUCCAAAAAAAUGGCAUUGGUGUACUUGACUAAGACAUAUAACUACCUUUUGAAAAUUGUUUGUUUGUGAUAACAUGCUAAAAGGGGUUUUUCUUUAGCUUGUAAUACGUUUUAAUGUGCAUAUAACUAUGCCCGUGCUAUUUAAGGUUCUUAAUUCUUAUGUUCGUUGGCUAAUUCUUUUCACACCGGCCGUCAAGGCUUAAAUGGCCCAUUGAUGAUCGUUUUUACCAUUGCUCAUAUAGUUUCAUGUCGGCGUAAAUCUCUCAAUGUUAGUUGGAUGAACUUUUAGACGACCAUUUACUAAAUUAAGGAGAUGGAUAAAAGGAAAAUGUCAAAGAGUGCUCCUUAGGCACAUGUUAAGUCUUAUUAAAUUUGAUUUGAAAAUUUAAAGUUAAUUAUUUGAAGCAAGCGAUUUUAUUAAAAUAUAUGGACCUGAGCAGGUCCUUAAACUGCUCUACCCUGAAUAGGGCAUCCCAGGGUGCCCAGUUAGCCCCCAUUUACAGGGGGUUUAACUGGAAAUUACGGGAUAAAGUCCCCAUUGGGUAUCCUCGCCAACUCCCGACAAGGGAGGGGACCCACCAUUGGAUCCCCGUGAAGCCCUUCUCCUAACAUACUAGGUUGGGUUCAGGGAAAUGAAGAUGGCCCGGGCAGCCCCCAUUGAAGCAAGCGAUUUUAUUAAAAUAUCUAAUUGUAAUUGUAUUGAAAGGUGUUACUUUUAAAUUUCUUCAUAUUUACUUUUAUAAAGAUUAGCAGGAUUUACACCAAUUGGUCAAUGCUUUGAAAGGUCCCAACUUCAUUAAUGCUUCAAAGACUUUUGUAGAUACCUCCACCUUUCGAAAAUGAUGAAUCGGGACAUCUUCAUGAAUCUGGACAAUCUGAAGAUUUUUUUUAUUAAAUCAGAAACCGUUGCAAAAAGCCAAUUUACAUGGUUGUUGUUACAUAAAUUAAAGUGGAAAAGUAAAAUUGAAAUUACACAAGCUGCCCGUUCAACACUGACUAUCCAAUAUUUUCCCAUAUUUUUACAAAAGUUUCAUACUUUUCGUUCCUAUAAUUCACUAAUAUUUCUAAUGAUUUCCCCACGCUUUCAAUUAUUCUAAAAUUAUUUUUAAUUUUCAAAAAAUAUCUAAUCAAGUUUUUUCAACAUUAAAUUCGAUUGACGUGAUUGUUUAAGGCUGCCAGAAUGUGAUGUUGAUCAAAUAUUGCUUACUUAUAAAAAUAAUUAAUUGACUAGAAAAGUAUGGGGAUCUAAGCUUUGGAUAGAGUUUUCAACAACCAGUAGGCAAUAUGAUCCACAACACAUUUUGGCAUCAUUCGACAGACAUGUUAAUUGGACUUGGCCGAAUUUGAUGAUGGAGAGAUCGACUAGGCAUGUUACAUGAGUAGAAUCACUUGAUUAUAAAAAUUAAAAUUAUAGAUACUUGAUUAAGAAAAUGGUGAAGGUACAGAGAUUAAUAUAACUUCGAAUACUUUACAUGUCCUAAAAAAUCUCGUCAUAAUUGAAACCCGAGGUUUCGCUUUGCAGAUUUUUUUUUUUUUGGCGAGCAAGGAUGAAAUUUCCAUAGUGAAUUGGUUAAGGAUAAACUUAGAAAUAACGAGAUUAAGGAUAAAUUUAGAAAUAACGAGAUUAAACAAAAAUUUAUGGAUACUUGGGAUUUAUCGAAUUGAUGUUAAUGUUUCAAGGAAUCUUGUAGGCGUGGAACUGACAAGAAGAAGAAAAGGCAAAUGCAUGAUGAAGAACCUGGACAAUUUCUCGAACCAAGUUCCUAUCUCUAAAGCCCGACCAUUCGUUGAUAGUGGGCGUGCGUCAUUUUCUUGAUCAUGGCACUUCCAAAUAUCUCGCUUACUUUACAAAUUAAGUAAUGGUCCAAUCUUAAAAUCCUUUACAUUUAAUGAUAAACAGAUUAUUGGGUUAUGUGCUUGAUUCACUUAAAUCAUGCUCGCUCUUCAAUCCUUCAAUGAAUCUAACAAGGUUGCUCUCCUUUUUUUUUUUUUUUUUGUUGUUGUUGUUGUUGAGGAUUUGUGAACUAAUUGUAUAGCUCAUUGUCCCUUCAGACUAUUAUCACUUCCUUCUUUCGAUACCAUAAAGUAAAUCUAAAAUGUGAUCACUUCUUCCUUACUAGACAAUUGAAAAACCAAUGUUAAAUGUAAUGGCUUGAUACGCUGGACUUGAGCAUGUCCUUAAACUGCUUCUGUUAUCGGAGUUAACCCCAACGGUAAAAUGAGAUAAUGAUAACUGGAGGAGACCGGACCAAACCUUAAACGGUUCUCCCCGCCUUGAUUCCCGUGAAGCCCUUCUCCUUGCGUACUAGGCUGAGUUCAGGAAAAUGAUAGGCAGCUGGUCUGAUAGUGGGCGUGCGUCAUUUUCUUGAUCAUGGAACUUCCAAAUAUCUCGCUUACUUUACAAAUUAAGUAACGGUCCAAUCUUAAAAUCCUUUACAUUUAAUGAUAAACAGAUUAUUGGGUUAUGUGCCUGAUUCACUUAAAUCAUGCUCGCUCUUCAAUCCUUCAAUGAAUCUAACAAGGUUGCUCUCUUUUGUUGUUGUUGUUGUUGUUGUUGUUAAGGAUUUGUGAACUAAUUGUAUAGCUCAUUGUCCCUUUAGACCAUUAUCACUUCCUUCUUUCGAUACUAUAAAGUAAAUCUAAAAUGUGAUCACUUCUUCCUUACUAGACAAUUGAAAAACCAAUGUUAAACGUAAUGGUUUGAUACGCAAUUGAAAAAAUAAAAUCAUAAUAUGAAUUAAAUUCGAGUAUUUCACACUUCAAAAUUACAUGAUUGCUUAAAUCUUCAGCACCAUUAAAUUUUCUUAUUUUGGCUUAUUUCACACGUAUUUGAUUUUCUUCUGUUUAAUUUUUUCACUUUUUUUUUCUGGCGAAUUGUUUAUUUUCAAACUUUUUUUUUUCUAUCGAAGUUUAUUUAUUUGCAAACUUUACAUGUACCUUUUUCGUUGAAAGCGGUAAAAAAUCAUUUCAAUGAAAAGACUAUUAUGCCCUUCGAGAGUCGACGCUAAUCCCCCCCCCCCCUCUCUCUCUCUCUCUCUCUCUCUCUCCAGUCACAGCAGAGUCGCUUUUAGAAGCCGAUCAAGUUCGCCGGAAAACACCGCGCCUCCGCCGUGAAAACCACUCAGAGAUGGCCGCGAAGAGCAAGGUCCUGGUGAUCUGAGGCACUGGAUACGUCGGAAAGUUCAUCGUAGAAGCCAGUGCUAAGUCCGGUUGCCCUACCUUUGCUCUCGUGAGGGAGUCCACUCUCUCCAACCCUGCUAAGGCCAAGAUCGUCGAAGGUUUCAAGAGCCUCGGCGUCAAUUUAGUUCACGUGCGUAGUUCUUCCCGUGCGAUCGUGUUCGCUUCGCAUGUUUGGUUCUGCUUUGAGAAAAUCAAAGCGGCGCCUGCCGUUAUGUCUCGUUCCGCAUUUCCGAGAAAUGUUUUUACCACUAGAAUUGGAGUCGAUUUUUCAUCUCAUUAUGGAUGAAUGGUGUACCAUCUAGAUGAAUUCAUACAUAUUCGUACGUGUUACUCGGAGAUCGACAUCUUUACACAAACAAAAAGGUUCUUUGACCCCAAACUCGUGCUCUCCCCAAUCUCGGUCCUUGUAUGGAUAUUGGGCUGCUUACAAACUCCAGGAGGCUUUAUUUAUUCAGAACCUGUGUGGUUGGAUUUCUUCUAGGUCACCGAAAAGAACAAAGAGUUUCUAGCACUCAAUAUGGAUCAUGGUCAUCUACCCAGCUCUUGGAUCAUGAAUGCAAAUCAUGAACUACUUAAUCCUUCAAAUGUUCUUUUUUCGGUGAUAUUAUUAUUGUUGUAAAUAAGUUACCAAAACACAGUUAGUGGAUAGUUUAGUCGUUGUUGCUUUGGGGGUUGAUGGUUUAUAAUGAGUAGAGCUCAGCAUGCUCACAAAAGCCAAUCAACUUACCUGAUAUUUUUUUACUUGUGAAAGUGUCCAAGCAAGCAGCAUGUUUGCAUUUUUAUACUGGACAGAGUUAUCUGGCAAAUGCCUUAAUAAUUACAUCUUCAGUUUUCUUUUCUUGUAUUUUUCUAAUACCUCUGGGAUCGAAUUUGCUUUGUUGCUUGUAUUGAUUCACUUGUAAUCAUUUUUUACUUUGUUAUAGUAACACAUUAAAAUGUGAAAUUCAGUCUUGUUUUCUUUAUUUGCCAGAACUCAUGUAAGUUUGUUCGAUAAGGGGAAUAUGCUCUAGUUUUUGUUGCUUUCUAAUAAAAAUGUUUCUUCUAAUUCAACUAAUUUUCUCCUCAGAGAUUCUUGCCUUCAGAGUUUGGAAACGACGUAGAUUGUGUCCAUGCGGUGGAGCCAGCAAAAAGUGCAUUUGCUAUCAAGGCCAAGAUUCACCGCCUUGUUGAGGCCGAGGGAAUCCCUUAUACCUAUGUGUCUUCUAACUUUUUUGUAGGUUACUUCCUCCCAACAUUGUCAUAGCCUGGGGCUACAGCUCCCCCUAGAGAUAAAGUUGUUAUCUUAGGGGAUGGAAAUGUAACAGGUAAGAAGCAACUUGAGAUUCGCAUUUUAAUUCAUUGAGAUUUUUUUGGAAAUUUUUCACAACUUAAUUAUUGUAGUAAUCAGAGUGGGGCACUUCUUGAAGCUUGAGAAUUCCAAGCAUCUUCUGUAUUUGGAGAUGUUGGCCAUUAGUCUUCUCUUUCAGAUAUUAAUAGAUGAUAUGAAAAUUCUGUGGUUUUUCUUGGCACAAUACUGCCUAGGCGGCAGAUCAUGAAGGUUAUUUUAAUGUAGUUGGGAGAGGAAAGAACAUAUGGAUGCAGCUCUCUGGUGAUUCUGUUUACUGAGAAAGUUCUUUGAAUGUGAGCUGAACGUAACUCUAGGAAUAUCAAUGGCUUAUAGUUAUUAACCAAAUUCUAAAAUUCUCCCUGUCAAUACACAUCGGUGUUUAACAAGGAGGAUGACAUUUGCACAUAUACCAUCAAAGCCGUGGAUGAUCUGAGGACCCUGAACAAAAUUCUAUACAUCAGACCUCCUGCCAACACCUACUCGUUUAAUGAUCUUGUGUCUUUGUGGGAGAGAAAGAUCAACAAGACCCUGGAGAGGGUUUAUGUUCUAGAGGAGCAAGUUCUGAAGAACAUUCAAGGUCAGGGAUGCGUUUUCAUUAGAUUUAAGCACGUGUAUUGUGACAUCCUGAUUUUUAGGAUUUUGUUUUCAAUUUAAUAAGUUGGGCUUUUCUUUGAGCUGAUCACUCACGAGAUAACUAGACUAUCUGAUGAAGCUGUUAAGGGAUUUUAUGCAAUAGACUUGAGAAUUUGACUAAAAAUUGACUGUUCGACCGUGCUAAUCUGCAAGGGUCACUAUGACACCGUCAAAAUUGAUCAGAGAUCGGAGAUAGGUUGAUUUGAUAGAGGUAUGUGAUUAGUGUGUGAGUGAUUUCGCCUGAUUACAAAGUUUCUGUCAAACGACACUAGACCGAUUUUUCUGUCAUUUUUGUAUCCUGUGCCCGUAUUUGAAAUCUCGAAAUUUUCACGACAACCGAGAGUUGUCAAUGUGUCGAAGAUGCACAAUGUGGCUCGAAAAUAAUCGACCACGGGUCCUAAAAGCUACCUAAUAGGCUAGGUCACGCUAAAAUCGCGCUAGAUUGAAAUUAACUGCGAAUUUAAACUUGAUUUCAAAAAUUGAAAGUUCUGUUAUGUCACAAUUCAUUUAAGGAAUGUCAACUUAUUCUUCGAAGAUUUUUCUACAAACCGAUAUUCUUGGCGAAAAUUCAAAGUAGGACCGUUCUUGACCAGGAAAAUCAGAGGACCGUUUUUGGUCGUGUUUUUGGGAUUCAAGUUGGAUAAAUUGAUGAGGGAAAAUGUGAAUUCAAGUGUGGGCAUCUUGGUUGAAUUUAUGGGCAUCAAAUUAGGUUCAAUUAAGGGAGAAUUGGAGGGGAAUUGAAUCAAUUUGAGUGGCCAAUGUACAAAAUUCGUAGGCCAUGGGGGACUCAACCUUUUGGACUAUUUGGGAAGUGUGUUGAGGAAGAUUGAGGGCUGCAAAUUGGCCAUGGAUGAUUGCCCAAGUGGUGGGGGCAUGCAAUGAUCAACUAAGGGGAUAUUUAGGCAUUUUGGGACCCUCCAAGGUGCAACUGGCUUCGUCUUCUUCAAGUGAGCUACUUAACGAUUGUUGAGAGUCUGGGAAGCUUAGAGAAACAAGAGAAACCGGCCAGCAGCUCCCCCUUCACCGUCGACUACCGCCGGAGCCGCUAGGACCACCGCUCACCGCUCGCAAGCCCAUCGUGCCACCCGCGAGCCCGCGUGCGUUGUCCCGCCUAUCUCGCCUCCUGUUGUGCCCAGUCACGUCCCAAGUUGCCUCAGGCCACCGUCGCAGCUUGCCAGGUCACCAUCCAGGCCGUCGGAUCAAUCGCCAUCGCCGGUCAUUGCUCGCAGCAGCCCCGUCCACCUGUCCUUGCCGUUUCCAGGCCAGCCAGCCGCUCAAGUAGCCUCUCGAGCCUAGGAGCAGAAGCCGAAGCUAGCAAGGGUCUUUGGGCUUCGUGGCCUGUUUUUAGGUCCAUUUAGUCUCCGGGCUUUGUGGACUUUUUAGGCCCGUUUGGUCUCCAUUUGGUGUUGCCAUAGGCUCGGUUAUUGCCCAACUCUUCAUUGCCAUCGUUGUGGACUUACUGGAUCGCUAAACCGGUGAGUUUACUUGCUAAAAUAUGUUUAGGGAGUUAAUGACGCUUAGUGGAUAAUUAGUUUAGGCUAAUUAGGGUUUAUGUGGCUAGUUAAAAUAGAUUAGUGAUUUAAUUAUCCGUUUGUGCAUGUUAGGUGGUUAGAACGGAUAGAUUAGGGACUAAAGUAGUCGUACUAUUUAUCUAGAUAGGUUCAGAAAAUUUCUAGGCCCGUUUAGGUGGUUAGAUUAGCGUGGCCUAAGUUGCUAUUUAUUGCAUUAAAAUUGAAUUAUUUAGUUAAAUUUGGUAUUUAUUUAAUUAUUUAAUAUUUUCCAAAAAAUAUAUCGGGAUAGCCGGUGACUGGAAUUUCGUGCUGAUUGCAAUUGUGUGCUUGGUUUACUUAAUUGAGUGUUAAUUUGUGCAAAUUGAGUGGUGAUUGAAAUUUUGGUUAUUUAUUCCAAAAUUGUGAAAUUUGAAUAUUUAAUUAGAAAAUCCCAAGUGUCGGGUUUUGAUAUCGAAAAUAGUUUUAAAGAAUAUAUCAAACCGUGGGAUUUUAAAAGGAAGAGCAUUAGUUUUUCUGGUUCAAAUUGACCGUGUACCCACACACAAUUAUUUUAUCGUGUAUUUUUUAUACGAAGAAAAUAGACCAUGUUUACUAUUUUAAUUGAGGCAUUUGAGUACAAUGCAUGGUGUUUUGGGCCGAUGUUGAAUGGUCGUGCGUUGGUUAAGAGAACCAGUCCCCAAAAUGAGUCGGGUGAACGUGCCUUGUGAAAUCCUAGAAUUUCGAUUAUGCUUUCAAUUGAAUAAAUCGGGCAUUUCAUCGACGCGCCUAUAGUGCUAUUCUCAGAACUAAUCACUCGUGAGAUAACUAGACUAUAUAGGGAAGUCAUUCAGAGAUUUUAAGGCAGAUAGAUUUGAGAGUUCGACUAGGAAUCGGCUGCUCAGUCAUGCUCAUUUGUAGAGAUCAUUACGGCAUAGUUACAAAUCACUUAGAGAUCAGAGCUAAGAUGUGUGGCUAAAAGUGGGUGAUUCCAAUAAAUUGCAAAAUUCUCGUCGAUCGGCACUAGAUUGAUUUUUCUAUCAUUUUGGUACUGUGUGUCUGUAUUUGAAUCUUCGAGAUUUUCACGACAACCUAGAGUUGCCAAUGUGUUGAGUGGGUUCAUUGUGGCUUGAAGAAAAUCAACCACGGGUCAUUUGCACUAAAAAGUUCUGAAAGCUACUCAGUAGCUUAGGUCACGCUUAAAUUGCGCUGGAUUGAAAUUGACCGCGAAUUUGAAUUUGAUUUCAAAAAUUGAAAGUUUUAUCAUGUCACAGGUCAUUUUAAGAACGUCGACUCAAUUUCCGAAAAUUUUUCUGCAAACCGAGAUUUUUUGGGAAAAAGUCGCCGUAAGGCUGUUUUUGUCCAGAAAAUGUCAGGGACCAUUUUUGAUCGUGCAAUUGGAAUGCAAGUGAGUUGUAUUGGUGAGGAAAGAUACAAAUUUGAUUGGGGACUUAACAAAGAAAUUUUUAGAAGCCAAAUUAGAUUGAAUUAAGAGGCAAUUGGUGUCCAAUUGUUGGGAAAACACAUGAAAUUUGUAGUCCCCCCACCACCCAUGACUUAUGGACCAAUUCAAGCUUCUAGAAUGGAGCUUUGGUGGCUAAUUUUUAGCUAAGGGGUGCAGCUGGUGGAAGGGAAUGGUCAAGGGGACCAAUUUGAUAAGGUUGAAGGCUUGAUAGGCCCCUUGUCCCCUCAUCUCUCCCUCUCCCUCUCCCUCACUUGUCAUCGACAGCCUCUUCCUCCCCCUUCAUUGUGCUUUGAGGACUUCCAAAUCUGCAGAGAAGUCCUCGCCACUGUAGAAGCCACCACCCAUCGUUGUUCGCCGCCCCGCCUUGCGCGCGCCACCACACCUUGCUUGCGCGACCCCGACUCCCUAGCUGUCUUCAUUCGCCUUGUUCGUGCGUCUAGCAAGCCCUUCAGCCAGCACGGGCCACCGUCCAGCUCACCUCAGUUGUCGUGAGGCCCCGCCGUUUGCCGCUGAGCACCUUUGCUGCCUUUGUUGCCCUUGCUCGCCCCAACCAGCCCAUUUUUUCCUCUCUUUAAGCCCAAAAUAAUAGCUGAAGAAGUGGGUUUCCAGCAGCAUCUUUGGUCCGUUUUGGAGGUGUUCUGAACCUUGGUUGCCAAGCCCGCUUUGGAGAUAGUUGAGCCCUGCCGCGUCCCCGUUGUUUCGAACUGAACGGUUCGUUAAUCAAGUGAGUUUAACUCACUAAUUACUGCUUAGUAAGUUAAUUAUGCUUAGGGGUUGAUUAGUUUAGACUAAACUAGGAUUAUGUGGUUAGUUAGAUUUGAUUAGUGAAUUUAAUUAAUUGCUGAUGCAUGUUAGGUGGAUAGUUAGUGCAAUUAGAGCCUAGACAAGCUCUAGUAUUAAACUAGAGUGGUUCGGAAAUUUUCCGGGCUUGUCUCGGCUUCCAAUUAGGCUUUACCGGGCCUAAGUUGCAUUUAUUGCAUUUAUUUAUUAAUUUGUGUAAUUAAUUAAUUAUUUCCAGAAAUUAGAUCGGGAUAGUUGGUGACCAGAAUUUUAUGUCGAUUGCAGUGGUGCAUUCCGUUUAAUUAAUUGAUUAUUAUUUUGUGCAAAUUGGCUGUGUUUUGUGAAAUUAGUUAUAUAUCCCAAUUUUUAUUAAUUUUAAUAAUUAAUUGAAUAUUUAUCGGGAGUGGGUCUACAGCGCCAAAAACAUAUUUCUAGACUGCUGAAACCAGUAGGAAGUUCAAUUUUGAAAUUAUUGCAUUUUGGCUAAAGCCGACUGUGUACCCACAUACCGCUAUUUUUAUCAGGUAUGAUAAAAAUGAUAAAUUGAUUCAAUGAUCAAAGUUAUAUAUUUUAGUAUCAGCUUCGGGUGAGCUAUAUAUGUGUAAUUUAUUAUUAUCAGCUUUGGGUGAGCUAUAUAUGUGAUCGAUUCUUAUUAGCUUUGGGCGAGCUAUAUAUAUUUAUCAGCUUUGGGCGAGCGAAAUAAAUUAUUAGUUUUUGGCAAGCUAUACUAUAUGUAUUUUCAACUUUGGGUGAGCGGUCAUGAUUUGAUAGGACAUUAUAGAUAGUAUUAAUUGAGUUGACCGAGGAGUGGUCAUGAUGACAUGUAAUCGACUAAGUCGAUUGAUCGAUGGUUCGAUCUGAUUUGAUUGGGUGAUGUGGUUGUCAGUAAUUAAUUGAACUGACUUGCUGGAAGAAGUGGAGGCCAAGGUAAGUCCUCUAAUGCUUGAUUGUGCUUAGCAUCCCUUAGGGUGUAUUUUCUUCCUAAUCAGGUCUUAGGGGGUUCAACUUGCUGAGACGUCGUCUCACCCUGUUGUGGGAUAACAAUUUUAGGCCCAUAUAUGGCAGCCCCGCCUGAACAUUUUGGACAAUCAAAGAAAUUCACAGAACAUAGUUACCACAUUUCGAUACAUGGGCACCCCAAAGGACUAGAAUAUGUGUCGAUGAAAUCCAUAGUCUGGGUUGAUGCGAGUUUACCCAAAAAUGUGUCCCAUCAAUACCAGUCAUGGUAUCGCCAUUAUCAUAAUGGCCAAAGGGAGGGCCCUAUACCAGAAUGUGAGAUACCUCUGUAUGUGAUGGAGGUUGCUUUUGGAAAUGGUACGUUAGACCCUAAGGACGGAUCGGUGGUGGACCCGAAGGAUCCUAAGCUUGAUGAUCCAAAUUCUCCGGUGUAUUCGGCAAAAGGCUCUAAUGAGGAUGAGGCUGUGGAGCAAGAGGAGUUUGAGGAGGACGAGUAGCCGUAGUUUGAGAAAACCCCACCUAUGUUUGCAGACUUUGUUUUUUGACUGGUUUGUGUGUAGGACCUGACUUGGGUAGUUUGGAUUGUAAUAUAUGCAUUAUGGCAUGCAAUGUAUAUAAGUGUGGUUAUGGUUUUAAAAAUUCGCGGUCCUACUUUCUUAUCCCAUUGUUUUAUUAUUUGGGGAUUAUAUAACUGCUUUCGCAUGCGUAUAUUAAAAUGAAUAGGUCGACGAUGCAUCCUGGGAUAUCGCUAAUAUAUUGACCAAGCAGGGAUGGGCAUGGGCUUGGAGGAUCAGGACGUGACAUCCCUAUUUAUUGGUAUCAAAGCGUGGUUGUUAGAAAUUGGAGUGAUAAGGUGCGAUGGUUCAUGGGAUAGUAAGUAGGAAAUGCCUUUAAAUUCAUGCUGGUGCAUGUUUGUGAUAGUUGUUUGGUAGAAUUGCUUGUUACGUGGAUCGCUCAACUUCUAAUCUAGUGUGGAUUUGGAAGACAGGUUUCAGUAGAAAACUGAGCCAUGAGCGAUCAUGAGUAGAGGACUCCUAGUAAGAGAAUCGUGAGGCCUGUAUCUCGGGGUAGGACGUCGAUGAUGAUCGAUGCUCGAGGAGGCCGUGGUAAAACGCCAAUUGAGGCUAGCGCGAGUGGCGUAACACCACGUCCUGUUGGUGCUGGGGUAGCAACCUCAGGUGAUUAGGGAACCAUUGGGAUCACCCAAGCUUUGGACGCCAUGAGAGAACUGAUGGGGCAACAUGCCUGGGAUCAAGUUGCCACCUUCAUUGCCGCUGUUGUAGCCGCCGCUACUGUUGCUGUUGUCGUCGCUUCUAAGGCCGCAGUCGUUGCCGCACCUGUCGCCGCACUUGUCGUCGCUCAUGCUGAGAUUCUGCCAAAGAAUGUGGCUGCAAAGAGACCGAUCCACAAGCUAGUGGAAUAGUUCUUAAAGCUAAACCUGCCUAGGUUCACGUGUUCUAGAGAUCCAGAGACUGUCUCUCUUUGGAUUCAGGAUAUGGAUAGGGCAUUUGCACUUUUGAGGUGUAACGAAGAAGAGAAAUUGGUAUUGGCGGUGUACCAACUACAAGGUAACACCAACAUUUGGUGGAGAGCUGCCAAAGAGUCAGUGUUUUCGGAAGGUGUGGUCCCGGUGUGGGACGCCUUCCUCAGAGCAUUUAAUGAUCAGUACUUUUCGGGUAGCCCGAGAACAAAAGAUGGAGGAGUUUCAGCAUCUUCACCAAGGUAAUAUGAUUGUUGACCAAUAUGGGGUCAAAUUCGCUGAACUUUCUUAGUACGCGCCAAGAUUGAUCGAAGACUCUAAAGACAAGGCUCGAAGGUUCAAGAAUGGCCUUCGGAAUGAAUUGAAACAACCAUUGAUGCUGUUCGAUUUGAAGGAUUACCGAGAGAUCUAUAAUCAAGCCUAGCUGCUGGAGAGGAGUUUGAACGAACAAGCCGCCUCGUUUGGAUUGAGGUUUAAUUCAAACAGAGAUGCGAUUCGUCAUGGAAAGAAACCCAUGACUGGAGGUAGAUUUUAGAUCCCACCCAACAUAAAAUGUGGUGUUGGCUAGCUAGGGCCAAAUCAAAAUGGGUUGUGUCGCUUUUGUGGAAGGCGACAUGGUACAGCUCUAUGCCCUUGAAGGCCAUGUGUUUGUUUUGGAUGUGGCUAAUAGGGCCACAUGGUUAGGGAUUGUCCUAGUAGACCAAGAGGACAACCACAGCUACUGCCGCCACCACCGUUAGGACAGAUUAGAGGGUAUGCGCCUCAGAAUGUACCGCAAGGAGGACAGCUCAGACCUCCAGUUCAAGGCAUGGUGUUUGUUAUCACUCAAGGUCAGGCAGAGGCAGAGGCUGUACCUGACGUGAUUACAAAUAUGGUUUCGCUAAACAACCAUUCUACUUAUGCUUUAUUUGACCCAGGAGCAACUCAUUCCUUUAUUGUCAAGUAGUAUAUUAAGUUGAUAGGAUUAAGUCCUGAAUUGCUGGAGUAUGUUGUUAGCAUAUCUACACCAUUGCAAGGUGCAGAUGCAGGAAUUAUUGGAUAAGGGAUUUAUACGUCCUAAUGCAUCACUUUGGGGAGUGCUAGUUCUAUUUGUCAAGAAAAAUGAUGGUUUGUUGCGCUUGUGCAUCGACUAUCGACAACUCAAUCAGGUGAUGAUCAAGAACAAGUGUCCAUUGCCGAGGAUCGACGACUUGUUUGAUCAGUUACAAGGAGCGUCGAUAUUUUCGAAAAUUGACUUGAGGAUAUGAUAUCAUCAGCUGAGGAUCAGGAAAGAAGACAUUCCAAAGUCAGCAUUCGUACUCGGUAUGGUCAUUAUGAGUUCACUGUGAUGCCAUUCGGGUUGAUGAAUGCUCCAACUGCUUUUAUGGAUUUGAUGAACCAAUUGUUUAAGGAAUAUCUAGAUCAGUUUGUGAUCGUGUUCAUUGAUAAUAUUCUAGUGUAUUUGAGAAGUGCUGAGGAGCAUGAGAAUCAUUUGAGAUUAGUGCUCCAGACCUUAAGGAUUCAUCAGUUGUAUGCUAAGUUUAGUAAAUGCGAGUUUUGGUUGACUCGUGUUGUGUUCUUAGGUAACGUGAUUUCAUGAGAAGAAAUCUCCGUGAACCGGUCCAAGAUUGAAGCAAUGAUUAACUAGCCGAGAGACUGACUACCGUAACAGAGAUCCGAAGUUUUUUUGGGUUUGGCAGGUUAUUAUAAACAAUUCGUAGAGGAAUUUUCAGCUUUAGCAUCGCCAUUGACAAGACUUCAGAAGAAAGACGAGAAAUUUGUGUGGACAGACAAGUACGGGUGUAGUUUCCAAGAGUUGAAGCAAAAGCUAACUACCGCACUUUUGCUGACGAUUCCAUCUGGUCCUAAAGGGUACAAGAUCUAUAGUGAUGCGUCGUUCAGACGACUGGGUUGCAUGUCGAUGCAAUAUGGUAAGGUUGUUGCAUACGACUCUUGCUAGUUGAGACCUCAUGAACUGAACUACUCGACGCAUGACUUGGAACUCGCAGCAAUCAUAUUUGCGUUGAAGAUUUGGAGACAUUACUUGUAUAGGGAAAGAUUUUAGAUCUUCACGGACCAUUAAAGUCUCAAGUACGUGUUCUCUCAAAAGGAGUUGAAUAUGAGACUGCGCUGAUGGAUGGAACUUUUGAAAGAUUACGAUUGUGAUAUUCUAUAUCACCCAGGAAAAGCAAAUAAGGCCGCUGACGCUUUAAGCCGAAAGUCUUCAAUUGCUGAUUUAUUGGUUAAGGAGUGGAAUCUAAUUGAGAGAGCUCGAGAUUCGGUUUUCAAAUUUAAGGUAAGCCACCUUUCUCAUCUUAUGGCCACCCUCAGAAUUGAGCCAGAUGUGUAGAUCAGGAUUAAGCUACUUCAGCCAACAGACCCGGAUGUUCAGAAAAUUUUGCAAGAGGAUAUCGAAGAAAGGAAGGCUAACUUUAAGGUUUCUGAUAAUGGAACACUAAAGUUCUGAGAACGAUUAGUUGUACUUGAUGAUUUGAAGCUUAGAGAUGAUAUUUUAUUAGAAGCUCAUUGUAGUAAUUACAGCUACCAAGAUGUAUCAAAAUAUGCGUCAACACUAUUGGUGGUCUAAUAUGAAGGCGGACAUCGCAAAACAUGUCGCCAAGUGUUUGAUGUGUUUGCAGGUCAAAGCUCAGCAUUGUAAGCUGGGAGGACUUCUGCAACCUCUCGAAAUUCCAAAGUGGAAGUGGGAGUAUAUCAUGAUGGACUUUGUAACCGGAUUACCAAGGAGUCAUAGAGGUAAUGAUUCUAUUUGGGUAGUAGUCGAUAGGUUGACAAAGUCGGCUUACUUUAUUGCAAUGUGAAAAGAUCUUGACUUGGAUAGGCACGCUGAGUUGUACGUGCGCCAUAUAGUUUGACUACAUGGAGUGACACUUACGAUAACUUCAGAUCGAGACCCGAGAUUCACCGCUGCUUUUUGGAAGAGCUUGCAAAGUACUUUAGGUACAAAACUUCAGUACAGUACGGCAUAUCAUCCUCAAACGGAUGGCCAGUCCGAGAGGACAAUUUGGACCCUCGAAGACAUGUUGCGAGCUUGUGUGCAAGAUUUUAAAGGAAGUUGGGAAGAGCAGCUUCAUCUCGUGGAAUUUGCCUACAACAACAGUUAUUAGUAGAGCAUCCAGAUGGCUCCUUUGAAGCAUUGUAUGGCAGAGUGUGCGGAACACCAGUGUGUUGGGAUGAAGUUGGGGAGAGAAAGAUCACAUGCCCAGAGUUGGUUCAAUAGUCAGUGGAUGCCGUCGCAAUAAUCAUGAGCAUAUUAAAGACUGCUCAGAGUCACCAGAAAAGCUACGCAGAUAAGCGUCGAAGGCUUUUGAAAUUCCAAGUUGGUGAUCACCUUUUUUUGAAGGUGUCACCAAUGAGGGGAACUUCGCGCUUUGGCAAGAAAAGAAAACUGAGCUCAAGGUAUGUAGGUCCAUUUGAGAUUCUUGAGAGAAUCGGGACCCUGGCGUAUCGUCUUGCGUUGCCACCGAGAUUGGGGCAAGUGCACGACGUCUUUCACGUGUCGAUAUUGAGGAAGUACGAGCUUGACUCGACGCAUGUGCUUAAUUUUGAGGAAUUAGACGUGGAUGACCGAGUGUAAUACGUUGAAAGAUCAAUUCAGAUCGUGGACAGAAAAGAGCAAGUUCUACGUUCAAAGACCAUCCCGAUGGUCAACACCACGGUACUGAAGGAGCAACCUGGGAGACUGAAAAGUCAAUGAGGCGUUUGUACCCUCAUCUUUUUGCUUAAGAUUUGUAAAUGUUUAAAUUUCGAGGACGGAAUUUUUAUAAGAGGGGAAGAGUUGUGAUAUUCUAGAAUUUCGAUUCUACUUUCAAUUGAAUAAAUUGGGCAUUUUAUCGACGUGCCUAUAGUGAUAUUUUCAGAGUUGAUCACUUGUGAGAUAACUAGACUAUAUAGGGAAGUCAUUAAAAGAUUUUAAGGCAAAUAGACUUGAGAGUUCGACCAAGCAUCGGCUACUCGACCGUGCUCAUCUGUAGAGAUCAUUGCGGCACAGUAAAAAAUUGCUUAGAGGUUAGAGAUAGGUCAGUUAAAAAUACCAAUUUGAUCAGGGACUUAACAAUGAAAUUUAUAGAGGCCAAAUUAGAUUGAAUUAAGAGGCAAUUGGCGUCCAAUUGUGGGGAAAACACAACACGUUCAAUAUGCUUUGACAUGUUCUGACACGUGGUUAACAGGUGUUGAAAAAUCUGACUUGUGAUCAACUCUCCCGACAUGUAAGUCCGGUGUUAUACUUUGACACGUUUUGAUAUGUGGUCAACAAAUAUCAAAAAAUCUGACAUGUGGUUAACUCUUCCAACACGGUUUGACAUGCGGGUCCAAAAUUCCGACACGAGAUUUCGACACGCACGGGUCGAUUUUAAAUAUUUUCAAUAGACGACAAGUCAAAAUGUAAAUAUGUACAAAAAUAAAUAGUAAUAAAAAUAAUAAAAGGGAGAAAGGAGAAAACCUAAUCUUCUCCUCUUUUGACUUUCACUUCCUAUAAUUCACAAUUUUUAGUGUAAAUUCAUUCUAGUCUUUAUUAUUAUUAUUAUUUAUUUAUUUGUGAAUUUGAAUCAAAUUAAUUUGAUUGAAAUAAUCAUAGAAAUGAUAAUUUAUCAUGUAUACAUAAAAAUAUAUAUUUAAUAUAUGAUGUAUCCUAAUGUGUUCGACUUUUUUCUUUUAGAAACGACGUGUCAGCAUGUCGGGUCGUGUCAUUUUGCGUGUUGCGUAUGGUGUUGGUGCUACUUAAGAUUGUAUCACAAGGUAAAUCAUUAAAAAAUCUAGAACUAAAUUGAUCAAAUCAAAAUUAUAAAAUUGAAUUGGUAUACAUGUGAAAGGUUUAACAACUUUCUACUAAUCAUUCCAUAUUUCAACACUCGCGUUGUUGCUUUUUUCUCCCAUAGAGGUUAUGAAUUACAAAUAUAGUAAUCUUUGGUUGGCCAAUUAAAGAGCGGUAAUCUUGUGUCAACCCUCCUAGGAAAAAGAAUUUAUUGAACCUCGAAACAAUAGCAUAGCAGCUAUGAAGCCAUAUUAUAUCAUGCUAUCAUAUAAAUGUGGAGUAGCUCAUUGCCCAUUUCAUACCAUUUUCUAAUCUUUUUCAUAUGAUAAAAGUCAACGUAAAAAGGUGGUUUCAACUAUUUCCUCAUCAAUUACGAUUACUUAACUUCAUAGCACUAUCAAAAUUAAAUUUUCUUGUUUUUUGCUAAGUUAAAAUCUAUCUUACUUCACAAUAAUUUAGUUCAUCACUAAAAUCAGACAAAAUCGUUAUCUUCUGUCUAUUUUCCCAGUUUCCAUGUACCAUUUUUCCAAUGAAGGAUUUAUCUCAACAAGAAAAAUCAUUUCAAUGAAAAGACGAUUACGCCCUUCCGGAAUCAUCCAAUGACUCUAUCCUGUCACGAAGACAAGAACCGCCACCUUUUAGCCCGCCACCUUUUAGCCCACCCCCUUUUAGCUCUCUCUCUCUCUCUCUCUCUCUCUCUCUCUCUCUCUAUAUAUAUAUAUAUACACACGCGCACACACAUGCACACAUACGCCGGGAAGAACGACGCCUCCACUGUGAAAGCACCCUCUGAGAUGGCCGAGAAGAGCAGAGUCCUGGUGAAGAGCAGAGUCCUGGUGAUCGGAGGCACCGGACGCAUCGGAAAGUUCAUCGUGGAAGCAAGUGCUAAGUUUGGUCACCCUACCUUCGCUCUCGUGAGGGAGUCCACUCUCUCCGACCCAGCCGAGGCCAACAUUGCUGAAGGUUUCAAGAGCUUAGUUCUUCUGAUGCAAUCCUGUUCGUUUCUCGCAUUUGGUGCUCCUUUGAUGAAUUGAAGCGUCCCCUACCGUUAAUCUCAUCCGUCGUUUCGAGAAAUGUCUUUAAUCGUAAAAUCAGAGUCGCCUUUUAUCUCAAUCUUUCACAAGAUCGAGUUGAUAUUUGCUGUUUCAUUUUCCCUCCUCUAGUAAUUUGUCCCUGUAUUAUUGGCCAUUUUUCACAUUGACUAACGAAUCACCUCAGCUUCGCAUUCUGAUACGAAGUACGAAUAGAAUACAUUUUAAAACAAAUCUUAUGAAAACUUCCAUAUUUUACGUACUGCCUAAAUGAACUUGUAUAUAAAAGUGAAUGUGACUGACCUGUAAUUCAGAUGUCACCGCAAAUCCCUUGCUAUAACCUUUCAAAAAAUUUGGUAGGCAAUGCAUGGACAACAAUUCUGUGGAUGCUUCAUUUCUUAUUAUACUUUUUUCUUGUCUGGUGAAGGUAUUCAAGUCUUAUCUGCAUCGGACUUCAUAUCUAUCCUUUUUCGUAGUCUUCGUACUGGCCAAGAUAGGAUUGAUUGAUGAUUGGUCGCUUCAUUGAUUGUUUGUCCAUGCUCUUGGUUAUUUGAUUCUCAGGGAGACAUAUACGAUCAAGAGAGUCUGUUGACUGCGAUUAAGCAGGUUGAUGUGGUAAUCUCUGCUGUGGGGCCAACACAGGUAGAGAUCCAAGAUAGGAUUGUUGCAGCCAUCAAAACAGCCGGGAAUAUCAAGGUCGUGCUGUUUAUAAUAAUUUCAUCCAAGUUACCAUUGCUCGUUUGACAUUUAACUGAUGAUAUAGGUUGGUGCAAGCUUAACUCUUUUUCUUCUGGUAUUAGUGUAUCGGGUUCUCCUUGUGAGCUCCACUUUGAUGAAAUGGGAUGGAUUCACUUACUUAUUUGUAGACUUCACUUCUUUCUUUAUUAAACGGUCAUGACUUUCUGUAGAAGUCGUCAGUGAAAUUUGAGGCUAACUAUUUCAAAUCCAAGUACCGGACAAUGCCGGAUUCACUGUGGUUGGGUUUCCUCUAGGUCAAUGAAAAAAGUAAAAGGUUUCAAGCACUCGAUAUGGAUUAUGGUCAUGUGCCCUAUUCUCUGAUCAAUAAUGGGAAACAUGAACUACCUAUUCCUUCAAAAGGUUUUUUUCGGUAAAAUUAAUAUUAUAGAAAAUAAGUUUUUAAAACCCAACUGGUGGAUAAUUUAGUAGUUGUUGCCUAGGGGGUUGACGGUCACUUCUUUAUUUUUUAAACGGUCAUGACUUUCUAUAGAAGUUGUUAUUGAAAUUUGAGGCUAACUAUUUCAAAUCCAAGUACCGGACAAUGUCGGAUUCACUAUGGUUGGGUUUCCUCUAGGUCAAAGAAAACAGUAAAAGGUUUCAAGCACUCGAUAUGGAUUAUGGUCAUGUGCCCCAUUCUUUGAUCAAUAAUGGGAAACAUGAACUACCUAUUCUUUCAAAAGUUUUUUUUUUUUCGGUAAAAUUAAUAUUAUAGCAAAUAACUUUUCAAAACCCAACUGGUGGAUAAUUUAGUAGUUGUUACCUAGGGGGUUGACGGUCGGUAAAGAGUGGAGCUUAGCAUGCUCACAUAAGGCAAUGUACUCACCUGAUAAUUUAUUUCUUGUGAAAAGUGUACAAGCAAGCAGCAUCUUUGCAUAUUUUAUACUUGCCAGAGUUAUCUGGCUAUUGGCCUAACAACUAAAUCUUCAGUUUUCUUUUCUUCUACUUUUAUAAUAUCACUUAAUUGCUAUUUUGACUCACUUAUAAUUAUUUUUACUAUAUUAUAGUCCGUUUAUGAAAAAAAAGGUUAAAUUCAGUCUUAUGUAAGUUUGUUUUCUUUGUUUGCUCUGUUAUAGUCACAUGUUAAAGAAAAAAGUGAAACAUAGUCUCAUAUGAGUUUGGUUUCCCUUUUUUGCCAGAACUCAUGUAAGUUUGUUGGAUGAGGGGAUUUUGCUCUAGUUUUUUGUUGCUUUCUAAUAAAAAUGUAUCUCCUGAUUCCAAUUAAUUUUUUUUUCUAGAGAUUCUUGCCUUCAGAGUUUGGAAAUGAUGCGGAUCGUGGCCAUGCUGUGGAGCCAGCAAAAACUGUAUAUGCUAUCAAGGGCAAGAUCCGCCGCCUUAUUGAGGCUGAGGGAAUCCCUUAUACAUAUGUGGUUUCUAACUAUUUUGCAGGUGACUAUCUUAGGACAUUGUCACAGCUCGGGGCUACAGCUCCCCCUAGAGAUAAAGUUGUCAUCUUAGGGGAUGGAAAUGUAAAAGGUGAGAAGCAAUUCAUCGAAAUGCACAUUUUAAAUAGUUAAGAUUUUUCUGUACAUUAAUCACGAUUUAAUUACGGUAGUGAUUAGUGCGAGGGGCAAUUCUUGAAGCUUGAGAAUUCCGAGGCAACGUCCUUGUCUGGAGAUAUUAGGACUCUUACAUCCAUUAGUCUUCACUUUAAGAGACUAGUAGAUGAUAUGAGUGUGUUGUGGUUUAUCAUGGCAUAAUACCACCUAGUGGGCAGAUCAUAAAGGUUCUCUUUAUGUAUUUGGUUGAGAAAAGAACAUAUGGAUGCAUCUGUUUGUCGAUUGUUCAAUGAAUCUGUUUAUUGAGAGAAUUAUUCUUCAAUUCGAGCCAAAAGUAACCCUAGGAAGAUCAAUGGCUCUGUGAUUUAUUUAUUAGCCAAAUUCUAAAACUCUCCAUGUCAAUAUGCAGCGGUAUUUAACAAGGAGGAUGACAUUGGCACCUAUACCAUUAAAGCCGUGGAUGAUCCAAGGACCUUGAACAAAAUUCUGUACAUCAAACCUCCUGCCAACAUCUACUCUUUUAAUGAGCUCGUGUCACUGUGGGAGAGAAAGAUCGGCAAGACCCUGGAGAGGGUGUAUGUUCCAGAUGAGGAUAUUUUGAAGAAUAUUCAAGGUUAGGGCUGCAUUUCUAUUGGAUUUAAGUGCAUGAAUCGUCUCUGUUCUCUCUAAGAUUUAAUGCUUUUCCGGUUAUUACAGAGGCGGCGGCUCCGCUCAAUCAUGCAUUGGCAGUAUUCCAUGCUGUUUUCGUGAAAGGAGACCAAACCAACUUCGAGAUUGAGCCAUCAUUCGGAGUGGAAGCUUCAGAGCUCUACCCUGAUGUCAAGUACAUGACUGUGGAUCAGUAUCUGGAUCAAUUUGUUUGAUUAUCGAACCCAACCGUGCUUGUUAAAUUUCUCACAUCGGCUUGAAUCAUAAAUAAAAUAGGAUGCUACUUCUCAGGAUCCUAGUGUGAAAUGUUGCUUCUGCUGAUCAUCACAUGGCAUGUACAACCCCAAAGUUUGAGGACAUCCUAUGAAGUGCUCGGAGAAAUUACUUAUGUUUUGGAGAUUGAUAUUGGAUUCAUGGGCCAACCCGAGCUAACACAAAGACAUGGGUUUUUCUAUUUUUGUAUAUCGUAUUGUCUUUCAUGUCUAAAUGAUUCACGGAUGACCACUAUCGUGAAGUCAGAUACUUAACGUGUUAGCAAGGAUGAAUUUCCGUCGUGAGUUGAUUAUGGAUAAUUUUAAAGAAUGACAAGUUAAAACAAACGUAAACUGAUUAAUGAAGUCCUCACAAACGAGUUAUCGUUAAUGUUUUUGGGGGCUUUUAUAGGCUGCAGGGAACAAACACGAACAAAAAGAGGCAUGUGCUAUAAAUCUGGACAACUCUCGAACCAAUUUCUUAUCCCAAAAGUCCGGCAUUUUGUGGAUUGUUGUCUACUUAGGGAUGUCUUUGGUUCAGUUUUUCCAAACCCACCAUAAAUCAGGAAUAAUUAAUGAAGAAAUAUAAAAUAGCUUAUUUUGUCAGGAAGUAACAAUCAAUUACUGUAAAAAGAUUUCGUUCUUGAAUUCCGUGGAGAACAUGCAGCCAUCACAAGUCAGGGCUGUCGAUUUCUUUUCUACCUUGAUGGAUGUUUGAUCGACAUAACAAUCAAUUUUCUAGGUCAAAUUCAGACAACAUUCGGUAAGUCAAGUGAUUGCCAACUUCAUUGAUCGUUUGUGCAUACUCUUGGUUAUUUGAUUUUCAGGGAGACAUAUACGAUCAAGAGAUUCUACUGAAUACAAUCAAGCAGGUCGAUAUGACAAUCUCUGCUAUGGGGCGAGUGCAAGUAAAGGACCAAGACAGGAUUGUUGCUGCCAUUAAAGUGGCUGGGAAUAUCAAGGUCGUGUUGUGCCUAGUAAUUUCAAUUUCAAGUUACUAUUGUUCGUUCAGCAUUUGACUGAUGAUAUAGGUUGGUGUUACCUUGAUUCUUGUCUCGCUGGUUUAGGUGCAUCACGAUCUCAUAUUGAGCUCCGCUUUGAUGAAAUGAGAUGGAUGGACGGUAUCUAUCUGUAGACUUCACUUCUUUCUUUUUGAAAUGGUCACGACUGUGUAAAGAGUUUUGAGUGCUCAAUUUCGAUUUUGGACGAUUUGCCCAGCUCUUUGAUCAUGAAUUCGUUGGAAACAUAAACUAGUUAGUCCUUUAAAUGUUCUUUUUCAGUAGUAUCACCAUUGUUGGAAUAUGUUACCUAAUCUCACUUGCCGGGAUAGUGAUGUACUUAAUGAGUAUGUCCAUGAUGGGGUGCGAUUGGAACGCAUUGUUUCGUCUUGAUAUGCUACGAUGGAAAGACACCAUUUGAAAGGGUACGAAGGGAGUUGUAUAAAAGUCUUCUGAAGAUAAGCGUUGGAAUGGUUGGCAGAACGUACGCUCAGAAAUUCUCCAUUUCUUGUCCCCUUUCCAUCAAAGAAAAAGGAAGGCGUUCCAUUUCUCCUUUACAAGAACAAUUGGCAUUUACACUGUGGAAAUUAGAUGUUUUCCUUGUGAUUACAUUCAGACCAACAUGACAUAAUAUUAUUCAUGAUUCAUCCGUAAUUCAAUGAUCGUUCCAGGGUAAAUUGUUGAUUGCACAUCGGAAACAGGUAAGUCGUCUUCCGCCCGACUUUCAUACAACGUUGGUGUUAGAGCCUGGUUGUGAUUUUUGCCUCGUUUUUCAUCGAAUUUUCUCAUUUAUCAUUUGAUAUCGAUAUCAAGAGUAUGAAAUAUACACUGUUUGGAUGUUUAUUGCUCAGAAUUGCUAUCUGAAUCGUCGAAAACGAACCGAAGCGAAGAACGGGUUCGAGGUUGCAUACAUCUGUACAGUAUUAGCCAUUUUUUGAAAUAUUUUUUUGGCCAAAAUAAAUUUUCAACUAUACAGGAUAAAAGUACUCGUUGAGACGAGUCUAACGAUGGGUAGAGUGCCAUCGGAGGACGCCGGACGCGCCCACUCACAUGGCCAGAAGCCACUGUGGCUAGGUGCCACACGCCUGACCCAUUGGGCACGCCAACGUGUGACUGUCACGCACGCAUCAAUGAAACAACGCGUGCUAACGUCACUGUGACAUCAUCGAGACGUCAUCCAAUGGUCAGUAACUGCCGAAUGACGUCAGUGGUGAUGUCACCGUUGGCAUAGUUCGUCGGCUGAUGGCCGGUGGAAGACCCAACCCGAGACUCAACCCUUCCAGGACCCGACCGGUGAUCUGACCUGACCUGACUCAUUCAUUGACUGGUCAACGGUCGGACCGGCCAGGAGCCUUUUAGGCUCAUUGGCGCGUGCGCCACACGCGCCGCACACUCAGGCAACACGUGUGGACGCGUGUGAUGUCGGAUGGAGCGUGGUCGGCGGCGUUUGGUUUGUAUGGUUGUUCUCUAUACUAUGGUAAAUUUAUUUUAUAUUUUUGAGUUUUUUAAAUGUAUAAAAAAUAUGUAGGGAACCCUGAGUACGCGUAUGUUUGGGGUUUAAAUAUGUUAUUUAUUCUUUUUGUAGCUUGUAUUUCUUAUGGUUUUGGAAAUACAGUAGCUUGCCUACAUAAAAAUGAUAUAAUAUAUGCCGUGUAGGGCUUGGUUUGAUGGUAGUAUGUAUACAAUUUAAUAUACUUGCAAUUUUCUAGUUCCAAGAAAAUUCGAACAAUGGUAGAAAAUCCUUGUUUUUCCGUUUCAUGUUGAAUUGUGUUUUUAAUUGAAGUUGUAACAUGAUUUAUUUUUGUUCGUUGGUUCAAAUCUUGCUAUGCUUUUGUGUUAAUGGAAAAAUAUAAAAAUUACAUGAGGUCAUGUAAUUAUUUUUUCUAGUGGGAGUUCGUAGGUUGGUAGAAUUUGAAGGAGUUCUCACCUAGAACUUAAAAUUUGAGCAAAUUAAACUAAUUAAUGAUAAUAGAACAAUCGUACAUAGGAGCUGAUUGAGAACAUAAUGAACUUUUGUUUUUGUUUCUUUUGUUGAAUUAUCAUUGAUUUAGUUUGUCUUUGCUGCAAAUUAAAUAUGUGUGUUACUCUGAAAAGUGUGCUAGUAUUGAUUCUACAUUUAUUAUGUUAAUGUGUUAUAGCAAUUGAUUAUGGUUUCGGCAUCCAAGACCAUUAUAGCUGACCUCAAUAAGGGUGAGAAGUUGAAUGGUGACAAUUAUGAUAUUUGGCACCGAAAGGUUCAGUACAUCUUUGAGAAGCAAGAGGUUUUGGAAAUCCUCAACCACAUCAUGGAUGAACCUGAGUAUGGAACUUCAGCUCAACACAUGAGAGAUUUAAAAACUUAUCAAACUUGGUAAAAGAAAAAUAGCAUUGCUCGCAUCAUGUUGUUGAUCUGUAUGCAAAAUGAUCUCAUGUGUGAGUUUGAAAGUUAUGAUAAAGUUCGAGCAAUGUGGGUUGCCUUGAAAGAUAAGUUUGGGGAUACAUUUGCCACUAAGUUGAGGAGACUCACCAUUAAGUUUGACACAUAUCGAAAGCACCAAAAUAUAACGAUGAGGCAACACCUUCGGAAGAUGUCAAACAUCAUUCGUGAGUUGAAGUCGGCAGGUCACUCCCUUAUUGAUGAACAUCGAGUUCAGGUUGUUAUAAGGUCUCUUCCUAAUAAUUUGUAGCAUAUGAAAAUCAAUAUGACGCAUAAUGAGAAUAUUGUCACUUAUGAUGAUAUUGCAUGUCAUUUGGAAUUAGAGGAUGAGUGCCUAGAGGCUGCGAGAUCUUCUACCCAUGCUUAUGUUGCUGAAUUGAGUUCGUGCAAGGCUUCAGGUUUAAAAUGCAAAAGGAAUCAUCAAUUCAACAAUAAAGGGAAGAGUACUGAUUAGACACCUAAAAGGGCUAAGACUUUCCAACGCAAGAAACGUGGUGGGAAGAAGGACAAAGCCAAGAUGGUGUGCUACAAUUGUGGCAAAAUGGGUCACUUUGCUCGUGAAUGCACUGAGCCGAAAGAGGUACCCUAUUACUCCAUUACUUUAAGUAAUGUUUUUAUUUCUAGCACUAGAAUACUUGCUGAAUCUCAUCUAAUGUGGAAUGUAGACUAGGAGCAACAGAUCAUGUAGCUAGAGAUCGAGAAGCAUUUGUGGAGUAUUGUCGGAUACAGCUUGGAAGAAGAUAGAUAUAUGUUGAGAAUAACUCAAAAAUUGAAGUGAAGGGUAUCGACACAUAUAAAUUAAUUUUACGUGGUGAUUGAAGCCUAUUCCUACAUGAUGUCCUCUAUGCUCCGGAUAUUCGAUGAAACUUGGUCUCCGUAGUUGUUCUUCUCAGCCUAGGUUAUGUAUUAAACUUCUAUGGUGAUUGUGUUGACAUUUUGUUUGGAAUAGUUUAUUAUGGUUCAGGUCAUGUAUUGAAUGAUUUUAUGGUGUUAGACAUUGACUAUGAUCAAUACAAUGUUAAUAUCGAUGGUUGUUUUUCUUUAAUUGCAUCUUCUAGUAAUAUUGAGAUUGAUGCAAGUACACUCACUAAGGUUAAUUUACCCGUAUGUAAACAUUGUCUAGUAGGAAAAAUAACUAGAAAACCAUUUGGUAAAUGGGCUAGAGCCGAAUUUCCAUUACAACUCAUACAUUAUGACAUUUGUGGCCCUUUGAAUGUGAAAGCGAGGUAUGGAGCCUCAUAUUUCAUCACUUUCAUAGAUGACUUCACGAAUUUCGGUUAUAUUUUUCUGAUUUCCCUUAAGUUAGAAGCAUUAGAUUGCUUUAGUCGAUAUAUAACGAUGGUAGAGAAUUAGUUGAACAAAACAAUAAAGUAUUGAGAACCGAUCAUGGACGUAAGUAUCUAUCUAAGCAAUUCAAUACUCUUUGUGAUAAAAAGGGAAUUAUAUGACAAUUGACUAUUCCUGAUACUCUAUAACAAAAUGGGGUAACGGAGAGAAGGAAUAGAAUGCUAUUGGAAAUGGUUAGGUCUAUGAUGACUCAAGCAAAUUUACCUAUCUCCUAUUGGGGAGAUACAUUAUUGACUGCUACCUAUGUACUUAACCAAGUGCCCUUAAAAUCGGUCACUUCCACCCCUUAUAAAUUGUGGACUGGUAGGAAACCAAAUUUAAGUAUUCUAUGUCCAUGGGGAUGUACAGCUUAUGUUCAUGAUUCUUCCCAUAAAUAUGGUAAAUUAGGUCAUAGAGGGAAGAAAUGUAUCUUUAUGAGAUAUUCUGAACACUCCAAAUGGUACGUGUUCAUAGGUUAACAAGCUGAUGGAAGUGUGACCGAAAUGGAGUCACGGGAUAUCACGUUUUUGGAGAACGAUUUUCUUAGUAGAGGUGAGAUUGAUAAGGAUUUUCAAUUACAUGAGAUGGAAAACCCUAAUAACACACCCACUAAUGUUGUAGAGGGAAAUAAAGAUUUACCUUAACAUACAAGACCUAGUGGGAGUGUUGCAUCGCCUGACGAAUUGAAUUCAAGAGAAAUUCAGUUGCGUAAAAGUAAUCGUAAAAGUAUUCAUCGUCGUCGUUUUGAGAUUAAAGGGGAAGCUUUUAUGAUUACUUAGAAAGACGAUGCCGAGCCAAAGACUGUUCAAGAGGCUCUCUCAUCCUUUGAUAAGGAAGAAUGGAGAACAAUUUUAGAAGAUGAGAUGGAAUCUAUGAAGGCAAAUCAUGUCUGGGACUUGGUUGAUCUACCUCCUCAUCGCAAGGCCAUUGGAAACAACUGGGUCUUUAAAAUUAAGCGAAAGACGAAUGGAUCCAUUGAAAAGUAUAAGGCUCAUCUUGUGGUGAAAGAUUAUACUCAACAAGAGGGUAUAGACUAUGAGGAAACCUUUUAACCAGUUGUAAGGUUUGCCUCAAUACGCCUUAUCCUAGCCAUCGUUGCACAUUUGGACCUUGAAUUAUAUUAAGUGAAUGUAAAGACGCAUUUCUCAAUGGAGAACUAGAUGAAGAAAUCUAUAUGAAAUAAUCAAUAGGUUUCAUAGCUAAAGAUCAUGAGCAUAAAAUUUGCAAGUUUCAUCACUCAAUAUAUGGCUUUAAGCAAUCAUCUAGACAAAUGUAUCUUUGUUUUCAUCGAGUCAUAAUAACUUUUUGGUUUCACGAUGAUCGAAGAAGAUCACUGUGUAUAUGUCAAGCGGUCCGAAGAUAAAUUUGUGAUUUUAUCACUUUAUGUGGACGAUAUUCUAUUGGCCGGAAAUGACAAGGUUUUGGUUAUCAUCAUAAAAAAAUGAUUGUCCUCCAAUUUUGCAAUUAAAGGACAUGGGAGAAGCUACUUAUAUAUUAUGAGUUAAGAUCGAAAGAGAUCAAUCAAGGAAACUCAUUACUUUAUCACAAGAGUCUUAUAUAAUGAAAAUUCUUGAGUGUUUCAAUAUGCAGCAUUGUAAUCCCAUUGAUACUCUUGUCAUGCAAGGUGAAGACUUAAGUACUGAAAUGUGUCUUAAGACUCCAUAAGAAAUUAAAGUGAUGGAAAUUGUUUCUUACGCUAGUGCGAUCAGAAGUUUGAUGUAUGCUAUGAUAUGUAUUCGACCCGACAUAUAUUAUGCCGUGGGAUUAGUCAACCGAUAUCAAUCAAAUCCCAGUCAAGCACAUUAGAAAGCAGUGGAGAGGAUCCUGAGAUACUUGAAGUGCACCAUGGACUAUCGACUUUGUUACCAAGGGAAUGAUUUACGCCUAUUAGGCUACUCAGAUGUUGAUUGGGGUGGAGACCUAGAUGACCGUAAAUCGACUUCUGGAUAUGCGUUAUUGCUUAAUGGAGGUGCAAUUUCUUUGAAUAGCAAGAAACAGACAUGCACGACAUUGUCUACGAUGGAGACAGAAUUUAUUGCAUGUUCUGUUGCAGUGCAAGAAGUAGUAUGGCUAAAACGUUUCUUGGAAAAUUUAGCCAUUGUCACUGAGGUUCCAAGACUGAUGAUAGUUCAUUGUGAUAGUCAAACAACCAUUGCCUAUGUGAAGGAUCCCAAGUGUCAUGGAAGGACGAAACACAUUGACAUAAAGAACAACUUCAUAAGAGAUAUAAUAGCGUAGAAAGAAGUGAUCCUACAAUACAUUUCAACCAAUAGAAUGGUUGCUGAUCCAUUUACGAAAGCUAUUCCUAAAGACAUAUUCUUGACCCACAAGAUGUCACUAGAAUUGUGUAGAAUGUGAUAUGUGUUAUUGUAGAGGAUAAUUGGUUUAUGUAUUUGUGGACAUAUAUAUUGUACUUGUUUGUUUAUUAGUGACUUAAUGUUUUAUCAAUAAGUACAAAUCCAUUAUGAGACUAGCACAUACACCCAUAUAUUAUUGAAAAGUAUGUUAGUAGGCAAUGAUUGGUUCACUCACACGAGCAAUCACCUCAAGUGUUAUAGUUAGCACGUUGAGAUGAGACGUUAUGUACAAAUGAAUGCGGAAAAGCAAGUUUAGUACAUAAAAGAAUAUGUCGUCUUGAAUGGAGUCAAGAUGAGAUCUGUGAUUCUUUUAUAAUAAGACCGAACAUGAUAGUCCCACAAUUAUGUAUGUUUGAAAGAUGCCGAAUGCGAGUACUUAAUUGGGCGCUAUAGAAAGCGAGCUGAUGUAGCACUCAAGCUAAACAUGAGUACGUGAGAAGCACGUGACUAUAUUUAGGCUAAGAUUUGUAUAGUGGAUAUAUUUAAUAAAUGACAUACACUCUUAAAGAAAGAGAAAUCCACUAUAACAUGUAAUUCAUACUACACGUGCAUUGUUCGAUCGACAAGGGAAGGUGAGUAAAAUUAUCCCUAUUUACUCAUUGUGUGAGCCCUUGAGGUAAUUUAUAAUUUACCUCAUUUUGUGCCCUAUGUUAUUUCUGACUAUGUUCUCAAAGUGAAAGAUCAAUAUUGCUACUUUAACAUGUUAUCGGCGGUCAUGAAUAGAUAUAGCCUUAUGGGACGUGUCUAAGAAAGUAGUUGUUCUGAAAUGGAGAGAAACAUGAGUGCGAAGGAAGACUAUUAUUGUUUUACAUCUAUCACAUGUAUUUACUGGUCGACCAAUUAUAUUGCGUUAUGUGGUUGUGGAUAUAAUUAUAAAUAUAUGGUGUUGUGAGAAUAGUCAAGUAUAAUAUACUUGGAUUGAUGUAACAAAAUAAGUUUGAGGCACUGUGAGGAUAUCGAUUAUUUAUUUCUUUACAAGGUUGUAGCCAUUAUGUCAUCCCUAACAGGUGCAUAAUUUGAGCUCCCAAGUGCAGGUGUGCUUACUGGUUGCACAGCUUACUUGCCAGUAUGAAUUGUUUUGUAAAGUUAAUGAAUGUUGAAUGCCUUAUAUUCUUGAUAAAACAUUAUCAAGCUCAUCAUGUCUGAGUGGGAGAUGAUGUACUUAAUGAGUACGUCCAUGGUGGGGUGUGAUUGGAAUGCACUGUUUCGUCUUGAUAUCUUACGAUGGAAAGACACCUUUUGAAAGUGUAUGAAGGAAGUUGUAUAAAAGUUUUCUGAAGAUAACCAUUGGCACGGUUGGCAGAACGUACGCUCAGAAAUUCUCCAUUUCUUGUCCUCUUUCCAUCAAAGAAAAAGGAAGGCGUUCCAUUCCUCCUUUACAAGAACAAUUUGCAUUUAUGUUGUGAAAAUUGGACGUUUUCCUUGUGAUUACAUUCAGACGAAUGUGAGGUAGUAUUAUUCGUGAUUCAUCCGCAAUUCAACGAUCGUUCCGUGGUGAAUUGUUGAUUGCGCAUCAGAAAUGGGUAAGUCGUCUUCCACGACUUUUUUCCAACAUAUAGUAUUUAGUCAUUGUCGUUGAUUUGGGUGGUUGACGGUCGAUAGUGAAUGGAACAAAGCAUGCUCACAAAAGGCAUUGGACUUACUUGAUAUCUUAUGAAAGUGUCCAAGCAAGCAGAAUAUCACGCCCUAAACCUCGAGCAUGUGCCCAUCCCUUGGUGGUUGAUAAAAUUUGCGACGUCCCAGGAUGCGUCGCCGAUCCAUUCAUUUUAAUGCACAUGUAGAAGCGAAACAAUACCCCUGACAACAACUAACACGAGAUAGAAAAACAGGAAAUAUAUUCACAACUAAAAUAGUUUUAUAAAUACUCCAGUUUAUAUACAACACUAGUCUAUAGACAAAAGUCUACAAAAGAUCGGCUCUCAAAAGAAGCUAUCCUAAGACCUACUAGUCGGACACAUUCACCGAUCCUUCGGUCUCCAUAGGCUCUGGGGGCUUUAGGUCCUCCACAGCACCAUCAGGAGGGUCAGCUUGUCACGCCCUAAACCUCGAGUGCGCACACAUCCCUCGGUGGUCGAUAAAAUAUGCGACGUUUCCAAGACACGUUGCCAACCCAAUCGAUUAUGCACAUGCAGAAUCAAAUUAACUAAUCCCCUGACAACAACAUACAUGAGAUAGAAUUGCAGGACAACCAAAUAAACAAUCUAGUUUACACACAGAGGCCAACUCUAAGGUCUAAGUACAGGAGGUCUAUCUCCAAAUAGAACUACUGAGCCACCCAUGCUUCUGACCCUUCCGUCUCAAGCUCCGAGUUCUUCACACUAGAGACUUGAAAAUGGUAACCCACGACGAAGUGAGAUAUAAAUCUCAACGAAUUCACUCCUUAAACCCCGAUUAGGAAGAUAAUACACUUAGAGGUAGCUUACACAUACACCCAAUGAGACUUACCCCGCUUCAGUUCCAUCCUGCACAUUAGUACAGUUCUUAAAACAUAUGCACAUACUCAAUGCACUCAUCGAUUGGAACAUCUCAUUAUCAAACAAUCACACACAUGAGUCCCGAUUAUAAAGCGAAAUCGUAAUGACAUAUCCCAUUCCGUGUCACACAAUUUCAUCCCAUAAUCAGGCGCGGGUAACUCAUAUAAGUUGUUCAAUCCACACCCGAUAUUCACUCUCAAUAUUCCAAUUCCCAAUUCAAACUCAAUACUCACUACCAAGCUCAAGGUUCUAAAGGUGUCUCUUCCCCACGAAGUUCCAGCAUCGUGUGGUGCUUAGUCCUUGACCACAAUCAACAAUAGCUCGAGGUACUAGAGGUGGCUCCCACGAAGUCACACCGUCGUGUAGUACUUAGUUUUCGACUAUCAUAAGCAAUAGCUCAAGGUACUAGAGGUGGCUCCCACAAAGUCACGUUGUCGUGUAGCACUCAAUUCUUGGCCACAAAAAGCACUGGUAUAAGGUUCUAGAAGUAACUCACAUGAAGUCUCGCUAUCGUGUAGCACUUAGUUCUUGACUAUGUAUGAUAGAAAUACAAGGCUUCUAGAGGUGGCUCCCAUGUGACUCAAGUCACCCUGUAGCACUUAGACUUUAACUACAUUAAGCAACGAUACAAGGUACUAGAGGUGGCUCACACGAGGAUUCAUUAUUGUGUAGCACUUAGUUCUUUACCGGCUCAUAACCCAUUGGAUUUCCUCAACACAACAUAUAUCACCUCAUCUUUCAAUAGUCAUCUUGCCCUGAUUAUAAACGAACACACGAUCAAUCAACCACGACCAAGGCCAUUGUGCUUAGCACUUGAAUGCCUUAAUUAAGGUAACGAACUUGGUCUAUUUUCUUCAUACUAAAAACACUCAGUAAAAUAAUCAUGUGUGGGUACACGGUUAGCUCGAACAAGAAAAUUGAUAUCCUUCUUUUUAAAAAAUUCCACUAUUUUAUAUAGUACUUAAAAACAUUUUUGGCAUAAAAAACUGACACCUGUUUUUUUCUAAUUAACUACCAAAAUUUCACAAUUUUGGAAUAAAUAACCAAAAUUCCAAUCAUAACUCAAUUUGCACAAAUUAACAUUCAAUUGUAUAAACUAAGCACAUUACUACAAUCAGCAUGAAAUUCUAGUCACUAGCUAUCCCUGUAUAAUUUUUGGAAAAUAUUAAAUAAUUAAAUAAAUACAACAAAUAAUUAAAUAAAUACCAAUAAAUCCAAUAAAUGCAAACUUAGGCCGAAAAUGCUAAUCUAACCACCUAAACAGGCCUAAAAUUUUUUCGAACCUAUCUAGAUAAAUAGCACAACUUAUCUAGUGAUGUGGACAUCGAACCAUAUCGAGGAGGAGGUGCUAGGAUCCCAUUAUCUAUUCCUACUGGUUUGAUUACUCAAGCACGGGCCAAGCAAUUUAAGCAAGUUGUUGGUGUCAUGGUUCGUGAUAUUUGGCGUGGAGAUAACCUUGAAUCAAAUCUUGAAAAAUCUUGGAAAUCUUGGCGCAAUUUGAUUAUUUGGUCACCAAAUAUUUGACCAAGUCAAAUAUAUAUAUAUAUACAUAUCUCUCUCUCUCUCUCUCUCUCUCUCUCUCUUUGUUUAGGAAUAUUCUAGAAUAUUAUGCAUUAUAUCUCUAGGGUUGGUUUUAGGGUUUGUGUGGCGGCUAAAAGGCCUAUAUAUAAGAAUGACUGAAUUUCCUUGGGGGACAAACAUAUUUUUAUUUUUGAGGAAAAAGUUGAGAGAUUUUCUUCUACUAUUCUUUUGAGGACUUGACUUUAUCAAAGUUCCCUUGUGACGGUCGAUUCAACUUAUCGAGCGAGAUAGUGAAUUCUUUUGCUCGUGGCGUCUAUAACAUUGGUUGGUUGACACGCGUUCGUCAAUAGGUCACGUUCAUACCGAUAUUGCCAAUCACAAGUUUGAUUGGAGGUUGAGGUUCGCAAUUUGCAACAUCAGGGCCUUUGUAGAACGAUCUUUCUGCAACGAUUCACAUCAAUUUGAGAUUUAUUGAGCUAGGGUUUUGGUUCUAGCCAAUUUAGGGAUCCGAUUGCUUUUGUGCUUCCAUACGAAGUUGUUUGCUGUUAGUUUUAAUUUUUUUUCUAGCAUCUUAAAAUGUAUCUGAGUUCGUCAAAAAAAGAAGAAAAAAGAGAGUAAGUUUGUCAAAAAAAGAAGAAGAGAAAGAAAACGCACACAAAAAAAGGUGCGCAAGAGAAAAAAAAAAUAGAUUCGGCAGAAAAAAUAGCCGAACAAAAAAAAAUCAAGAAGGCGACUCAUUUGUUAGUGGACCGAAUUGAAACAAAAUCAGUAGUGAUUUGCAUUUCAAUUGGAAUUUCAAAAGUUGUACUUGUUGGUUUGAAAUUGUUACUUGCUGAAAUAAAAUCAGUUGUGAUCUAAUCUUGUUUGAUUAGUUUGAUUGAUUUUCGUGAAGGGGUUGAGAGACAGGUUUUGAGACCGAUAAAGAGCUUGUGAAAAGAGAAUACGAGAGGAAAAAGGCAAGAGUGUGUAAGCUUAAUUGAGGGUGGAAAAAGACUAGACUUGAGUUAAACACGAGGGGAAUGCCAAAUACCUUGAGAGAAACACGUGAGGGAGCGAUUGGUGAGAAUUUUUGUGACUAACGUUUAUUUACAGGUUUAAAAUAUGUCACACGAAGAAAGCGUAAAUCAGAGGGAGGUUGACUCCAUAGGAAGGGAUGAAGCGCUCGUGAAAAGCAUCUAGCAAUUGAGGGCCGUAGUGGAGAAGCUUAGUGGCCGAAUGAUGGGGAAUGGUAUGAGGGUUGAUGGUGACUGAGAGCUACCCCGGGGAAGGUUGCAACAUCAGCGAGACGCCUCUAGAACACAACUUAGAAGGUAGCGGCAUUAUGAUGAUGAUGAGGUCAACAUGGAGGAUGAUCGAGAUGCUCGAUUUGGAAGGUGGAAUGGAGCUCGAGGGUUUAGAUAUCAAGAUGAAGAUUCCUUCUUUCCAAGGGAAGAAUGAUCCUGAUGCGUAUCUAGAAUGGGAGAAACGCAUGGAGAUGGUAUUUGAUUGCCAACGAUAUUCCGAGCUCAAAAAUGUAAAAAUUGCAACUGUUGGAUUUAUUGAUUAUGCUAUAAUUUGGUGGGAUCAACUUGUGACUAGUAGGAGGCGAACGAUGAAAGACCGAUAUAGACGUGGGAUGAGAUGAAAGUGGUGAUAAGAAAGCGUUUUGUACCAAGUCAUUACCACCGAGAUUUGUUUCAAAAGUUACAAAAUCUCACACAAGGCAAUAAGAGCGUGGAAGAGUAUCACAAGGAGAUGGAGAUUGACAUGAUCCGUGCUAAUGUGGUGGAGGAUUGUGAGGCCACAAUGUCAAGANNNNNNNNNNNNNNNNNNNNNNNNNNNNNNNNNNNNNNNNNNNNNNNNNNNNNNNNNNNNNNNNNNNNNNNNNNNNNNNNNNNNNNNNNNNNNNNNNNNNNNNNNNNNNNNNNNNNNNNNNNNNNNNNNNNNNNNNNNNNNNNNNNNNNNNNNNNNNNNNNNNNNNNNNNNNNNNNNNNNNNNNNNNNNNNNNNNNNNNNNNNNNNNNNNNNNNNNNNNNNNNNNNNNNNNNNNNNNNNNNNNNNNNNNNNNNNNNNNNNNNNNNNNNNNNNNNNNNNNNNNNNNNNNNNNNNNNNNNNNNNNNNNNNNNNNNNNNNNNNNNNNNNNNNNNNNNNNNNNNNNNNNNNNNNNNNNNNNNCAACAUAGGCACACCUAACAUGGUGUUAUUGAGUCCGAAAGUGAAAGGGAAGAAGAGGAUGAUGAGAUGCCACCAUUGGAGGAUUGUAGGGAUGGAGAAGUGGCUAUAAAAAGAGACUUAUUGGUGGUUAGGUGUUCUCUGAGUGUGCAAGUAAAGGAGGAGGAGCAUCACCAACAAGAGAUAACUUAUUUCAUACAAAAUGUGUGGUGAAUGGUAAGAUCUGUAGUAUGAUAAUUGAUGGAGGUAGUUGUGCGAAUGUGGCAAGUUCUACUAUGGUGGAUAAAUUGGGUUUGAAAACGACAAAGCACCCUAGGCCUUAUAGACUUCAAUAGUUAAAUGAUAGUGGUGAGGUGAAAGUAUCGAAACAAGUUCGAAUUUCAUUUGAGAUAGGGAGAUACAAGGACGAGGUAGAGUGUGAUGUUAUACCUAUGCAAACGGGUCAUAUCUUAUUUGGAAGACUAUGGCAAUAUGAUUGAAAUGUACAUCAUGAUGGGUAUACUAAUCGUUAUUCAUUGGUGAUGAAUUAAAAGACUUAUACCUUGAUACCAAUGACACCUAGUGAGGUGUAUCAAGAUCAGUUAAAGUUACAACGAGAAGCUGAUAGAGAGAGAAAAGGUGAGAAAUCCAAUGGCUUGCAUGGUGUGUUUGAGAUGCAAGGAAAAGGAGAGGCCGAGAGAAAGAUUGUGGUAAAAACCGAGGGAAAAGAAGAGAGGAAAGAAAAGAGGCAAAACAAUUUUUAUGCAAAAUCAAGUGAAGUGAGGAGAGCUUGAGUUCUAGAUCGACCAAUGCUUGUACUUGUGUACGAGGAGGUUUUAUUUUCUACUAACGAUCUUUACUUAAGUUUGCCUAGUCCUAUUGUGUCUUUAUUGUAGAAAUUUGAAGAUGUCUUUCCUGAUGAACUUCCUGGAGGGAUACCACCGAUUCGAGGCAUAGAAUAUCAAAUUGACUUGAUUCCCGGUGCGCCAUUACCUAACCAACCCGCAUAUCGAAGCAAUCCCGAGGAGACAAAGGAACUUCAGUGGCAAGUUAGCGAACNNNNNNNNNNNNNNNNNNNNNNNNNNNNNNNNNNNNNNNNNNNNNNNNNNNNNNNNNNNNNNNNNNNNNNNNNNNNNNNNNNNNNNNNNNNNNNNNNNNNNNNNNNNNNNNNNNNNNNNNNNNNNNNNNNNNNNNNNNNNNNNNNNNNNNNNNNNNNNNNNNNNNNNNNNNNNNNNNNNNNNNNNNNNNNNNNNNNNNNNNNNNNNNNNNNNNNNNNNNNNNNNNNNNNNNNNNNNNNNNNNNNNNNNNNNNNNNNNNNNNNNNNNNNNNNNNNNNNNNNNNNNNNNNNNNNNNNNNNNNNNNNNNNNNNNNNNNNNNNNNNNNNNNNNNNNNNNNNNNNNNNNNNNNNNNNNNNNNNNNNNNNNNNNNNNNNNNNNNNNNNNNNNNNNNNNNNNNNNNNNNNNNNNNNNNNNNNNNNNNNNNNNNNNNNNNNNNNNNNNNNNNNNNNNNNNNNNNNNNNNNNNNNNNNNNNNNNNNNNNNNNNNNNNNNNNNNNNNNNNNNNNNNNNNNNNNNNNNNNNNNNNNNNNNNNNNNNNNNNNNNNNNNNNNNNNNNNNNNNNNNNNNNNNNNNNNNNNNNNNNNNNNNNNNNNNNNNNNNNNNNNNNNNNNNNNNNNNNNNNNNNNNNNNNNNNNNNNNNNNNNNNNNNNNNNNNNGACGAUUUGUGAGAAAUUUCAGCACCAUUGCCGCACUUUAACUAAGGUUAUCAAGAAGCACGUGGGUUUCGCGUGGGGAGAAGAGCAAGAGCCAAGAGAAAAACAUUAAAUCUGUACAUUUAAUCUGCUAAAAGAUAAGUUGACUAAUGCUCAUUUGUUAUCUUUGCCGAAUUUCAAUGCUACUUUUGAAAUAGAGUGUGAUGCUUUUGAUAUAGGAAUGGAGCCGUGUUGAUGCAAGGAGGGCGUCCCAUAGCUUAUUUCAGCGAGAAACUGAGUGGAGCAACAUUGAAUUAUCCUACCUAUGAUAAGGAGAUGCAUGCUUUAGUGCGAGCUUUGGAAACUUGGCAACAUUAUUUAUGGCCAAAGGAGUUUGUGAUCCACACUAACCAUGAAACCUUGAAGUACUUGAAAGGGCAGUAAAAUUUGAAUAAAAGGCAUGCGAAAUGGAUGGAGUUCAUUGAGACUUUUCCAUAUGUGAUCAAUUACAAGAAAUGUAAGGAGAAUGUGGUAGCCGAUGCACUUUCUCGAAGGUAUGCGAUUCUAACUACUUUAGAAGCAAAGUGUUUAGGUUUUGAGCAUAUCAAGAACUUAUAUACUGAUGAUGAUGACUUUAGGAGAGUGUUUGAAGCAUGUGAGCAUGCUGCAUUUGAUAAAUUCUAUAGGUGUGAAGGUUAUCUUUUCUGUGAAAACAAACUAUGUUUGCCUAAGUGUUCUUUGCGUGAAUUGUUGGUGCGAGAAGCGCAUAAUGGUGGUUUAAUGGGGCAUUUUGAUAUUAAUAAGACUUAUGAAGUGCUGCAUGAACAUUUUUAUUAGCCACAUAUGAAGAGAGAUGUCACACGUGUCUGUGAGAGAUGUAUUGCUUGUAAGCAAUUGAAGUCUACAACUAAACCACAUGGCUUAUAUACACCAUUACCUAUUCCAACGCANNNNNNNNNNNNNNNNNNNNNNNNNNNNNNNNNNNNNNNNNNNNNNNNNNNNNNNNNNNNNNNNNNNNNNNNNNNNNNNNNNNNNNNNNNNNNNNNNNNNAUGUGGUUGUUGAUCGGUUUUCAAAGAUGGCUCAUUUUAUACCUUGUUAUAAAAUUGAUGAUGCAUCUCAUGUUGCUAAUUUGUUAUUUAGGGAAGUUGUACGUUUGCAGGGCAUGCCUAGAUUGAUUGUUUCAAAUCGAGAUUCUAAAUUUCUUAGCUACUUUUGGAAAACAUUGUGGAAAAAACUAGGAAGACGGUUGUUAUUUUCUACUACUUGUCAUCCACAGACCGAUAGUCAAACCGAGGUAGUUAAUAGAACUUUAGGGGUAUUGUUGCGUGCUAUUAUUAAAAAGAACAAAAAAUCUUGGGAAGAUUGUCUGCCACAUGUUGAAUUUGCAUAUAAUAGGAGCAUACAUUCUGUUACUAAAUUUACACCAUUUGAGGUUGUUUAUGGUUUUAAUCUGUUAACUCCUUUAGAUUUAACCCAUUUACCUGUUAAUGAGUGUGUGGGUUUAGAUGGAGCAAAGAAAACUAAAUUUGUCAAGGCGUUACAUGAGAAGACGCGCACAAAUAUUGAGCGCAAGACUGAGCAAUAUACAAGGCAAGCCAACAAAAGGCGCAAGGAAGUAGUAUUUGAACCAGGCGAUUGGGUUUGGGUUCAUUUGCGCAAAGAGUGAUUUCUUGAGCAACGACAUUCUAAGUUAUUACCGUGAGGGGAUGGACCAUUCAUGGUGUUGGAAAGAGUUAACAAUAAUGCCUACAAGCUUGAUCUUCCAGGUAAGUAUGACCUUAGUGCCACAUUUAAUGUUUAUGAUUUAACUCUUUUUGAUGCCAAUGAUGAUUUGAGGGCAAAUCCUUUGCACGGGGGAGGGAAUGAUGUGGACAUCAAGCCAUAUCGAGGAGGAGGUGCUAGGGACCCAUUGUCUAUUCAUAUUAGUUCGAUUACUCGCGCGUGGGCCAAGCAAUUUAGGCAAUCUAUUGGCGUCAUGGUUCGUGAUCUUUGGCGUAGAGAUGACCUUGGAUCAAAUCUUGAAGAAUCUUGGAAAUCUUGGCGCAAUUUGAUUAUUUAGUCAUCAAAUAUUUGACCAAGUCAAAUAUAUAUAUCUUGUUUAGGAAUAUUCUAGAAUAUGAUGCAUUAUAUCUCUAGGAUUGGUUUUAGGGUUUGUGUGGCGGCUAGAAGGCCUAUAUAUAAAAUUGACCGAAUUUCUUUAGGGGAUAGACAUAUUUUUAUUUUUGAGGAAAAAGUUGAGAGAUUCUCUUCUACUGUUCUUUUGAGGACUUGACCUUAUCAAUGUUCCCUUGUGACGGUCGAUUCGAUUUAUCGAGCGAGAUAGCGAAUUCUUUCGCUUGUGGCGUCUAUAACGUUGGUUGGUUGACACGCGUUCGUCAACAAGUCACGUUCAUACCGAGGUUGCCAAUCACAGGUUUGAUUGGAGGUUGAGGUUCGCAAUUCGCACCAUCCAGGCCUUUGUGAAACGAUCUUUUCGCAACGAUUCACAUCAUCUAGUCCCUAAUUAAUCCAUUCUAACCACCUAACAAGCACAAUUGAAUAAUUAAAUCACUAAUCCAUUCUAAUUAAUCACCUAAUCUCAUCUUAAGCUAAACUAAUCACCCAUUAAGUAUCAUUAGCGCCAUAAUGAGAGUUUAGUGCAUAAACUUACCGAUUUAGCACAAAAAUCGGUUCACGAUGACGGCGGCCCGACAGUAGCCGAAACUCGGGCUUACAGCGGCGCCAAAGGAAGCUCGGAUUGGGCUGAAAACGGUCCGACACGUCUCAACUAAAGCUAAGAUUCAAACUUGCUUAUGUGGAGGGCUGCUAGUGGCAGCGUGAACUAGUCGAGCAGCGGGACUGAGCUGGGUACAGAGGAUCGCUGGGUUGGUGGCUUGAGGAGAAGAUGAAGCUAUUGUGUGAGGUCGAUGACUAUGGAGUUGGGCCUAAUGUUGGUGUUGCAUCAACUAAAAUGAGGGGAAGUAAACUGGCGUGAAGGGUGAGCUGGCAGGCUGAAACGGUGAGGCGGUGGUUUGGUGGGGAAUCGGGCUUUGGGGUGAGCGUGCAGGGGAAAGCUGGAUGGAAGGGCGGCAGCUUGAGGGAAAAGAAGAAGACGUGUGAGAUGGAGGGAAGAAAAAAAAGACAGAAGGGGAAGUUGGCAGCUAAGGGGGAAAGAAUUGUGCAAGAGAGAGAGGGAAAGAGGGAGAGACAUGCGUGAGAGGGAGAGGGCCGAAGGAAAGGGGGUUUGCACGUAUGGAGGGAAUGAGGGAGGCCAAAUGGUCAAGGGAAAAUAUUGUUGUGAUGAUUAUAAUGCCCCUAAAGUCCAAGCUUCAUCCACAAGUCAUUUUCACACCCAAAACUUCACCAACAAGCCAAAUUGAAGGUCAAGCAAGGUCCAUGCAGCUACACGAAUUUCCUCUUCAUUUUCUCUCAAUUCUUCUCCAAAUUAAGUCAAAUUGAGGGCCAAAAAUCCCAUGGAGGCAACUCUUACGAAUUUACACCAAGUCUCCACAAUUUACUUUAAUUUGGUAGCCAGAAAAUCUAAUUAAAGAGACCCCUCCGAAUUUAUUUUCUUUUUCGAAUUGAUUGAAAUUGAUUUUCCGUAAAAAUUCUAGGCUCACCAAAAAUUUCUCGAAAGAUGAGAUGAAGUCCUAAAAAUAAAUCGUGACAUGCUCAAACUUUCGAUUCCUGAAACCGGGUUUAAUUUCUUGGUUAAUUUGGAUCGGACGCGAUUUUAGCGUGACCUAACCUACUGGGUAGCUUUUAGGAAUUUUUAGCACAAUUGACCCGUGGUCAAUUAUUUUCGAAUCAUAUUGUACAUCUUCGACACAUUGGCAACUCUUGGUUGUUAUGAAAAUCUCAAGGGUUCAAAUACGGACAUGGGGUACCAAAACAACAGAAAAAUCGGUCGAGUGCCGAUCGACAAAAUUUUUGCAAUUAAGUAAAAACACCCACACUUAAUCACAUGAUUUGAUCGAAUCGACCUAUCUCCGGUCUCUAAUCGAUUUUUAACUGUGUCGUGGUGACCCUUACAGAUUAGCAUGAUCGAGCAAUUGAAUCCUGGUUGAAUUCUCAAGUCAGCUGCAUUUAGAUUUCUUAACAGCUUCACCUGAUAUGCUAGUUAUAUUGUGAGUGGCCAACUUAGAGAAAAGAACUAUAGGCGCAUCGAUGAAAAGCCUAUUUCAUUUAGUCGAAAGCAGGGUUUGAAAAUCAGAAUGUCACACAGCUGCACUCUCACCUAGAGCGGCAUCUACUACCACCGCGGGGAUCUCAAAACCCUAGAGGGGACCCUUCCUGUAUCCAAUGAAUCCGUGGCGAAACCACGCUCUGAAUCAAUGGGGGUACCUUCUGAGGUAGGCCUUCAUCGACCUAGACAGUGGUCACCAUGAGUUCAUAGACCUUGUGACCCUCGAGGUCAGGGUAGUCAAAACUCUGCUCGGUAACCCUCAUAGGCUGACCAAAACGUUCCGAAAGAACCGCCAUCUAAGGACCUAAAAAGAUUGAGCCACAACGGGGUGAGACAAUGUCUCAGCAAGUUCACCCUCUAAACUCCGACUAGGAAGGAAAUAUAUCUAGAGGCAGUCUAUGCACACGAGACAAAGGACUUACUUUGCCUUAGUUCCUUCCUACACAUCAAUACAAUUCAUAUACUCAACCAAUUCAUUCCUUCAAUAAAUUCAAUCGAUUCCAAUUCGAUUAUUGCUCGCACAAGCAUGAACUACCAACACACAUUGGUCCUUUGGCGUAGCCAGGGAUUACUGUUCACAAGCUGAGAUAGACUAUUGCUCACACAAGCUGACAGACCAUUGCUCACACAAGUUGACACAGAUCAUUACUCACACAAGCUGACAGAUCAUUGCUCAUACAAGCUGAUACAGAUCAUUGCUCACACAAGCUAAUACAUCGACUCACAUCGGGGAUGGGUUCACUUAACCAGAACUAGAAAAAUUGAUAUUCAUACUUUUAAAAUCUCACGAUUCGAUAUAAUCCUUAAAACCAUUUUCGGUGCUAAAACCCGACACCCGGGAUUUUUCUAAUAAAAUAUCAAAACUUCACAAUUUUGGAAUAAAUAACCAAAAUCACAAUUAUCACUCAAUUUGCACAAUUUAACAUUCAAUUGCAUAAACUAAGCACACCAUUGCAAUCAGCAUGAAAUUUCGAUCAUCGGCUAUCCCGAUAUAAUUUUUGGAAAAUAAUAAAUAAUUAAAUAAAUACCAAAAAUAAUUAAAUAAAUACAAUUAAAUACCAAAAAUACCAACUUAAGCCGGAAAUGCUAAAUUAACCACCUAAACAAGCCUAGAAAAUUUCUGAACAUAUCUAGAUAAAAAGCACAAUUUAUCUAGUCCCUAAUUAGGCCAUUCUAACCACCUAAUAUGCACAAUUGAAUAAUUAAAUCACUAAUCAAUGCUAACUAAUCACUUAAACCAUAAUUAGGUUAAACUAAUCAACCCCUAAGCAUCAUUAACUCCCUAAGCAGAUUUUAGCAAGUAAACUCACCGAUUUAGCAUUCCGAUGAGUUCACGACAACGGCGACGCAGAGGUGGGCAACAACCGAGCCUGCGGCGACACCAACGGAGGAUCGAGUGGGCUUAAAAAUGGGCCAUGAAGACCUAGGGCCCUUGCUAGCUUCGGCUACUGACCUUGGGUAGAAGGAGCUGGCGUAGGGCUACUGGCUGGCUGAAAUGGCACGGAGGUGGUGUAGCGGGGCCAGGUGGUGCUCAACGGUGGCUCCGGCGGCUUGGAUGGUGACGGAUGGUGGCCUAGUGACCUGUGACUGCCUGGACAGAGGUUUGGGGAGCGACGAGGAGUUGCGAAAUGAGCGGAAUGGCAAGGACACUCGGUUGGGCUAGCGGUUGGCGCGACGGGCGAGCGAGCGGUGUGCGGCGGCUCUGGUGGCUCCAAGCGUUGGUCGAUGGGCUAGGGGGGGCUUGCUCUAUUUUCCUCUGAUGUGUACAACCUCCAAAUACGAGGACAUACUAUGAACAUUCGAUGUGUGUGCAUCUAUGUGGUGCUUAGAGAAGUUACUCCUAUUUUGGAGUUUUAUAUGGUUUUAUGUCCAAGCUAUGGUAAGCUAAAAGUUAGACACGGGUUUCUCUAAUUUUGUAUGUUAUAUGUGGUUUGUCCUCGGUGUGGGUAAUGAAUUGGAGCCACGACGCCGAGCCUUGCCCCAAGGAUGUGAGGUCAACCCUUGGUGAGGGCAUUAAGGCCUUCGCCAAGGCCUGGCAAUCGAUAGAAGAAGAAGAGGAAACAAGUACGUAAGAAAUGAAAAGAAACCGAAAAGAAAAAGAAGGGUAAAAAACAGACCGAAAAUAAUACUUUUUUUUUUUUCAUUUCAAUUUUUUAUUUCAUGUGAGCAUUGGUCAUGUUACGUUAGAAGGCCGCCAAUGCUUUAACACUUUAACACCUUUCGAUACGUGGUCAACAGAUAUCAAAAAAUUUGACACGUGGUUAACUCUUCUAACACGGUCUGACAUGCUAGUCCAGAAUUCUGACACAUGAUUUCGACACGCUUGGGUCAAUUUUAAAAUUUUGCAAUAGAUGACAAGUCAAAAUGUAAAUAUGUACAAAAAUAAAUAGUAAUAAAAAUAAUAAAAGGGAGAAAGGAGAAAACCUAAUCUCCUCUUCUCUUUUGACUUUUACUUCCUAUAAUUCACAAUUUUUAGUGUAAAUUCAUUCUAGUCUUUUUUUAAGUCUUUUUUUUAUCAUAAUUUAUUUAUUUGUGAAUUUGAAUUGAAUUAAUUUGAUUGAAAUAAUCAUGGAAAUGAUAAUUUAUCAUGUAUAUAUAUAAAUAUAUAUUUAAUAUACGAUGUGCCCUAAUGUGUUCAACUUUUUUUUUCUUUUUUUAGAUAUGAUGUGUCGGCGUGUCGUGUCAUUUUGCGUGUCGCGUAUCGGUGUCGAUGCUACUUAGGAUUAUAUUGAAAGGUAAAACGUUAAAAAAUUUAGAAGUAAAUUGAUCAUAUCAAAAUAUUUAAAAUUGACUUGGUAUACAUGUCAAAGGUUUAACAACUUUUUACUAAUCAUUCUAUAUUUCGACACUCGUGUUGUGGCUUUUUUCUCCCAUAGAGGUUAUGAAUUACAAAUAUAGUAAUCUAAUUUUGGCCAAUUUAAGAACGGUAAUCUUUUGUCAACCCUCCUAGGAAAAAGAAUUUAUUGAACCUCGAAACAAUAGCAUAGCGGCUAUGAAGCUGUAUAAUAUCAUGCUACCAUAUAAAUGUAGAGUAGCUCAUCAUACCAUUUUCUUAUCUUUUUCAUAUGAUAAAAGUCAAUGUAAAAAGGUAGUUUCAACUAUUUCCUCAUCAAUGACGAUAACUUAAAUUUAUAGCACUAUCAAAAUUAAAUUUUCUUGUUUUUUGCUAAGUUAAAAUCUAUCUUACUUCACAAUAAUUUAGUUCAUCACUGAAAUCAAACAAAAUCUUUAUCUUCUCUCUAUUAUUCUACUUUCCAUGUACCAUUUUUCCAAUGAAGGAUUUAUCUCAACAAGGAAAAUUAUUUUAAUGAAAAGACGAUUAUGCCCUUCCGGAAUCAUCCAAUGACUCUCUAUCCUAUCACGAAGACAAGAACCGCCACCUUUUAGCUCUCUCUCUCUCUCUCUCUCUAUAUAUAUAUCAACACGUAUACCGUAUAGUUAUAACAGAGUCACUUUAGAGACCGAUCAAGAUCGCCAGGAAGAACGACGCCUCCGCUGUGAAAACACCCACCGAGAUGGCCGAGAAGAGCAGAGUCCUGGUGAUUGGAAGCACCGGAAGCAUCGGAAAGUUCAUUGUGGAAGCAAGUGUUAAGUUUGGUCACCCUACCUUCGCUCUCGUGAGGGAGUCCAGUCUCUCCGACCCAGCCAAGGCCAACAUCGCUGAAGGUUUCAAGAGCUUAGGCGUCAAAUUAGUUCACGUGAGUAGUUCUUCUGAUGCAAUCCUGUUCGUUUCUCGCAUUUGCUGCUCCUUUGAGGAAUCGAAGCGUCCCUUACCGUUAAUCUCAUCCGUCGUUUCGAAAAAUGUCUUUAACCGUAGAAUCAGAGUCGCAUUUGAUCUCAAUCUUUCACAAGAUUGAGUUGAUAUUUGCUGCUUCUCUUUCCCUCCUCUAGCAAUUUGUCCCUGUGUUAUUGGUCAUUUUUCACAUUGACUGACGAAUCGCCUCAGCUUCGCAUUCCGAUACGAAGUACAAAUAGAAUACAUUUUUAAACAAAUCUUAUGAAAACUUCUAUAUUUUACGUACUGCCUAAAUGAACUUGUAUAUAAAAGUGAAUGUGACUGACCUGUAAUUCAGAUGUCACCGCAAAUCCCCUGCUAUAACCUUUCAAAAGAUUGGUAGGCAAUGUGUGGUAAUUCUGUGGAUGCUUUAUUUCUUAUAAAACUUUUUCUCUUCUGGUGAAGCUAUUGAAGUCUUAUCUACAUCAGACUUCAUAUCUAUCCUUUUUCGUAGUCUUCCUACUGGCAAAGAUAGGAUUGAUUGAUGAUUGGCGACUUUAUUGAUUGUUUGUCCAUGCUCUUGAUUACUUGAUUCUCAGGGAGAUGUAUACGAUCAAGAGAGUCUGUUGACUGCGAUUAAGCAGGUUGAUGUGGUAAUCUCUGUUGUGGCGCAACAACAGGUAGCGAUCCAAGAUAAGAUUGUUGCAGCCAUCAAAGCAGCUGGGAAUAUCAAGGUGUGCAGUUUAUAAUAAUUUCAUCCAAGUUACCAUUGCUCGUUUAACAGUUGACUGAUGAUAUAGGAUGGUGCAAGCUUAACUCUUUUCUUUUGAGAUUAGUGCAUCACGUUCUCCUUGUGAGCUCCACUCUGAUGAAAUGGGAUGGAUUCAUUUACUUAUCCGUAGACUUCACUUCUUUCCUUUUUAAACGGUCAUGACUUUCUAUAGAAGUCGUUAAUGAAAUUUGAGGCUUACUAUUUCAAAUCCAAGUACCGGACAAUGCCGGAUUCACUGUGGUUGGGUUUCCUCUAGGUCAAUGAAAAAAAAGUAAAAGGUUUCAAGCGCUCGAUAUGGAUUAUGGUCAUGUACCCUAUCCUUUGAUCAAUAAUGGGAAACAUGAACUACCUAUUUCUUCAAAAGGUUAUUUUAGGUAAAAUUAAUAUUAUAGCAAAUAAGUUUUCAAAACCCAACUGGUGGAUAAUUUAGUAGUUGUUGCCUAGGGGGUUGACGGUCGGUAAAGAGUGGAGCUUAGCAUGCUCACAAAAGGCAAUGUACUCACCUGAUAUUUUAUUUCUUGUGAAAAGUGUACAAGUAAGGAGCAUCGUUGCGCAUUUUAUACUUGCCAGAUUUAUUUGGCUAUGGCCUAUGGCCCUAACAAUUAAAUCUUCAGUUUUCUUUUCUUCUACUUUUCUAAUAGCACUUAAUUUCUAGUCUUGAUUCACUUAUAAUCAUUUUUACUAUAUUAUAGUCCGUUUGGAAAAAAAAAAGAAAGUGAAAUUCAGUCUCAUGUAAGUUGUUUUCUUUGUUUUUUCUGUCAUAGUCACAUGUUGAAGAAAAAAGUCAAACAUUGUCACAUAUGAGUUUGGUUUCCUUUUUUUUUUUGCCAAAACUCAUGUAAGUUUGUUGGAUGAGGUGAAUUUGCUCUAGUUUUUUUGUUGCUUUCUAAUAAAAAUGUAUGUCCUGAUUCAAUUAAUUUUCUUUUUAGAGAUUCUUGCCUUCAGAGUUUGGAAACGAUGGGGAACGUCACCAUGCUGUGGAGCCAGCAAAAACUGUAUAUGAUACCAAGACCAAGAUCCGCCGCCUUGUUGAGGCUGAGGGAAUCCCUUAUACACAUGUGGUUUCUAACGCUUGUUCAGGUUACCACCUUUCGAAUUUGUCACAGCCUGGGGCUACAGCUCCCCCAAGAGAUAAAGUUGUCAUCUUAGGGGAUGGAAAUGCAAAAGGUAAGAAGCAGUGUGUCGAAAUGCGCAUUUUAAUUAGUUCAGAUAUUUCUGGAGGUUGAUCACGAUUUAAUUACGGUAGUGAUCAGUGUGAGGGGCAGCUCUUGAAGCUUGAGAAUUCCAGGGCAACGUCCUUGUCUGGAGAUGUUGGGACUCUUACAUCCAUUAGUCUUCACCUUCAGAGACUAAUAGAUUAUAUGAGUGUGUCGUGGUUUAUCUUGGCAUAAUAUCACCUAGUGGGCAGAUCGUGAAUGUUCUCUUUAUGUAUUUGGUGGAGGAAAGAACAUACGGAUGCAUCUGUCUGUUGGUUGUCUGAUGAAUCUGUUUACCGAGAGAAUUCUUCUUCAAUUCAAGCCGAAAGUAACACUAGGAAGAUCAGUGACUCUGUGAUUUAUUUAUGAGCUCAUGUCUUUCUGGGAGAGAGAGAUCGGCAAGGCUCUAGAGAGGGCGUAUGUUCCAGAGGAGGAGGUUCUAAAGAAUAUUCAAGGUUAGGGCUGCAUUUCUAUUGGAUUUAAGUGUGUAAAUUGUCUCUGUUCUCUCUAAAGAUUUAAAGCUUGUCCAGUCAUUACAGAGGCGGCGUUUCCGCAGAAUGUGAUAUUGGCAGUACUCCAUUCUGUUUUCGUGAAAGGAGACCAAGCCAACUUCGAGAUUAAGCCAUCAUUCGGAGUGGAAGCUUUGGAGCUCUACCCCAAUGUCAAGUACACGACUGUGGAUUAGUAUAUGGAUCAGUUUAUUUGAUUAUCGAACCCGAUUGUGCUUGUUAAAUUUCUCAUAUCGGCUUAAAUCAUAAAUAAUAUAGGAUGCUGCUUCUUAGGAUCCUAGUGUGAAAUGUCGCAUGCCCUGAUCAUCACAUGGCAUGUACAACCCCAAAGUUCGAGGACAUCCUAUGAAGUGCUUGGAGAAAUUUAUUUAUGUUUUGGAGAUUAAUAUUAGGUUCAUGGCCAAGCCGAGCUAGCACAAAGACAUGGAUUUUUCUAUUUUUCUAUAUUGUAUUUUCUUGCACGUCUAAAUGAUUCAAGACGACCACUAUCGAGAAGUCAGAUACUAGAUGUAUUACCAAAAAUGAAAUCUCCGUCAUGACCUAAUUAUGGAUAAUCUUAAAGAAUGACGAGUUAAAACAAACGUAAAUCGAUUAACGAACUUCUCACAAUAUCGAGUUAUCGUUAAUGUUUUGGGAGCUUUUAUUGUAUGAAUUUUCUUAACGUGAAAUACAUUAAUUGAUAUUGUAAGAAAUUUCUGUUGAUCGGACCCUCCUUGCCUAUAAAUAGGCGGGUUGCGAUCUCUGUUGAGGACGAGCGAGCAAGCUUGGAGAACUUCCCUGGAGAGACUUCAGGGGAGGCUCAAAGAGUAAGCAAGCAAGAGAGGCGUCGCGAGCUCAAACGACCUCCCCCAAGAGAGGUCAGGGGAGGUCGGCGGCGAGCGAACCCGAGAGAGAGGGGCUUCACGGUGAGAGAGAUCGUGAGCAAAACCCAGAUCUGUGGGUUGUGGGUGGAAGGGGGUAGACUGCCGUCGACGGUUGCGCCUGCAUCGUGACCAGCAACCCCACCGCUACGCCUCCUUGGCCGGUGAACUACGGUCUUCUUUUUUUGCGUUCUGGGCAAGCCAGGCCGGAGCUUGCGACCGCUUGGUUGCGAGCUUCGGCCGCGUUUAUUCCCUUUUUUUGGGCUGCUGUUGUGUUUGUUCGGCCAAAGCUACGGUUUAGCUCCAACCUCGUUCGGGCCGUGAGUCUCUCAACUCUAUAGCACACACCAUCCGUUCGACGAAAUGCCAAAGCUAGAUCCGGAACCUUGCGCUGAGGAAGUCCGUUCCAGAGCUUCAAUCACCGUCCGGAUGAGAGAGGAAAGACGUUGGGGAGACCUCCAGUCGAACGCUUUCCGCCGGCCAUGUCUAGCCAAGGCGGAUCUUUGCUGGCGACAAUAGCCAGCCAAGCUGGUUCUCAGCCGGCGACGGUGGUCAGCUGGGCUCGCCCUCGGUUGGCGCCAUGGCCGAUCGAAAGCUCGUCUCCGAUCUGGGCUGGCUGAGGUGUCACCGGACUGAGGGGUGUGGCCAGCCCACCGUGAGCGGCGUCCCCCAUUGGCGCCGUCUUCUUCCCUGCGGACAAGCUGCAGUGAAGGGGGGAUGAAUCGGGUGAGCCUGCGGAUCGGGCUAACGCAGUUCAUUUGAUUCUUCGGGUAGGGUUUCGUCAGCAUGGGCCUAUCGCGGCAGGCCGUCUGAUUUUCAAGCUUCAGUUGGGCCAUCUUUUUACAAAUCAAAAUCUGCUGGGUUGGGCUAAAAAUUAAAAUGUUGGGUUUGAAUUUCUUUGCGGGCCUGGCCCGCGCCUCAGGCUCGUUCCGAGCAGCCCCUGGUUUCUACGAUUGUGUCGUUUUUAUAUUAUUAUAAUUAUAAUAAUAUUUUAAUAAAAUCAAAAUAAAUAAAUUAUUUAUUCAAAGAGUCAGAAAAACCCAAAAAUAUUUUAUGUUUUCCCAAAAAAAUCAUGAACAAGCGAAAAAUAAUUUAUAUUUUCAAAAAAGGGUAAAAAAUAAAAAUAAAAAUGCUUUUAUGUUAAAGUGUGUUUUUCCUCCACAAAUGCAUAGAAAAUCCCUUGAAAUUCCAAAAAGCUUUAGGGUUCAGAUAAGAUUAGGUACCGGAAGGACAGUAGUGAUUAACUAGUGUAAUUAAGUUCCCGAUCUUAGUUUUCCUGGUUGCACAGAAGCGAAUAUUUCUCCCAAUAUUUCGCUUGGGUUUCUAACUCAACCCACCUCAAAUUGAUUAGUGGCGACUCAUUUUAAAAUUAACUUAUAGUUUUAAAAAAUAUUAAACCAUUAAGUCCUGAAUUGGUGAGCUUGGGAGAGCCCAAGCUAAGCCUAAUAGAUAUAGCCGAGCCAUAAGCCUAUGUAGGCACUCGCCCUAAUCGGGCACUGAAAAUAGAGAUUGUGACAAGGAACAUGCCCUAGUUUUUGUUGCUUUCUAAUAAAAAUGUUUCUUCUAAUUCAAAUAAUUUUCUUCUUAGAGAUUCUUGCCUUCAGAGUUUGGAAAUGACGUGGAUCGUGUCCAUGCUAUGGAGCCAGCAAAAAAUGCAUUUGCUAUCAAGGCCAAGAUUUGCCAUCUUAUUGAGGCUGCGAGAAUCCCUUAUACGUAUGUAUCUUCUAACUUGUUUGCAGGUUACUUCCUCCUAACAUUGUCACAACCUGGGGCUACAGCUCCCCCUAGAGAUAAAGUUGUUAUCUUAGGGGAUGGAAAUGUAAAAGGUAAGAAGCAACUUGAGAUUCACAUUUUUAUUCAUUGAGAUUUUUCCAUAAAUUUUUCACAACUUUAUCAUGGUAGUAAUCAAAAUGGGGCAAUUCUUGAAGCUUGAGAUUUCCAAGCAUCUUCUAUAUCUGGAGAUGUUGGCCAUUAGUCUUCUCUUUCAGAGAUUGAUAGAUGAUAUGGAAGUUUUGUGGUUUAUCUUAGCACAAUACCGCCUAGGCGGUAGAUCAUGAAGGUUAUUUUAAUGUAGUUGGGAUAGGAAAGAAUGUAUGGAUGCAAUUGUUUGGUGAUUCUGUUUAUUGAGAAAGUUCUUCUUUGAAUGCGAGCUGAACGGAACUCUAUGUAUAUCAAUGGCUUAUAUUUAUUAACCAAAUUCUAAAAUUCUCCGUCAAUACACAGUGGUUUUUAACGAGGAGGAUGACAUAGGCACCAAUACCAUCAAAGCCGUGGAUGAUUCGAGGACCUUAAACAAAAUUCAGUACAUCAAACCUCCUGCCAACACCUACUUGUUUAAUGAUCUCGUGUCUUUGUGAGAGAGAAAGAUCGACAAGACCUUGGAGAGGAUUUAUGUUGCAGAGGAGCAAGUUCUAAAUAACAUUCAAGGUCAGGUAUUAGAUUUAAGCACGUGUAUUGUCUAUCUCUCUAAGAGAUUUAAGUAUUCUGAAGUCAAUUGGUCUACUUGUAUUGUCAUCUUGCAGAGGCGGUAGUUCUACUCAAUGUGAUAUUGGCCAUAUCUCGUUCUAUUUUCGUGAAAGGAGACCACACCAACUUUGAGAUUGAGCCGUCUUUCGGAGUGGAAGCUUCAUAGCUCUAUCCCGACAUCAAAUACAUGACCGAGAACCAGUACCUUGAUCCAGUUUGUCUGAUAGCCGAAACUGAUUGUAUUUGAUAGGUUUCUCACAUCAGUUUGAAUCAUGAAUAAUAUAGGAUUUUGCUAGUUAGGAUCCUUGAGUGAAAUAUGGCUCCCGCCGAUCAUCUUAUGGCGUGUACAAACUCCAAAUACGAGGACAUACUAUGAACAUUUGAUGUGUGUGCAUUUAUGCAGUGCUUAGAGAAGUUACUCCUGUUUUGGAGUUUGAUAUGGUUUUAUGUCCAAGCUAUGGUAAGCUAAAAGUUAGACACGGGUUUCUCUAAUUUUGUAUGUUAUAUGUGGUUCGUCCUCGGUGUGGGUAUGAAUUGGAGCCACAACGCCGAGCUUUGCCCCAAGCAUGUGAGGUCGACCCUUGGUGAGGGCAUUGAGGCCUUCGCCAAGGCCUGGCGAUUGAUGGAAGAAGAAGAGGAAACAAGUACGUAAGAAAUGAAAAGAACCCAAAAAGAAAAAAGAAGGGUAAAAAAGAGACCGAAAAGAAUACCAUUUUUUUUUCAAUUCAAAAUAUUUUUCAUGUGAGCAUUGGUCGUGUUAUGUUAGAAGGCCAACGACACUGAUUGUAUCUAGAAAGUAUUGACACUCUUUGAGACGUAUCCGACACUCCAACACGUGUUCAAUAUGCUUUGACAUGUUCUGACACAUGGUCAAUAGGUGUUGAAAAAUCUGACACGUGAUCAACUCUCCUAACACGCAAGUUCGGUGUUACAAUUUAACACCUUUCGAUACGCACGCGGUCAACAGAUAUCGAAAAAUCUGACACGUGGUUAACUCAUCUAACACGGUUUGACAUGCGAGUCCAGAAUUCUAACACGUGAUUUCGACAUGCACGGGUCAAUUUUAAAAAUUUGCAAUAGAUGACGAGUCAAAAUGUAAAUAUGUACAAAAAUAAAUAGCAAUAAAAAUAAUAAAAGGGAGAAAGGAGAAACCUAAUCUCCUCUUCUCUUUUGACUUUCACUUCCUAUAAUUCACAAUUUUUAGUGUAAAUUCAUUCUAGUCUUUUUUUUUAUCAUUAUUUAUUUAUUUGGGAAUUUGAAUUGAAUUAAUUUGAUUGAAAUAAUCAUAUAAAUGAUAAUUUGUCAUGUAUAUAUAAAAAUAUAUAUAUUUAAUAUACGAUGUGCCCUAAUGUGUUCAACUUUUUUUUUUCUUUUUUUAGAUAUGAUGUGUCGGCAUGUCGUGUCGUGUCAUUUUACGUGUCGCGUAUCGGUGUCGAUGCUACUUAGGAUUAUAUUGCAAGGUAAAACGUUAAAAAAUUUAGAACUAAAUUGAUCAUAUCAAAAUAAUUAAAAUUGAGUUGGUAUACAUGUCAAAGGUUUAACAACUUUUUACUAAUCAUUCCAUAUUUCGACACUCGGGUUGUGGCUUUUUUCUCCCAUAGAGGUUAUGAAUUACAAAUAUAGUAAUUUAAUGUUGGCCAAUUUAAGAACGGUAAUCUUUUGUCAACCCUCCUAGGAAAAAGAAUUUAUUGAACCUCGAAACAAUAGCAUAGCGGCUAUGAAGCUGUAUAAUAUCAUGCUACUAUAUAAAUGUAGAGUAGCUCAUUGCCCAUUUCAUACCAUUUUCUUAUCUUUGUCAUAUGAUAAAAAUCAACGUAAAAAGGUAGUUUCAACUAUUUCCUCAUCAAUGACGAUAACUCAAAUUUAUAGCACUAUCAAAAUUAAAUUUUCUUGUUUUUCGCUAAGUUAAAAUCUAUUUUACUUCACAAUAAUUUAGUUCGUCACUGAAAUCAGACAAAAUCGUUAUCUUCUCUCUAUUAUUCCACUUUCCAUGUACCAUUUAUCCAAUGAAGGAUUUAUCUCAACAAGGAAAAUUAUUUUAAUGAAAAGACGAUUAUGCCCUUCCGGAAUCAUCCAAUGACUCUCUAUCCUAUCACGAAGACAAGAACCGCCACCUUUUAGCCCGCCACCUUUUAGCCCGCCCCCUUUUAGCUCUCUCUCUCUCUCUAUAUAUAUCAACACAUACACACGUACAGUUAUAACAGAGUCACUUUUGAGACCGAUCAAGAUCACCAGGAAGAACGACGCCUCCGCUGUGAAAACACCCACCGAGAUGGCCGAAAAGAGCAGAGUCCUGGUGAUCGGAAGCACCGGAAGCAUCGGAAAGUUCAUCGUGGAAGCAAGUGUUAAGUUCGGUCACCCUACCUUCGCUCUCGUGAGGGAGUCCAGUCUCUCCGACCCAGCCAAGGCCAACAUCGCUGAAGGUUUCAAGAGCUUAGGCGUCAAUUUACUUUACGUGAGUAGUUCUUUUGAUGCAAUCCUGUUCGUUUCUUGCAUUUGGUGCUCCUUUGAGGAAUCGAAGCGUCCCCUGCCGUUAAUCUCAUCCGUUGUUUCGAGAAAUGUCUUUAACCGUAGAAUCAGAGUCGCCUUUUAUCUCAAUCUUUCACAAGAUCGAGUUGAUAUUUGCCGUUUCUCUUUCCCUCCUCUAGCAAUUUGUCCCUGUGUUAUUGGUCAUUUUUCACAUUGACUGACGAAGCGCCUCAGCUUCGCAUUCUGAUACGAAGUACGAAUAGAAUACAUUUCAAAACAAAUCUUAUGAAAACUUCCAUAUUUUACGUACUGCCUAAAUGAACUUGUAUAUAAAAGUGAAUAUGACUGACCUAUAAUUCAGAUGUCACCGCAAAUCCCUUGCUAUAACCUUUCAAAAGAUUGGUAAGCAAUGUGUGGACAAUAAUUAUGUGGAUGCUUUAUUUCUUAUAAUACUUUUUCUCGUCUGGUGAAGCUAUUGAGGUCUUAUCUACAUCAGACUUCAUAUCUAUCCUUUUUCAUAGUCUUUCUACUGGCCCAGAUAGGAUUGAUUGAUGAUUGGUGACUUUAUUGAUUGUUUGUCCAUGCUCUUGGUUAUUUGAUUCUCAGGGAGACGUCAAUGAUCAAGAGAGUCUAUUGACUGCGAUUAAGCAGGUUGAUGUGGUAAUCUCUGCUGUGGCGCAACAACAGGUAGCGAUCCAAGAUAGGAUUGUUGCAGCCAUCAAAGCAGCCGGGAAUAUCAAGGUGUGCAGUUUAUAAUAAUUUCAUGCAAGUUACCAUUGCUCAUUUAAUAUUUGACUGAUGAUAUAGGAUGGUGCAAGCUUAACUCUUUUCUUCUGGGAUUAGUGCAUCACGUUCUCCUUGUGAGCUCCACUCCGAUGAAAUGGGAUGGAUUCACUUACUUAUCUGUAGACUUCACUUCUUUCCUUUUUAAACGGUCAUGACUUUCUAUAGAAGUCGUCAAUGAAAUUUGAGGCCUACUAUUUCAAAUCCAAGUACCGGACAAUGCCGGAUUCACUGUGGUUGGGUUUCCUCUAGGUCAAUGAAAAAAGUAAAAGGUUUCAAGCACUCGAUAUGGAUUAUGGUCAUGUACCCUAUCCUUUGAUCAAUAAUGGGAAACAUGAACUACCUAUUCCUUCAAAAGGUUUUUUUCGUUAAAAUUAAUAUUAGAGCGAGUAAGUUUUCAAAACCCAACUGGUGGAUAAUUUAGUAGUUGUUGCCUAGGGGGUUGACGGUCGGUAAAUAGUGGAGCUUAGCAGGCUCACAAAAGGCAAUGUACUCACCUGACAUUUUAUUUCUUGUGAAAAGUGUACAAGCAAGCAGCAUCGUUGCAUAUUUUAUACUUGCCAGAUUUAUCUGGCUAUUGCCGUAACAAUUAAAUUUUCAGUUUUCUUUUCUUCUACUUUUCUAAUAGCACUUAAUUUCUAGUCUUGAUUCACUUAUAAUCAUUUUUACUAUAUUAUAGUCCGUUUGGAAAAAAAAGAAAGUGAAAUUCAGUCUUAUGUAAGUUGUUUCCUUUGUUUGCUCCGUUAUAGUCACAUGUUGAAGAAAAAAGUCAAACAUUGUCACAUAUGAGUUUGGUUUCCUUUUUUUUGCUAGAACUCAUGUAAGUUUGUUGGAUGAGGUGAAUUUGCUCUAGCUUUUUGUUGCUUUCUAAUAAAAAUGUAUGUCCUGAUUCAAUUAAUUUUCAUUUUAGAGAUUCUUGCCUUCAGAGUUUGGAAACGAUGCGGAUCAUCACCAUGCUGUGGAGCCAGCAAAAACUGUAUAUGCUACCAAGGCCAAGAUCCGCCGCCUUGUUGAGGCUGAGGGAAUCCCUUAUACACAUGUGGUUUCUAAUGCUUUUUCAGGUUACCACCUUUCGAAUUUGUCACAGCUCGGGGCUACAGCUCCCCCUAGAGAUAAAGUUGUCAUCUUCGGGGAUGGAAAUGCAAAAGGUAAGAAGCAGUGUGUCGAAAUGCGCAUUUUAAUUAGUUCAUAUAUUUCUGGAGAUUUAUCACGAUUUAAUUACGAUAGUGAUCAGUGUGAGGGGCAGCUCUUGAAGCUUGAGAAUUCCAGGGCAACGUCCUUGUCUGGAGAUGUUGGGACUCUUACAUCCAUUAGUCUUCACCUUCAGAGACUAAUAGAUUAUAUGAGUGUGUCGUGGUUUAUCUUGGCAUAAUAUCACCUAGUGGGCAGCUAGUGAAUGUUCUCUUUAUGUAUUUGGUGGAGGAAAGAACAUAUGGAUGCAUCUGUCUAUUGGUUGUCUGAUGAAUCUGUUUACCGAGAGAAUUCUUCUUCAAUUCAAGCCGAAAGUAACCCUAGGAAGAUCAGUGGCUCUGUGAUUUAUUUAUUAGCCAAAUUGUAAAACUCUCCACCUCAAUAUGCAGUGGUGUUUAACACGGAGGAUGACAUCGGCACCUAUACCAUCAAAGCUAUAGAUGAUCCAAGGACCUUGAACAAAAUUAUGUACAUCAGGCCUCCUGCCAACACCAUCUCAAUGAAUGAGCUCGUGUCUUUGUGGGAGAGAAAGAUUGGCAAGACUCUGGAGAGGGUGUAUGUUCCAGAGGAGGAGGUUCUGAAGAAUAUUCAAGGUUAGGGCUGCAUUUCUAUUGGAUUUAAGCGCGUAAAUUGUCUUUGUUCUCUCUAAGAUUUAAAGCUUGUCCGGUCAUUGUAGAGGCAGCGUUUCCGCAGAAUGUGAUAUUGGCAGUACUCCAUUCUGUUUUCGUGAAAGGAGACCAAGCCAACUUCGAGAUUAAGCCGUCAUUCGGAGUGGAAGCUUCGAAGCUCUACCCCGAUGUCAAGUACACGACUGUGGAUCAGUAUAUGGAUCAGUUUAUUUGAUUAUCGAACCCGAUUGUGUUUGUUAAAUUUCUCACAUAAGCUUGAAUCAUAAAUAAUAUAGGAUGCUGCUUCUCAGGAUCCUAGUGUGAAAUGUUGCAUGCCCUGAUCAUCACAUGGCAUGUACAACCCCAAAGUCUGAGGACAUCCUAUGAAGUGCUUAGAGAAAUUACUUAUGUUUUGGAGAUUGAUAUUGGGUUCAUGGGCCAAGCCAAGCUAGCACAAAGAUGUGGGUUUUUCUACUUUUGGCUAUUGUAUUGUCUUUCACGUCUAAAUAAUUCACGGACGACCACUAUCGUGAAAGUCAGAUACUUAACGUAUUACCAAGGAUGAAAUUUCCGUCAUGUGCUAAUUAUGUAUAAUCUUAAAGAAUGACAAGUUAAAACAAACGUAAACCCAUUAGCGAAUUCCUGACAAUAUCGAGUUAUCGUUAAUGUUUCAAGGGCUUUUAUUGUAUGAAUUUUCCUAAUGUGGGCUUUUCAUCGACACGUUUAUAGUUUUUUUUUUUUAGCUGAUCACUCACGAGAUAACUAGUCUAUCUGGUGAAGCUAUUGAGGGAUUUUAACGCAAUAGACUUGAGAAUUUGACCAAAUAUCGUCGCUCGACUGUGCUAUCUGCAAGGGUCACUAUGGCAUUGAAAAAAUUGACGAGAGACCAUAGAUAGGUCGGUUCAAUAGAGGUAUGUAAUUAGUGUGUGGUUGAUUUCAUCUUAUUACAAAAUUCUCGUCGAAAGGCACUAAACCGAUUUUUUUCUGUCAUUUCUAUACCCUGUGCGGGUAUUUGAAAUCUCGAGAUUUUCACGACAAUCGAGAGUUGCCAAUGAGUCGAAGAUGCCCAAUGUGGCUUGAAAAUAAGCGACCAUGAGUCAAUUGCACUAAAAAUUCCUAAAAGAUGCUCGGUAAGUUAGGUCACGCUAAAAUCGUGCUCGGUUGAAAUUAACCGUAUAGUUAAACCUGAUUUCAAAAAUUGAGAAUUCUGUCAUGUCAUGAUUCAUUUUGGAAACAUUGACUCAUCCUUUAAAGAUUUUUCUACAAACUCGAGAUUUCGGCAAAAUUUCAAAGUAAGGCUAUUUUGGACUGGGAAAAUUAGAGGGCCAUUUUUAGUCACAUUUUUGUCCAUCAAGUUGGUUCAAUUGAUGAGAAAAAAUCAUGAGAUGGACGAUGGCAUCUCGGCUGAAUUUAUGGCAACGGAAUUGAGCCCAAUUGAUGAGAACUUGAAUCAAUUUGGAGGGAAAUUGUCCAAAAUUCGUAGGUCCUUGGAGUGUGCAACAUUUGGACCCUUGGAUGGCUUGUUAGGGAAGCCUUAGGUGUGCAAUUGGUUGAGGAUUGAAGGCUAAAGUGGUGGGGGUCUUUGUGAUGAGCAAAUGGGGAUAUUUGUGUUGACUAGAAGGCUUGGUAGCCCCCCUCUUGCUGUAGCUGUCUUCUUCUUCUUCAUUGGAGUGCUUUAUCCAUUGUUGAGUGAGUUUUGAGAGCUCAAAAUUCCAGAGAGAACCGGAGAAGACUCCCGUACUAUCGAUCGUCUCCCCUGCCGUCGUCGUGCAUCGUUGCGCCGCCCGUGCCCCGCACGUCUGCGUGCCCGUCUGCCUGCGUCCUAGCCUUCUAGCUGCAUCCCGAGCUGCCUUGGUCACCGUCAUAGCCUCAUUGGAGCUCCACCGUCGCCGUCCAGCCACCAUCAAGCACCAUUGUCGCCUGCUGCAGCCUCCGCCUCCGCCUCUCAUCCCGUAUUUGUUGACACCUAAAUUUUGGCGACCCGUUUAGUUAUUUAUCAAAAAAUUAGGGAUUAAUUUUAACCCCUAAAAAAAUAUUAGUUAAUUAAUUAAUUGCACAGCAUAUAGUUUUAGGUGCAUUCAUUUUAAUUUGCAUUUACAUUGGGCCGGUGAUAAAUGGGUUCAAAUUGAUGGUUCAGAACUUUAAUUUGGUGAAUUGGAUUAAGCCCACGAAGGGAGUAAAUCGGCCCAAGCCUGUAUCCUCGGAAAUAUUUUACGGAUUUAUUUGUGCGAGAUUUCAAAUUUUAGAAGAAUCCUCUUGCAAUCCUAAAUCAUAUCAAAAGCAAAUAUUGCAUUUGGAAAAAGGAAUUUUUGUGGAUACGGAUUUGGAAAAAAUAAAACCUUAACUUGUGAACUAUAAAUAGAUAAAAUGCGUAGGGUUUGAGGAGGAGGCCACAUGUUGAAUACUCGGCCACAUUGACGGGGGCUUUUCUAGGGUUUCUUUUGGUCAACUGAAAAGAAAAGAAAAAAAGUGAAGGAAAGUGAAAAGUAAAAGCAGAAGCAGCAGAGGGGAGGAAGUGAUUGGACAUUGACUGUUCAUCGUCUUCCCCACAUUCGCUGCCCCGGUUGCCAGCUUCUCUUCACCCGUGCCCGCGCUGCGCUGACGCCAUCAAAUCGUAAGCCGCUCGAACUCCCUCGUCACCCAAUCCGUCGCGCCUCCGCAGCUAUGAGCACCACCGCAAUCGGCAUCUAGCGACCGCAUCUCAGACCGCCCCCGGCGCCACCUCACCGCGACACCACACCAGAUGGGCCCGCUUCUGAUCAAUGCCUGCACCUGAAGUUUCUCGGCCCGCGACGCCCUUCGCCGGUGGUCCGAGCUGCUGCCGCACGCAUCUGCUCUGCCCCCAAUCCGACCGUGAAUCUACCCAGCCCGGAGUCCAAUCUCGCGUUCGCAAGACUACCAUGAUGUGUCUCCGUGAUCCAGCCCUGAAGCCUGAUGCCAGAGCCAUUCCUACUUUGCUGUCGAACCUUCCGCCCAGACGCAGCAACACCGCCCUGCCUUCGCCUGUGGUCCGUUUUAGCCAGCCCUCCACCCGAGGGACCAUCCGAGCCGGACCUGAGGUCCUCUGCUCGCAACGCCCAGACCCGGAAUCCCCUGCCCGCGACGCCCUGUGCCGAAGUCCGAACGUUGGCAAUUCUGACCGCGACACCCAUGUUCCGCCUACUGUCCCUGCUAUCCGGGUGCUUCCCUAUUCCUGCCGGUUCACCCUUUUCAGAGCUUCCUUGUUGGACUGACAACCUAUUGCCUUGGAGACCUGCGAGCAAGCCGUGCUUGAAAAAGGGAAAAAAAAUCAGAUUAGGUAGUUUUUAUUUUAUUUUUUAAUAUUAUGUUUUAAUGGAAUUGUUCUUAAAUAUAGGAUUGAUAUUAUGACAUGAAUUAGCCCCUCAAAUAAGGGAUUGAUAGUCUGAUUUUCACGCCCGAGAUCCGACUCACAAUCCCUUGCAAAAUCGUCAAUCCGAUCUCACGCCCGAGAUUCGAUUCGCGAUUUAAUUUAAAAUUGGCCAACCCGAUCUUAUGCGCGAGAUAUGGUUCGUCAAUUUUUGGAUAUCAAUCUUUUCUUGUUUGAUUUGCCGUCAUGGUGUUUGGAUUAAUUUUAUUUUCGUAAAAGGAAAAAAUCCAAAAAAAAUCGAAUUAGGAUUAAGUUUAUUUUAGAAUGUUCCUAGUCUUAGGGUUAUCUUGCAUGUUUAGAAUUGCAAUCUCAUUUCGAAUUUUUAAAUAAAAAUCCAAAAAAUGCGUUCAUUUAGGAUGUUAGUUUUCUUUAAUUUAAAUGGCACGUUUGAUUAUUUGGCAAUUUUAAAUUUCGAAUUUUAUAAAAAGAAACAAAAAAAAAUCAUCAUGCAUAUAUCAUGUUGAAUUAGGGCAUUCUUUGCACGUCAUUGCAUGUUUAUCAAUUAUAGGUAGAUAAUCUCUCCUAGAUAAAUUGCAUGUUUUUGUUAGGAAAAUAAAAAUGCCCAUGUCAUAUAGAAUUAGAUUCAUGAAAUGCAUGUCAUUUAGUGAUUGUUCCUAGGUUCAUUUAAUUAGAAAUUGUCCAUCAUUAGAUUAGGUCAUAUAAUAAAUGUCAUAGCUCGCAUAUUAAAUUACAUGUUGCGUGUCAUUUUUGUUGAAAUAAUUUUAUACGUCGUUGCAUUGCAUUACACGUCAUUAGAAUUAAGUCAUUUUGGUUAAUUUAGAUUGCAUAUUUAAUUAUUGCAUGUUCAUUAAGAAAUCACAAAAAAAUUUAUUCAUUCAUAUAGUUUAGGACAUGUUGCCAUGCCAUAUCACAUUGCAUUGCAUAUGGAUUAUAAUCUCGUUAAAAAAGUGAAAACGAAAAUUGAGUGAUGACGUGUUAAUUAGAAAUCAUAUCUAGAGUUGUUGAUGUGAAUUCUGAUCCAACACUGUAGAUGUUUUCGUUGCUAUGAGUUAAGUCUUGCAAUUUAUUCAUUGCUUUUCUUGGAUGUUAAAUUGAUGGUUUGUGCACCCGCAUGAUCGCCUCAUAUGUUAGGAAAAUAGAUUUAAAAUCAAUUCAAGCUGCCUGCCAAACAUUUUUCGAAAUAAAAGAGAAAUGUACCGAAAGGGCGUUAGAAAAAUCUAGCAUAACUAAGUCCCCGAACUCAUAGUAAAGUAAAUCUCCCGUUACUUUGCUUGGGUUUCUAAUCGACCCACCAAAAAAUAGAUUAGUGGCGACUCCUAAUUGAAAAUCAAUUGCAUGUUAAGAAUUUGAACCUAAGUCGCGAAUUGGUAUGGGCUUGGGAAAGCCCGAGUUAAGUCUAGGCAUAACAAUCCAUUAGCCAAAUCUUAGGUGGCUCACACCUGAAAAUUUGGUCAUGACAGUGUUGUUUCAACCACUUAGCUUGCUCUCUCGGCCUAGAGCAGAAGCCAAAGCUCAGCCCCUAGCUGAGGCUUUGUGGCCCGUUUUAGGCCCCGUCUGAACCUUCGUUGGUAUUGCCACAUGCUUGUUUAUUACUCACCUCUGCGUCGCCAUCGCCGUGGACUCACCAGCCCGCUAAAUCGGUGAGUUUACUUGCUAAACUUUGCUUGGGGAAUUAAUGACGUUUAGUGGAUAAUUAGUUUAGGCUAAGUGUGGAUUAGGUGGUUAGUUAGUUUGGAUUAGUGAUUUAAUCAUUUAGUUAUGCAUGUUAUGUGGUUAGAAUAAACUAAUUAAGGGCUAGAUAGAUUGUACUAUCUAUCUAGAUAGAUUCGGAAAUUUUCUAGGCCCGUUUAGGUGGUUAGAUUAGCAUUUUUGGCCUAAGUUAGUAUUUAUGUAUUUAAUUUACUUUAUUUAAUUAUUUUUGGAAUUUAUUUAAUUAUUUUAUAUUUUUCGAAAAUUAUACCAUAAUAGUCGAUAAUCGGAAUUUUGUGUUGAUUGCAGUGGUAUGUUUAGUUUAUGCAAUUAAGUGUUAAUUUGUGCAAAUUGGGUGGUGAUUGGAAUUUUGAUUAUUUAAUCCAAAAUUGUGAAAUUUUGAUAUUUAAUUAGAAAACCCCAGGUGUCAGGUUUUAACACUGAAAGUGGUUUUAAAGACUAUAUCAAACAGUUGGAUUUUAAAAGGUAGGAUAUCAAUUUUUCUGGUUCAAAUUGAUCGUGUACCCGCACACAAUUAUUUUACCAUGUGUUUUUCAUACGAAGAAAAUGGGCCAAAUACAUUAUUUUAAUUUGGACAUUUGAAUGUAAAGCAUGAUGUCUUGGCUGAGAUUUGAUGGAUGCAUGAAUGGUUAUGAGAACCCGUCCCUGAAAUGAGUCGGAUGGACAUGCCCUUAUAUGGGAUGCUCUAGCAAUGGAUGGCGGAUCGCGGUAGAGGCCAGAUCAAAGCUCGUGCAUAGACUGCAUUUAGGUGUAUUUCCUUUCUAGUUGGAUUUUAGGGGGUGAACUUGCUAAGACAUUGUCUCGCCCCGUUAUGGGCUCAACCUUUUCAGGUCCUUAGAUGGUAGCUCCUCUAAAGCGUUUUGGCCAACCCAAGAGGGUCACCAAAUAGGUCUCUGAGAUUCUUCUUCCCGGGGGCUAAGGAGCUUGGGUCAAUGAGCUUGUGAGGACCAUUGUCUGGGUUAAUGCGGGUCUACCUCGAAUGGUAUCCCAUCAAUUCAGAACGUGGUAUCGUCACGGGUGAAAUGGACCUAGAGAAGGUCCUCUUUAGGAUUAUGAGAUCCUUGUGUCGAUGUUAGAAAUCGCUUUUGGCAAGGAUACAACCAACCCUCCUGGUGGUGCAGUCGUGGACCCAAAUUCCUAGGAGAGUUCGGGAUUUUCAGCUGCGGGUUCGAAUGCCUAGAGGACCUGUAGAUUUUAUGCUUUUAUAGACUUUUGUUUAUAAACUAGUAUUGUAAAUAAACUAGUCGACUGUGUAUAAAGGUGUGUUAUAGUUGUGAAAUCAUGGUCCUGCUUUUCUAUCCCAUCUUUGUGCUAUUUGGGGAUUUAUUUAUACACUUCCACACGCACAUUAAAAUGAAUGGGUCAGCGACGCGUCUUGGGACGUUGCAAUUUAAUCGACCACCGAGGGAUGGGCACACACUCGAGGAUCUAGGCGUGACAAAACUCACCGGUUUAGCGAUCCGGUGAGUCCACAACGAUGGCGACGCAGAGGCGGGCAACAAACAACCCUGCGGCAACACCAACCAAGGCCCGGAAGAGACCUAAAACCGGCCUUGAAGCAUCACAGCCCUUGCUAGCCUUCAGCUUUUGCUUUGGGCCAAGCAAGUUGAUACCAGCGGCUGAAACGGCAAGGCGGGCGGACGGGCGGCUGCAAUGGGCUAGGUGGAGGCAAACAGCAACUGGACAAUGACGGCGGGGCUUCGAUGGCAACCAGGGACGACUAUUGGAUGGCGAGGCGAUGCGAAUGCUAGUGGUUAGGCACGAUAGAGGCAUGAGCGAGCGAGACGUCAUGCGACAGGUUGGCAGACGUGAGCGGCGGGUGCGGUGGCUUGGGAGGCUAGUCAACGAAAAGGGGAGAGCUACUCUGCUUUCCUCUGGUUUUUGGAGCCCAAAAUGGACAACAAUGGUUAAAGGUGGCCCUAAGCUUGAAGAAGAAGCUGCUGAAGACUUGGAGGGUCCCCCUUGGCCACAAAUAUCCUCUUCUUGAUCAUUGGUUGCCCCCAUCAGCUUUGCCCUAUCCACAGCCAACUUUGCAGCAUCAAAACAUCCCCUAGAAGCUUCCUUUGAUGCCUCAAAUGUUGCACACCCCUUGGCCUAUGGAUUUUGUACACUUUCCAUCCAAAUUGAAUCAAUUCCCCUCUAAUUGAACUCAAUUUGACGUCUAUAAAUCCAACCAAGGUGUCCUUGUCAAAUACAACAUUUUUCCUCACCAACUGAACAAACUUGAAUCUCAAAAACGCGACAAAAAAUGGUCCUCUAAUUUUCCCAGACAAAAAAUGGUCAUACUUUGAAAUUUUGCCAAAAAUCCCGGUUUACCGAAAAGUCAUUAGAGGAUGAGUCGAUGUUUCUAAAAUAACGCGUGACAUGUUAGAACUUUCAAUUUCACAGUUAAUUUUAAUCUAGCGCAAUUUUAGCGUGACCUAAUCUACUGGGUAGCUUUUAGGAAUUUUUAGCGCACUUGACCCAUGGUUGAUUAUUUUCAAGUCACAAUGUACAUUUUCGACACAUUGGCAACUCUCGGUUGUCGUGAUAAUUUCAAGAUUUCAAAUGCCAACAUAGAGUACAAGUUUAACAGAAAUUUUGCAAUUAGGUAGAAUCACCCACGCACUAAUCAUAUAUCUCUGUUGAAUCAACCUUUCUCCAGUCUCUGAUCAAUUUUGAUAGUAUCGUAAUAACCCUUGCAGAUUAGCACGGUCGAGCAGUCGAUUCCUCGUUGAAUUCUCAAGUCUAUUACGUUAAAAUUCCUUAACAGUUUCACCUGAUAAAUUAAUUUUCCCGUGAGUAAUCAAUUCAGGGAAAAGAACUAUAGGCACGUCGAUGAAUAUCCCAACUCAUUUAAUCAAAGACAGAACCUGAAAUUCAGGAUGUCACAUAUUUUGUCGACAUAACAAUCAAUUUUCUAGGUCAAAUUCAGACAACUUUUGGUAUGUCAAGUUGUUGUUUCAAAACAAUUUACGCCAUCAGCCAAAUUCAACAAAAUCGAUAGAUAAGUACUUUACGUGUGCUCAUUCUCCACCGUGAAUUUCUUCCGUCUUUCGUGGUCACUUUUGUAUGUGCUCAUUUUCCGAGUGAGGGAUGCUGGGUGUGGGGAAAUCAAUUAUGCCCUUUCGGAACCAAAAUAAAAUGACGAUUCAUCUCGAUGCACGCCAAUAAGCAACAACAGUUGUAGCACAAGACCGAGCAACUUCUCUAGGAAAAACCACACCUCUGCCUUGAAAGAACCCUUUGAGAUGGCUGAAAAGAGCAAAGUGCUGGUGAUGGAAGGCAUUGGAUACAUUGGAAAGCUCAUUGUGGAGGUGAGUGCUGAGUCCGGUCACCCUACCUUCACUCUUGUGAGGGAGUCCGCUCUCUCCGAUCCUGCUAAGGUUGGCAUCGUAGAAGGUUUCAAGAGCUUGGGUGUCAAUAUAUUCUAGGUGAGUAAUUAUUCACGUGCGGUUGUGUUCCUUCGCCAUUCUGAGAAAUGUUUUUAUCAAUAGGAUCGAAGUUGAUUUUUAUAUUUAUCUCUCACUUGAUGAGUUGAUGGAGUCACAUUACGAUAUGGCGUUGCUCUUUCUCUUCUUUGAUAUUUUGUCUGUGUGCAUGGUUGGAAUCAGAAAUCAUGUCCCUCUUCUUUUUAAAAUGCUUGAUGAGAUCUCAACUUUGGAUGAUGAUAUGAACGUGCACAUUUUCAGAUAAAAUCUUGUGGAAACUUUGGUAUGCUUUGGCUAUUUAUGAGGCAGCUAUAGCUAUGUGGCUGCACUUUGCUGCAUAGACAAAUCUUGUGGAUGAUUGCCAACUUCAUUGAUCGUUUGUCCAUGCUAUUUGUUAUUUGAUUCUCAGGGAGACAUAUACAGUCAAGAGAAUCUGUUGAUUGCAAUUAAGCACGUUGAUGUGGUAAUCUUUGUUGUGGGAUGAGCACAAGUGAAGGACCAAGACAGGAUUGUAGCUGCCAUUACAGCAGCUGGGAAUAUCAAGGUGGUGCCAUGCCUAGUCAUUUCAUUUCAAGUUACUAUUGUUGGUUUAGCAUUUUGUUGACACCUAAAUUUUGACAUCCUCGUCAUCUAUUUAUUGCAUAGAAUAAUUAGGAUUAAUUUUUAACACCUAAAAAAAAUCAAGUUGUGUAGCAUAGAGUUUUAAGAGCAUUGUUAUUAUUGCAUUUGUAUUAGACUGGUAACGAAUGGGGGUUUGAACCAAUAGUUCCGAACUUUAAUUUAACAAAUUGGACUAAGCCCAUGAAGAAAGGGAAUUGGCCGAAGCCCGUUAUUCUCUGAUGACCAAUGUUGACACCUAAUUUUUAUUUUUAUUUUCAAGCACACAAAAAAAAAAAACAAACAAAACCAAAAAAAAAAACAAACAAACAAAAGUUGAUACAAAAAAAAAGAAGAAGGGCCGCGGGGGUCGGGUCGGGCCGAUCCAGCCUCGGCUCGACCUAUCCCUUUUCCUUUUCUUUCCCCCCACGUGGGCCUUGGGCCCAACUCCUCCCUUUUUCCUUUUUCUUUUUCCUUUUUGCACGGCGCGGCCCGUGCUCAUUUGUCUUCUCCUCUAGCCGUUUCUCGCGCGGGGAAGCAGUGAAGGAGAAAGCAAUCGCCAGAGCAAAAGGGAGGGCGUGCAGGGGACAUCAAAUCCACGUGGGGGGCAACGCGAUCCGUAGGCGAGCAAGCCAGCAAAGAGCGGGGUUGGUCAAGCGAAGCCACGCAAGCAAGUUGGGUGGAAAGGAGAAAAGAAAAGGGCAGAACAGGGGGGAGAAAAGGAAAAUCAAAGAAAAAAGGGGAAAAAACAGGGAAACACCGAGUGGAGGAGAGGAGUAAGAGAGACCCCGGAGCCAUUGAUCACUACCAUUGGUCACCGCCAGAGUUGCCAACCGCCUCCGACUCUGCUGGAGUCUAGGAAGCAGAACAGAGGUGCGAAGCAGAGGGCGACAGGAGGGAGAGAGAGGAGAGAGUGGGAAAGCCGUGGGAGAUCAGCCAAGAAGUAGGGAGCCCCCAGGACGCCUCGCCACUACUGGAGAGCCGCCUGUUCGUCGCCGUCCACUACCAUAUUUCGCGGAAUCCAGGUUGGCCUUUUAUCGAACACUUGACGUGCGAUUUUUUAUAUUGAGUUGGCCGGAGCUCGUUUCGCCUGUUUCAAGCGAGCUCCAGCCCCUUUGUCUGUCCCUGUUAUUUUCCUUAAAUGUCGGUAGGUCUCCUUAGGUCUUCAGGUCCGCGCUCAUGCUUCGGCCGAGCUGGAGGCUCUUGGUCUCGUCCAUGCACUCCACCUGCUCGCCAAAAUACCCAAUCGGGAGUUGUUUUUUGUUUCCUUUAGUUGGAGAUCUAGCUCGACCAUUAGGCUGCUGGAAGGGAUGCUAUUGUCUAGCCGGAGGACGAGCAUCGUCCCCUGCCCUAGCCGGCACCGCCGUGCCCAGGCCGGAGAACCGCCCGAGCACGACGACAUCUCCCCCUGGUCGCAACUGGAAGUCGACCGACCAAAGGGAGGUCAACCAAGCGGGCUAGAUCUUGGCCCGCUCAGCCCUUCUCGCCCCGUAGGCCGAUGGCCUAGACUUGGUCUAGGUCGUGGGCCUGCUAGGAGCUCCUUUUGCGAAAGGGGUUGGGCCCAUUCGACGGGCCCAACUUGCACUUAAUUGCAAGCCCGACCAUUGGUCGGGCUUGUUCUUUUCCAAGUGGGCCAACGGCCCUAUGGUCAGGCUUGCUCUUUUCCAAGCGGGCCAACGGCCCGCCCCUCCCCAAUAGGACCGAACCCGAGUCCGGUCUCCAACGGGACUUGAACUGCACCGACCGACCCGAACUAGGGUCGGGUCAGACUGGACCCAACCCGGUUCACCCAAAAAAAAAAUUAAAAUAUUUAAAUAUUUAAAAAAAUUAUUUUAAAAAAAUUAAAAAAUUUAGAAAAAAUUCGAAAAUCAUAAAAAAGUAGGAUUUGGUUAGGAAAUGCCAUAUAUUGCCUUCUUAACCUAACUAGGCCUUUAUUUGCUCAUAUUUUGAUUAUAUCGCAUGUUUAGUUUGCAUAUUUUGUUUAUUAAUUGCACGUACUUAAUUUUAUGGCAAUUCGGAUCUUGGUAGCUAUGGUUGUUAUUUUAAUGAUUGUGCACCUGCAUGAUCACCUCAUAUGUUAGUGGAUAUGUAUAAAAUCAACCCAAACUGCCUGACAACAAAUAUCUUCUUUUAAAAUGAACAAGAUUAGGUACCGAAAGGGCACUAAUUGGUCAAUUAGUGUAAUCAAGUCCCCGACCCUAAAUUCUCUGGUUGUGUAGGAAGUGUGGCACACUCCCAUACCUCACUUGGUUUCUAGCCGACCCCAAUAAACUAGUGGUGAUUCAUUUUUGUGAAAAUCUUUAAAAAUAUCCCAAUGUCAAUCGAUGUAUGGGCUUGGGAGAGCUCGUGCCUAAUCAUGGAACUUAAGUCCGUCCUUUAUGCAAUACCCCUAAACCUGUUCUCUCCCCCCGAGGGGUAGGUCGCGACAACCAAAAAUUGGCUUAUGAUGAAUGGUGAUUUGAUAUUUUCGGUGAUAUGGAGUUGGAUUUUUUGUAUAUUCAUGCAAUCCAUUCAUAUAUCCUUAGUAAGGGUAAACGUGGGAAGGAAAUAUUGUGAUCACAUCUUUGCAAGGUUCAAAAUCUAGGAAAACUCUAUUAUGAUCUUGAAUUUUUGGCAAUGCUUGAUCAAUAAGUGGGCUAGUAUUUGGGUUAAAGAAAUAAAAUUAGUGGAGAAUAUUCAUCUUGCAUGGUCCAAUGUGGAAAGAUACGAUCAUAUGCACAAAGGAAAUUCGGAACAUAAAAGAUUAGCACCAGAAGGGAAUGUCGGGCUCGUUCUUCAUUGAAAGCGCAAGGAUUUGCAAAGAAAAGAUAUAUGCCUACAGAGAAGGCAUUCAAUCAAUGAGGAAGAGGAAAGGAAAUAGAAUAUAUUUUAAAGCAUGAACAGAAGGAAGCAAACUAUGCUUUAUUUCCUUGAUGGUUUACACCCUUUCACUAUAAAUGGACUCAUUACAGGACAGAGAGGGGGGCCACACAAUUGAGAAUACAGAGAGAGAGAGAGAGAGAGAGAGAGAGAGAGAGAGAGAGAGAGAGAGACCUCCUGCCACACCUACUUGAUGAAUGAUCUCGUGUCUUUGUGGGAGAGAAAGAUUGGCAAGACCCUAGAGAAUGUUUAUAUUCCAGAGGAGCAAAUUCUGAAGAAAAUUUGAGGUCACAGAUGCAUUAAUAUUAGAUUUCAGCAUGUGGAAAUUGUCUAUAUUCUCUAUCAUAUUCAAACCUUUUGAUGUCCAUCGAUCUACUUGUCCACUCAUAUUAUAGAUGUGAAAUCUCCAGAUGAUCUGAUGUGGGCCAUAUACCAUUCUAUUUUUGUGAAAGGAGACCAAACUAACUUUCAAAUUGAGCCGUCAUUCGGAGUGGAAGCUUUGGAACUCUACCCCAAUGUCAAAUUCAGUACCAUGGAUAAGUACCUUGAUUAGUUUGUUUGAUUGUCGAAACUUACUGUGCUUGAGGAUUUGAUUUCUCACAUCAGCUUGGAAUCAGAAAUGGUAAUAGAAUUCUGCUUCUUACGAACCUAGUGUGAAACGUCGCUCCCAUUGAUCAUCUCAUGGCAUUGUACAACCUCCAGCUAUUAAGACCUACUAUGGGUGCGUUUGGGACUUACUUUGCAAAUGGGCUUUGGCCACUUAAAGGCCUUUUGGCCAAAUAUUAAGUGUUUGGGAAAGGUUUUACAAACCCCAUUUGGGGAAGGCUGGCUUUCUAAAGGCUGGAAGCCCAAGGCUAGUCUGGGGGUGCCUUGAGCUUUCAAGCUUCAGGAAAGGCUUACGAGACACUAUUCAUCAAAUUUGCGAAACACUAUGCAUCUUCUUCAUUGAGGUGGACAUUCAGGUUGAGCAGGGUCAUGAAUGGCCGAUGACGAAGUAGAGAGAGGCUGGUGACGAUCACAACCACCCAAGUGACGGUCGUCGGUGGGUCGGGUGAUUUGGUCACGCGACUCUUGCUGAGACCCUUGCCUGAGGUCAUUGGGGUCGCGCGACCCCCGGCACAGUGGCCCUCGCCAAAGGUCUCGCUUGGGUCUCGCGACCCCCGGUGAGAUCGUCGCCUAAGGUCGCGCACCAAGCAGCCCUUGGGCCACACAACCUCAAGCAAGGGUCUCGCCGGAGGUCACGAGACCCAAGCAAGACCUUUGGCAAGGGCGGUUGCGCCGGGGGUUGCGGAACCCCAACCGAGACAUUGCCGAGGUCGUCGGCACAGGCGAGCUCGCCAAGGCCGCACGACCUCAAGCAAGGGUCUCGCCUAUGGGUGGCGACCUCGACGAGGGUCUCGGCCGGCAUUGCGCGACCCUUGCCAGGGGUCGCUCGACCGCAGGUGACCCUCACCAAGGCCACGCGAUCUCAGGCGAGGGUCUCGCCUGGGUCACCGGCAAUCGCCCGACCCCAGGCGGCCCUCGCCGAUGGUCUCUGAGGGCCGCCUAAGGUCCGACAACCUCAAACGAUGGCCGCCGUGGCACUUAAAGUCCUUUACAUUUUCCCAAGGAAUUUUCGCAAAAAUCUAAUCAAACACACCCUAUGAAUACUGAGUGUGUGCUCAUCUGUGCUGUGUGCUUGGAGAAGUCACUUAUGUUUUGGAGUUGUUUUGGGUUUAACGACUAGCUAAUGAAUAAAAAAAGGAAAAGGGUUUAUGGUGUCAUGCCAAAAGCCUUUUGGGUAAAACCUAAUUGACUUCUCAACCCUAGAAGACUUAAUUAGACAAAUUGAAAGUACAAGGAAUUAAUUAGAACAGGGGUGAAAAGUAUGAAUCUUCCUUUUUCAUUCACGUAGUAGAGCAUAGUUGAUACUCACUUUUCUGAAAUCAAGUACUUUGUCGGUACUUUGUCGGUCUUGGAAGAUCUCCUCAGAAUCUAAACUCGAGGUUUACAUAGUAGAUUUUUUUUAUAGAAGUCGGUAAGGAUGAUAUUUCUAUCACCAAUUGUUGAAGGGUAAGCUUAAAGAAUAGCAAGUUAAAACCCAUUGAUAAUACCUUGCGGUGUUGGAUUAUCCUUAAUAUUUCGAGGACUGUUAUGGGCAUGGAACAAGCAAGAAGAAAGAGAGGCAUGUGUCACGGUCUGUGAAUCCUCCCAUACUCAUGACACUUGUGAAUGGUGCUUGGGGUUAUCGAGUGAAGAGUGAGGAGGCAGAAGGGACGAACACAACUGGUUCGUGGGAGUGGCGUUAGGACGGUUGGUGCUGGGAGUUCUAGGAUAGAAAGAUUAUAUCACUUAGGAGCUCUGAAGGCAAGGAUAGCCUCCCGUGCACAAAUUGGUGGGGAGCUGAUGCCGCUCUCCUGACGAGGCCAUGGCAGGCCGAAACCAGUUAUUGAAGCUAAAGAGAUCUACUGUCUCACUUGAUGGACUAGAUACUCGAGCGAAGUUGAGCAUGGUAGGAUCUCGCACGAAGAAGCAUUCAUCGUAUAGUUCAUGGAACAGCUAAAGAAGAAAGGCUGGCCUGGUGAAUUCUGUUCGUCAGGCACCGCACGGGUCGUUCCGAGGCCAAGGAAACUCUCGGCCUGUGACAAGUGGUAUCAGAUCAAGAAUCCCUCUAGUAAGUUAGCAAGUCGGAGAAUUGAACUUCUCGCUUUAGUGCAGGUCGAACUGAUAAGUGCCCGGUCCGGUCCUAGUGAAUGAAGAGUGAAUGGAUGGGGCAAAAGAUGCUCAAACGAAGCUGGGCUCUCUAUUCCUAGGAUGGCAUUGGUACUAGGACAAGUCAAUUCCUUGCCAAGCUGAUAGGGAGUUGGAGAAGAACCGAACCCUUACUGAAUAGGGAUAACGUUCCUGGAUCGAUCGAUGAAUUCAAAGAAGAUGUCUACUGCCACGUUUUCAACAAGGAAAGAACCUCCAUUUGGUCUGCUUGGGUCAAAGAAGCUAUGUAGGCAAAAUGGUGCUGCCAAAAGAAAUGCCACACUCUCCAAAGAAAACGCAAGUGACCGAGAAAAGCCAAGUGGUUGAGAUCAAAAAAAGGCUAUCAAUGGAGCAAAACCUAUUUUGUUGGGCGAGCGUGACCAUUCGAUGUGAAAUCCCAAAAAGUGGCACAUCAAUGGUUAAGGGACACAAGGAAGCGACAGAGCAGAUUGCAACGAGGGCGUUGCAAAUUGAAUGGGGGAGAAUGUCACGGUUCGUGAAUCCUCCCGUACUCGUGACAUUUGUGAGUGGUGCUUGGGGUUAUCGAGUGAAGAGUGAGGAGGCAGAAGGGAAGAACACAACUGGUCCGUGGGAGUGGCGUCAGGACGGUUGAUGCUAGGAGUUCUAGGAUAGAAGGAUUAUAUCACUUAGGAGCUCUGAAGGCGGGGUUGGCCUCCCGUGCACAAACUGGUCAGGAGCUAAUGCCGCUCUCCUGACGAGACCAUGGCAGGUCGAAACUAGUUGUUGAACCUAAAGAGAUCUGUUAUCUCACUCGAUAGACUAAACACUUGAGCAAAGCUGGGCGUAAUAGGAUCUCGCACGAAGAAGCAUUCAUUGUAUUGUUCGUGGAACUGUUAAAGAAGAAAGGCUGGCUUGGCGAUUCCAUUCAUUAGGUGCCAAACGAGUCGUUUCGAGGCCAAGGAAACUCUUGGCCCAUGAUAAGUGGUAUCAGAGCAAGAAUCCCUCCAGUAAGUGAGCAAGUCGGAGAAUCGAACUUCUCGCUUUAGUGCGGGUCGAACUGAUAAGUGCCCGGUCCGAUCCUAGUGAACGGAGAGUGAAUGGCCGAGGCAAAAGAUACUCAAACGAAGCUGAGCUCUCUGUUCCUAGGAUGGCAUUGGUACUGGGACAAGUCGGUUCCUUGCCGAGCUGAUAGGGAGUUGGAGAAGAACUGAACCCUUACUGAAUAGGGAUAACGUUCCUAGAUCGAUUGGUGAAUUCGAAGAAGAGGUCUACUGCCACGUUUUUAACAAGGAAAGAACCUCUAUUUGGUCUACUGGGGUCAAAGAAGUUGUGUAGGCAAAAUGGUGCUGCCAAAAAGAUGCAAUUAACGAACAAUGUCAAACUUGCCAAAGAAAGCGCAGGUGACCGAGAAGAGCCGAGCGGCUAAAAUCAAAAAGAUGCUACCGAUGGAGCAAAACCUGUUUUGUUGAGCGAGCGUGACCAUUCGAUGUAAAAUCUCAAAACGUGGCACAUCAAUGGUUAAGGGACGCAAGGAAGCGACAGAGCAGAUCGCAACGAGGGCGUUGCGAAUUGAGUGGGGGAGAAUGUUACGGUCCGUGAAUCCUCCCGUACUCAUGACACUUGUGAGUGGUGCUUAGGGUUAUCGAGUGAAGAGUGAGGAGGCAGAAGAACGAACACAACUGGUUCGUGGGAGUGGCGUCAGGACGAUUGGUGCUAGGAGUUCUAGGAUAGAAUGAUUAUAUCACUUAGGAGCUCUGAAGGUGGGGUUGGCCUCUCAUGCACAAACUGGUCAGGAGCUGAUGCCACUCUCCUGAGGAGGCCAUGGCAGACCGAAACCAGUUGUUGAAUCUAAAGAGAUCUGCUGUCUCACUUAAUGGACUAGAUGCCCGAGCAAAGCUGAGCGUGGUAGGAUCUCACACGAAGAAGCAUUCACUGUAUUGUUCAUGGAACAGCUAAAGAAGAAAGGUCGGCCUAGCGAAUUUCGUUCAUCAGGCGUCGCACGGGUCGUUCCGAGGCCAAGGAAACUCUCAGCCCGUGACACAUGCAUGAUGAAUCUGGACACCUCACAAACCAAUUUCUUCACUAAUCAUGGUGGGCGCAGACUCGUGUCCUUUCCUAAUUAAGAAAGUCCAAUAAGGCGAUGUCUACGUAAUACUGUGUUUACUUUACAAAUUACGUAAAUUGCAAUUUCACAUUUCAUAUGAAUGAUCUAAGUAUAAAAUCUUUUCCAUUUAAUGAUAAAGAAACUAUCUUACUACGUGCUUAAUAUGUGUGUAUUGAACUCACUCUUUAGAACCGGAAUCAAUCUAAAAGUCUCGGUUUCCUUUUCUUAAGAACUUGUGAAUUUGAAAAUAUAGAAAUCUUAUGUUGCCCAAAAAAUCAAAAAGAGUAAUCUCUUGAUCAACCCCACUUUGGAAAGAAUCUAGUGCACCUCAAAACAAUCAUUUACCGAUAUGAAACGUUGUGAUAGCAUGCAUACCAUGCAAGCACAUGCACGUUGGAUAGCUCAUUGCCCUUUCAUAUUGUUUUCACUAGUCUUUUCAUAUGAUACAAAAAAAUAGUCUCAACUUUUAUUUACAUGAAAAAUCAUUAUAAGUUAUAAUAGUCUAAUAUUGAUUGAGAAACAAAAUCAUCAUACAAAAUAAAUUAGAAACUCUAAUCCUUCAAAAUUAAGAUUACUUAAAUCUUUAGCACCAUCCAAACUUAAGUGUAGAUUUUCUUAUUUUUAGUAAGUUUUUCACAAUAAUUUGAAUCAUCUCUCAAACUCGACAAAAUCUUUAUUGAAGUGCUUUAUAUUAGAUUUUAUUCUGUUUCUAUUAGUCCCCUUCGCACGUACAUCUUUUCCAGCUAAUGAUGAUAUCAAGAAGUUCACACAAACGACAUCUAUGCCUUUCUGAAAUAAAAAACAGAUGAACGAUUCAUCUCGGAUCCCGCCAACAUUUACGGCCCUAGACCGAGCAAGUUCGCAGGGAAAACCACACUGCUGGCAGAAAGAACGGGAAAAGUGUUAAAAAAAAAAGUCAAACAUUUUGCAUUUAUGCCAAUUUAAUUUUAAACAUUUUUUUGAUGCCAAUUAAAUCUUAAAUAUUUUUACGUUGUGCAAAUUUAGUAUUUUCCGGCCAAUUUCAGCCAGAUUUUACUAACUGAACAACGGCCGACUGACAUGAACAACUUUUAAUAAUAUUUUAAUAUUCUUUCUUUUCUUUUUUUCUUUUUUCCUUUUCCUCCUUCUUUUCUAGCCGGUCGCUGGCUCGAUGACCAGCUAGAGGCGACGGCCGACGAGGUCAACCUCGACCUCGCCGGCCACCUCGCUAGUGGCCGCAAGGGCGGCCUCAUGCUGAGCAGUGAGGCUCGCCCUUGCCAAAUCCGACAAGGGUCGAGCCCCACCCGCCCAGCGCAAGGCUGCCCUCGAGGCCUGGGCGACGAGCCUCACCUUCGUCAGAUCUGGCAAGGCUCACCCUCGUCGGAUCUAGCGAGGGUCGAGCCUCGCCCAUGGCUAGCAAGGACGAGCCCCGCCAACUCGACGCGAGGCUAGCUCGAGGCCACCCAGGCCAUGAGGGCGAGCCCUCACCGCCCAAGCCUUGAGAGUGGCCUCGCACUGGACAGGCGAGGCUCGCCCUCGCUGGAUCUGGCGAGGUCAAGUCUCGCUAGCCAUUGGCGAGGCUCAACCCUUGCUAGCGCAAGGCUUCCCUCGCGGCCGCCGGUGAGGUCGACCUCAACCUCGCCGGCCAUCGCCUCUGGCUGAUCGUCGAGGUCCGGCAACCGACUAAAGGACGAAGGAGGAGAAGGAAAAAUUAAAAAUUAAAAUAUUAUUAAAAUAUUAUUAAAAAUUGUCAACGUCAACGUUGAUUAGGCCACAUCAGCCGGCCGGCGUCUAAUCAGCAAAAUCUAGCCAAAAUUUACCGGAAAUGACUAAAUUGGUACAACGUAAAAAUGUUUAUGACUUAAUUGGCACCAAAAAAAAGUUUAGGACUUUUUUAACAUUUUUUUCCGAAAAGAAACUUAGGUGGCCACGAAGAACAAAGUCAUGAUGAUCGGAGGCAUUGCAUGCCUCGAAAGUACAUAGUUGAAGCGAGUGCUAAGUCCGGUCGCCUUACCUUUGCUCUCGUGAGGGAGCCUGGUCUCUCCGAUCCCACCAAGGUCAACAUCGCCCAAGGUUUCAAGAGCUUAGGCGUCAAAUUUUUCAUGUGUGUAUCGUGUUGUGAGGAGUCACUACGGUGCAAUUAUGUUCGUUUCCGACAUCAACUUGAACCAUAAGUUAUAUAGGAUUCUGAUUCUCCGCAUCCCGCUAAUCAUCUCAUGGCACGUGCAACUUUCAAUACGAGGACAUAGUAGGAACAUUUGAUGUGCGAGGCUUCUUUGCAACGCUUGGAGGAGUUACUUCUAUUUUGAAUUUGAUAUGAGUUUUUCUAUUUCUGUAUAGUAUACGUUUUAUGUCGUCGGUGUGGGUAUUGAAUUCGAGCCGCUGAUGAUGUACGAUAAUUCACCUAAUUUCCUGGUCUUAGACUAAAAUAUAAUUUUAUUUUAAGAGUCAUUUGUUUCGCAAAAAAUAAAUAAUUUGGAAGAAAAAAUAUCUCAAAAAUGAUUAUUUGUAUCGCUUAUAAAAUGAACGGACAAAAAAUAUUUCCAUCGUCUAUAAAAAUAUUUAGACAUAUUUUGUUGUUGAUAAUAACAACAUUUUUCAUCGACUAAUCAUUUAAAAUAUGCAAGUAAUCAUUUUUUAGAAAAAUGUUUUUUAAAUUAUUUAUUUUUUACGAAACAAAUACUUUAUAUAUCUAAAUACUUUAUUCAUUUUUCAUGUCUAAAUAGUCUGUAGGUAGUCAUUAUGGUGAAAUCAAAUACUUUAUAAAUCCUCGAAAAUCUGAAGGUAAUUGAAGCUCCGGGUUUCCUUAGCUGACGAAAUCUCCUUUCAUGAAUGAUAAACUUAAAAGAAUAACAAGUUUAAGGAUUCUUACUGCGGGGAACAAACAAGGCAAAGAAAAAAAGGCAAAUAUUCGAUUGAAUAUGGUACCAUAACAAUUAUCUACGUGAGGUCAAGUAAUAAUCUUGUUGAUCCAUUGAUGAAGGCUUUAUCAAGACAUAUGGUAAUAAUGACCUCACAAGAAAUAGGGCUGAAACCCUUUAAUUGAAAUCAUCAAUAAUGGUAAUCCGACAUUUUUUCUAAAACAUCACUAGUUACAAGGUUUAAUGGGUAAGAACAAGUUAUUAAAUGUGAUUAUUUGAUACUGACGUAACCCUAAAAAGUCAGUAUCGUCUAUUACGUUUUGUAGGUUAAAUUGAAUUCUUAAUGAAGUAUAAUACAAAUUUAUAAUGUGUUAAUAGUAAUAGAAACACAUGAUAGAUACUUCACCUAUAUGAGCUUAGAAGUGAUGCCGCUUCUUACGAAAGUGAGGGUUGCUUUCUAGAGAGCUCAUGAAACAGGAUCAAGCACAAGGCUAUAAUAGUGCAGAGUAAUAUAGAACUUCUUGCUAAAACAAGAGGUUAGUGUAUGUACAGUAUGUCCGAUUCUAUUACAUAAAAGUACAAAUUUAAAGCCGAGCUAUUUGUCACUUUGAUAGAGCUUUGAUAUACUUGCACUAAGUAAAAGUUUAAUUCGAAAGAGACCUUUAUAUAUGUAUAUUAUUCUUACUGAAAUUUUGGUUGUACGGUUUUAAAAUUUUAAUUUUGAAAUCUUUGUUUUACAAACAAAAUGGGGGAUUGUUGGAGGUUUGUUUGUAAAAAUAAACUAAGUGCAUUUUCCUUGUCUCACCUAGGAAAAGUGGGAAGAAGUGGGCCAAUUAAUAAGUGUGGGGUUUCCUUUGUGUACCUAAAGGAAUGAUUAGGUGGGGCUAGACCCCACCAUAUCCGUGUGCGAGUGCGCAAUUUAUUUGGCGCACUUUGCGCGCCCGCGGUUUAAUUAACACUAACCCCUUUGUUAUUUUAUUUUUUCUUUCAUACGGUUAUCUUAUUAACUUUAAUCAAUUCAAAUGUUGCUUUUUAGUUUUGAGAAUUUUCGAAAAUUAUUAAAAAAUAAAAAUUCGAAAUUGUAUUUAUUUUAAAAAAAUUAUUAUUUCGAAUUUUUAUUUGUGUCUUUUCAAGAUAACCUUUGAAAAAGAUAUUUGUUCAAUUUGCAACUUUUCCCGAAGGGUUGCAAUUGUUCAUUUUUUAACUUCUUCCAAAUGGACACCUUUGUUUAUCUAGACAAUUUUUGAAAUGCCUUGUUUGUUCAUUUUUUUUGCAAUUUUUCACGAAGAGUUGCAUGUGUUUUAAGAGUGUUUUAUAUAUAUAUACAUGUCAGUUUUCGGAAAAAUGAAAGUGAUCAUUGUUUAUCUUUUCGAGCAUUCUUUCUGAAAACUACAGCCAUCAUUUUAAUUAUUUCCUGGAGAGGCCAUGGAGAAAUACUAGAAUUGUUAUCUAAUAUUCUUAUUUUGAGACUUUGUUGUAUCUUGAAUGAUAUUUGCCGGUAACUAUUAGCAAUGUUAUGGGGCAAAUAACUCCUUAAAGAAAAUGAUAUUACAUCUCAAAGUCCGACUUGAGUAUUCUAAAGAUCCAUCUUCAUUGUUUUACCCAAUUCGAAGCCAUAUUUUCCCAACAUGAACAACUCUCGAACCAGACUUGCAGAUGCUGGUCUGACUCGAUGAAUCCUUCCGUAAUUUGCUUACUGCCUACCAUCCGCGUGGACUCUUGUGUCCUUUUCUUUUCAAGAAAUCUACGGUGUGGUGGCUUUUAGUGUGGAUAUCUUCCUUUUUGUGAAUGAUUUUUCGUAAAUUCAUCCAUUUACGGUAGCUAAGCAUGUGAAAUUAUGAAAAGCAAAUUUCAGGAAACCCUUUUUAGCAAAACAAGCACUCAAAGGUCACCAAAAAAAAAAAAACAAGCACUCAAAUGAUAUGCAUUUUCAAUUUCGAAUUGGUGAUCUAAACAUUGAAUCUUUUGCAUUUAAUGAUAAAGAGUAUCAUUUAUAUAUGUCUAAUUUACUAGCAUCAUGCUCCCUAUUCAAUCAAUGAGCCAAUCUAACAAGGUUAGUCUCCUUCAAGAAGUUAUGAAUUGUUUACAAGAUAAUGUUUUGUUGGCCAAAAAGUUAAAAAAUUAAUUAAUAUGGUUGAACCUAGAGGAAAAAAGAAAUGGCACCUCAAAACAAUCAUAGAGCGACUAUGAAGCUCCGUGAUAUCAUGUAUAUAUGUGCAUCUGCAUGUCCAAUAGCUCAUUGUCCUCUCAUACCAUUUUAUCUUAUUAUUUCAUAUGAUAAAGUAAACCUAAAAAAUGGUUUCAACUUCCUUUUUAUCAAUGACAUAAAAAAUCAUGGUAAAUUAUAAUAGUACAAUAUCAAUUGAGAAAACAAAAUAUAGUUUCAAUUAAACAGUAUUUCUAACACUUCAAAAUUAGGAUUACUUAAAUUUCUAACACCAUCCAAACUUAAAUUUGGAAUUUCUUAAUCUAGGCAAGUUAAGUUUUUCUCAUUUCACAAAAAAAUGAAUCAUCUCUCAAAUUAGACAACAUCAUUAUUAGAAUACUUUAUAUUUUAUUUUCCUCCAUUUCUUUUUUCAGGACUAAUACCAUAAAAAUAAAAAAUAAAAAUAAAAACUCAAACUAGUACGUCCAUAUUAUAUUUACCAAAAAUUAAUUUUUAUAUCACAAAAAAAUUUAUAUUGUUUUAUUCAUGUCACAUUUGUCCAAAAUUUGCAGUAAUUUUUUACAUUGAAAAUUAGUUCGGGAUGACAUUUGUAUUCAGCCGGAGAAUAUUUUAGGUAAAAAAGUUAAUUUAGGAUAAAUGUGACGGAGAAUUAAUUUCAUGCACUUUUUUCUGGUGAAGGAUCAGAUUGAGAAGUCAAUACGCUGGAAGGACAAUUCAUUGAAAAGACAAUUACGCCCUUCUGGAACCAAAAGAUAAUUUUAAAUUGGCUCCGUGUAGAAGAGCCCCCGGCAUUUUUGCGCGCUCUCUCCCUUUCUCGCAGACACAGUUGGAGCACUACGGAGACCGACCGAGCUCGCCGGAGAAAAUCCACCGACUCCGCCGUGAAAAACCCCUCCGAGAUGGCGGAGAAGAGCAAAGUCCUGGUGAUCGGAGUCACCGGACUCAUCGGAAAGUUCGUCGUGGAAGCGAGUGCUAAGUCCGGCCACCCUACCUUCGCUUUCGUGGAACCGCUGUCCACUCCGUCCGACGCUGCCAAGACCAACUUCGUCCAAGGUUUCAGGAGAUUAGGCGUCUACGUAGUUCUGGUGAGUAGCUAGCUAUGCCCGUGCGAUCGCGUUCGUUUCCGACAUCGGGUUCCGCUUCGAGGAACCGAAAGCGUCACCUGCCGUUGAAUCUUGUUCGUCGUUCCGAGAAACGUCUUCGGCAGUAGAAUCGGAGCUGACUUUCGUCUCCAUCUCUCACUCGAUCGAGCUGAUUGGAAUCACGUUGCGAUUCGGCGUUGUUCAUUGUCUUUUCUGAUAUUUUGUCCUCGUAUGUUGGCGAAAUAGGCGAAAUUUUUUAUGACGUCCUUCUCACUUUCUCACUGCCUGACGAUUCAUCUCAGCUUCGCGUGUUGAUUCGAACGCGCGCAUUUUCAGACAAAUCUUACAGAAACUUCCUUAUGCCUUCGCUGUUUAUGAGACAGCUACAGCUACGUAGUAACUGCACUGACCUGUUGUUCAGAUGCCACGGAGGAGAAGUCUGUGGAUAGUAGCAUUUUUUUUUUUUAUCAUAUUUUUCUUUAUUGCCUGAUAAAGGUAUUGAAGUCUUAUCUUACAUCGGUUAUGAAUCCCAUCGCCAAAACAGGAGUUGUUGAUUGCUGACUUCAUCAAUUGUUUAUUCAUGCUCUUGGUCAUUUGAUUCUCAGGGAGACAUAAACGUUCCACAUACUCUGGUGAAUGUGAUGAGGCAGGUUGAUGUGGUAAUCUCUACUGUUGAGACAUCACCGGAUGACCAAUACAAGAUUGCUGCUGCCAUUUUGACGGCCGGAAAUAUAAAGGUGGUGCUGUGACUAAUCAUUUUGUCCUCGUUAUCAUUGUUCGUUUAGCAUUCGACUGAUGAUAUAAGUUGUGUUAGCUUACUUCUUUUCUUCUGGUAUUAGUGCAUAGCGUUCUCCUUGUGAGCUUCAUUUGAUCAAAUGGGAUGCAUUGACUCAUUUAUCUGUAGACUUCACAUCUUUUUUCAUCUUAAUUGGUCAUGACUCUGUGUAGAAGUCCCUGUGGGUUUGGGUUUCCUCUAGGUCAGCCAAAAAAACAAAAAUAAAUAACAUAAAAGGUCUCAGUCACUCAAUAUGGACUAUGGACUUGUAUCCCAGCGCUUCGAUCAUGAAUUCGCGAGGAACAUGAACUAGUUUAACCUUGAAAUGGUCCUUUUCAGGGUAUAAUUGUUGCAUGUAUGUUAUCCAACCCCACUUACUGGGAUAGUACUUAGUAGUAAUCGUUGUUGCUGCGGGUGGUUGACAGCCAACAAUGAGUGGAACUCAGCAUGCUCCGAAAAGGCAAUGGACUUGCCUGAUAUUUUAUCACUGUGAAAGUGUCCAUUCAAGCAAGCAGCAUGUUUGCAUAUUUUAUACUUGACAGAGUUAUCUGGCUGCUGCCUAACAUUAAAAUAUUCACUUUCCAUUUCUUCUACUUUUCUAAUAACACUUAUGGUAGAAUUUGCUUAUUUGCUGAAUUUAUUGCUUCACUUAUGAUCAGUUUUUACUCUGUUAUAGUAACAUACUGACCAAAAAAAAAAAUGUUAAAUUCAGUCACGUACAAGUUUGUUCUGUUUUAUUUUGCCAGAACUCAUAUAAUUUUAUUGGAUAAGGGGAAUGUGCUCCAAAUUUUCGUUCCUUUCCAAUGGAAAUGUUUCUUCUGAUUGGAUUAUUUUUCUUUCUAGAGAUUCUUGCCUUCAGUGUUUGGAAGUGAUGUGGAUCGUGCCCAUGCUGUGGAGCCAGCAAGAACUUUUUAUGCUGCUUACUAUACCGACAUCCACCGCCUUCUCGAGGAAGAGGGAAUCCCGUAUACCUAUGUGUGUUGUAACUUUCUUGUAGGUUGGCACCGUUCAACAUUGGUGCAGCCCAGGGCUAGAGCUGCCUCUAGAGAGAGAAUUGUCAUCUUAGGGGAUGGUAAUGCGAAAGGUAAGAAGCAUGAAAUACCUAUUAUGAUUCGUCAGGAUUUUUCUGUACAACUUUUGCGAUUUAAUUACGAGGGUAAUCAGAGUGAGGACAAUUCCUGAAGCUUGAGAAUGCCAGGCAACUCCUCUAGCUGGAGAUGUCGGGCCUUUUACAUCCGUUAUUCUCGACUUCCGGAGACCAAUAAAUGAUAUGAAAGUGAUGUUGGUUAUCUUGGCACAAUACCGCCUGGUCAGCAUAUUAAGAAGGUUUUCUUAUGUAUCUAGUUGAGAAAAGAACUUAUGAAUGCAUUCGUCCAUGAUGAAUCUUUUUAUUGAGAGAGUUCUUUAAAUAAGAACCAAAAGAUCAAAGUUUUUGUGAUAUAUUUAUUAGCCAAAUUCUAAAAUUCUCCUGUCAAUGUACAGUGGUGUUUAACAGGGAGGAUGAUAUCGGCACCUAUACCAUCAAAGCCAUGGAUGAUCCUAGGACCUUGAACAAAAUUCUGUACAUCAGACCUCCUGGCAACACUUACUCAAUGAAUGAUCUCGUGUCUUUGUGGGAGAGAAAGACCGGCAAGACCCUGGAGAGGGUUUAUGUUCCAGAGGAGCAAGUUCUGAAGAAAAUUCGAGGUCACAAAUGCGUUACUAUUAGAUUUGAGCACGUAGAAAUUGUCUCUAUUCUCUAUGAGAUUUAAACCUUUUGACAACGAUUGGUCUACUUGUCCGCCCAUAUUGCAGAUGUGAAAUCUCCAGACGAUCUGGUGUGGGCCAUAUCCCAUUCUAUUUUCGUGAAAGGAGACCAAACUAACUUCCAGAUUGAGCCGCCGUACGGAGUGGAAGCUUCAGAGCUCUACCCUAAUGUUAAAUAUAGCACCGUGGAUGAGUACCUUAAUCAGUUUGUCUGAUUGUCGAAGCUUACUGUGCUUGGGGAUUUGAUUUCUCACAUCAGCUUGGAUACACAAAUGGUAAUAGUAUAUUGCUUCUCACAAACCUAGUGGGAAACGUCGCUCCCAUUGAUCAUCUCAUGGCACUGUACAACCUCCAGAUAAUAAGACUUACUGUGCUUGGGGAUUUGAUUUCUCACAUCAGCUUGGAUACACAAAUGGUAAUAGUAUAUUGCUUCUCACGAACCUAGUGGGAAACGUCGCUCCCAUUGAUCAUCUCAUGGCACUGUACAACCUCCAGAUAAUAAGACAUACUAUGAAUACUGAAUAAGUGCUCAUCUGUGCUGUAUGCUUGGAGAAGUUACUUCUGUUUUGGAGGUGUUAUGUGUUCAGGGGCUAGCUAACAAAUAAAAAAAGGACGAGGGUUUAUGGUGUCGUGCCAAAAGCCUAUCCCGAGUUUGGGUAAAACCUAAUUGACUUAAUUAGACAAAUUGAAAGUACACGGACUUAAUUGGAGAAUCGGAAAAAGUAGAGGGGUGAAAAGUAUAAAUCUUCCGCUUUUAUUCUCGUAGUGGAGCAUUGUCGAUGCACGAUUUUGAAGUCAAAUAAUUUACAUGUCCUCGAAGAUCUCCUCGGAAUCUAAACUCGAGGUUUAACUCGAGGUUUACUUAGCAGAUUAUAUAUAUAUAGAAGUCAGCAAGGAUGAUGUUUUACCGACCAAAAAAAGCAAGGAUGAUGUUUUUGUUGCCACUUGGUGAAGGGUAAGCUUAAAGAAUAGCAAAUUAAAAUCCAUUGAUGAAUACCUCGCGGUGUUGGAUUAUCCUUAAUGAUUUGAGGACUGUCAUGGGCAUGGAACAAGCAAGAAAAAAGAGAGGCAUGUGUCACGGUCCGUGAAUACUCUCAUACUUGUAACACUUGUGAGUGGUACUUGGAGUUAUCGAGUGAAGAGUGAGGAACACUUGUGAGUGGUGCUUGGAGUUAUCGAGUAAAGAGUGAGAAGGCAGAGGGGACGAACACAACUGGUCCGUGGGAAUGGCGUCAAGACGAUUGGUGAUAGGAGUUCUAAGAUUGAAUAAUUAUAUCACUUAGGAGCUCUAAAAGCGAGAUUUGCCUCUCAUGCACAAACUGGUUGGGAGCUGAUGCCCCUCUCCUGACAAAAUCAUGAUAGGCCGAAAUCAAUUGUUGAGCCUAAAGAGAUCUGCUAUUUCACUCAAUGGACUAGACGUCCGAGCAAAACUAGGCAUGGUACUAUCUCAUACAAAGAAGCUAUUCACCAUAUUGUUCGCUAGAACAACUAUAAAAGGAAGGCUGGCUUGGCGAAUUCCGCUUACCAAGCGCUGCACAAGUCGUUCCGCGGCCAAGGGAACUAUCGAUUAGUGACACAUGGUAUCAGAGCAGGAAUCCCUCUAGUAAGUAAGUGAGUCGGAGAAUUGGACUCCACGCUCUAGUGUGAGUUGAACUGAGAAGUACUAGCUAUCUACCCGGUCCUACAAGGCAGAGAGUGAAUCACCGAGGCAAAAGGUACUCGAACAAAGUGCAACUCUCUAAAGCCCCUAGGAUGACAAUGGGGGCACUAGGAAGAGUCAGUUCCUCGCCAAGCGGAUAAUGGGUCUGAGAAGAACCAAAUCCUCGCUAAUAGGGAUAACAUUCCUAGAUCGAUCAGUGAAUUCAAAGAAAAGGUCUACUACCACGUUUUCAACAAGAAAAGAAUCUCCAUUCGAUUUGUUGGGGUCAAGAUACUUAGUAGGCAAAAAUGGUGCCACCAAAGAUGCAAUCGGCAAAAAAUGCCACACUUGCCAAAGAAAGUGCAAGUGACCGAGAUGGGCCCAAACAACUGAGAUAAAAAAAGGCUACCAAUGGAGCAAAACCUAUUUUGUUGGGCAAGCGUGACCAUUAGAUGUGAAAUCCCAAAAGUGGCGCAUCAAUGGUUAAGAUACGCGAGGAAGCGACAAAAUAGAUCGCAAUGAGGGCGCUGCGAAAUUGAGUGGGAGAGAAUGUCAUGGUCCAUGAAUUCUCUCGUACUCAUGACACUUGUGAGUGAUGCUUAGAUUAUUGAGUGAAAAGUGAGGAGGCUGAGGGGAUGAACACAACUGGUCCGUGGGAGUGAUGUCAGGACGGUUGGUACUAGGAGUUCUAGGAUAGAAGGAUUAUAUCAUUUAAGAGCUCUAAAGGCGGGGUUGAUCUCCCGUGCACAAACUGGUUAUGAGCUGAUGCCGCUCUCCUGACGAGGCCAUGAUAGACAGAAACCAAUUAUUAAGCUUAAAGAGAUUUGCUAUCUUACUUAAUGGACUAGACGCCUGAGCAAAAGUAGGCGUGGUAGGAUCUCGUACAGAAAAGCUAUUCACCAUAUUGUUCGCUGAAAUAACUAUAGAAGGAAGGCUGGCCUAGCAAAUUCCACUUGCCAGGUGCCGCACAGGUUGUUCCGCGGCCAAGGGAACUGUCGGCCUAUAAUACAUGCACAAUAAAUUUGGACACCUUGCAAACCAAAUUUUUUACUAAACACCAAGAGUGAGUACUCAUAUCCUUUCCUAAGCAAGAGAGUCCAAUAAGGCAGUGUCUACAUAGUACCGUGUUAACUUCAUAGAUUAGGUAAAUUGCAAUUUCAAAUUUCAUAUGGACAAUUUAAACAUUAAAUCUUUUCCAUUUAAUGAUAAAGAGACUAUCUUACUACUUGCUUAAUAUAUGUGCAUUGAACUCACUCUUUAGCAGCGGAAUCAAUCUAAAAACCUCGGUCUCAUUUUUUUUAAGAAUUCAUGAAUUUGAAAACUUAGAAAUCUAAUAUUCCCUGAAAAAUCAUAAAAAGUAUUCUUGGGUCUAUUUGAUAACACUUCUGUUUCGGAAAACAAUUUCUUUUUAGAAAUAAUAUUUUUAUAUUUCUAUUCCUCGGGACAAUUUCUCAAUAAAAGAAUGUGUUUAGUAACUAUACAAAAUUUCUAUUCUCGGAAUGGAAAAAGAAUAUAAAUAUGUUUAGUACGAUUCACAAUAAUAUAUAAUUUCUUUUAAUUUUUUUUAUUCUUCUUUACUGCUACCGACCAUUGUUGCCGCCAGCCAUCAUUAUUGCCGCCAGCCGUCGAUCAUCACUGCCCACUUCCAACCCCUACCGCCAAUGAUCAGUGGCAACAGGCGAUGGGCGGCAUUGUUGGCAAUCAUUGGUGAUGAAGGUCAGUGGUUGGUGGCGAUAGUGACGGUCGACCAGUCGCAGCGGUCAACUGACAACAAGCAACAAAGGAGGGUGGCAGCUGGCAAAUAAGAAGAAAAGAAAAGAGAAAAUAACUUAUUUCUAAAAAUUGUUCUUGAGAACAAGAAGUUACUUUUUUCUGCUUCUUAUUUCUGUUCCAAAUCUAUUUAUCGACCAUUUUUUUAUUCCAAGGAAUAGAAAAACUAAUUAACAUUACCAAAUGGAUCUAUGUUCUUCUUUUGUUCCUAGAAAUAAAAGAACGGAAAUUGGGAGAAACCGAAACGUUACCAUAGAUGGCCUUGAUCGACGCUGCCUUUGGAAAGAAUUUUAGUGCACCUCAAAGUAAUCAUUUAGCGAUAUGAAACGUCUUGAUACCAUGCAAGCACAUCCACGUCAAAUAGCUCAUUGCCCUUUCAUACCAAUUUCACUUUCCCUUUCCUCAAAACAAUCAUUUAACGGUCGUCAUGAUUCCAGGCAAGCACAUGCGUGUGGAAUAACUUAUUGUCCGUUCAUACCAUUUUCACUUUUCGUACGAUAUAAAAGAACUAUUUCAACUUCUUCCUUAAUAUUGAUAUGAAAAAUCAUUGUAAGUUAGAAUAGUCUAGUAUCAAUUGAGAAACAAAACUAUAAUAAUAAAAUUAAUUAGAAUCUCCGGUCCUUCAAAAUUAAGAUUCCUCAAAUCUUUAGCACCAUCCAAACUUAAAUGUGGAAUUUCUUAUUUUUGGUAAGAUUUUCUUUUUUUCACAAUAAUUUGUAUUAUCUAUCAAACUCGACAAAAUCUUUAUUGAAGUACUUUAUAUUAGAUUUUCUUCUGUUUCUAUUAGUCCACUUUGCUUGUACUUCUUUUCCAGCUGAUGGCGAUAUCAAGAAAAACCAGUUCACUUAAAAAGACAUUUACGCCCUUCUAAAAUCAAAAUCAGAUGAUGAUUCAAGAGCUUAGGCAUAAUUUUUUUUUUUUUUCAUGUGAGCAUCGAGGCGAUUGUGUGAGUAGGUAUUACUGUGCAAUUACGUUUGUUUUCCACAUCUACAUGAAUCCUAAGUUGUUUAGGAUUCUACUUCCCAGGAUCCUAGUCUGAAACGUCGCUUUCGUUGAUCAUCUCCUAGCACGUGCAGCUUCCAAAUAGAACAUACUAGGAUCAUUCAAUAUGUGCAGCAUCUAUGCGGUGGUUGAAGAAGUUACUUCUGUUUUUGAGUUUUUUUUUUUUUUUGUCAGUCAUACUCUAUGCCUACUCUAUACUCACUCUCAGACUUUUGACAUGCCUCUUGCAAGGCGUGGGAGUCGAAGCCCACUCCUGAAACUUACUCGUCCCCACCCCAUCCCCCUUGAGAAGGUGGGGAUUUGAACCCCUCACCUCCCCCUUUUAUGUGGCCACUGGGGCGAAUCCCAGUGAUUCUUCUAUUUUUGAGUUGAUAAUGGGUUUUAUGGGCCAAGCUUAAAGAAAGACACUGGAUUUAUAAAUUCAUGUAGAGAGAAAUGUUUACGUGGUUGUUUUUAAUCUAUUAUGGUAUUAAUAACUUGUUAUGGAUCAUAAAAAAAUAAUUAAUAAAUAAAUAACAAUCGUUGUGGGGUUCACUCUAAAAAUUGCAACUCACAAUAUACCGUUACUCUCAUAAUGACCCAAAAAAUGUCAUGCGAGCAAAACCCUUCUAUAUUUUAUAUGUUCUAUGUCGCUGGUGUGGGUAUUGAAUUGGAGCUACUAAUCCUUGUCUUAUACUAAAAGAUCAUUAUGCUUUAAGCUCCGUUUCUUUCGCAAAAAUUAAAUUAUUUGGAAAGAAAAUUUCUAAAAAUAAUCGCUCGUUUCGCUUAUAAAAUAAAUUGAUAAAAAAAAAUUCACAAAAAAAUUUAGAUAUAAUUUAUUAUUUAUAAUAAAAAUAUUUUUCAUCGACUGAUUAUUUUAAACUAUACAAGCAAUUAUUUUUUAGAAAAAUAUUUAUAAAAUUAUUCAUUUUUUCGCGAAAUAAACAAAAUUGAAUAAUUUUCCAUGCCUAAAUGGUCCGUAGGCAACUAUUGCGAUGAAAUCAAAUACUAUUUGUAUGUCCACGAAAAUCUCAAGGUAAUUGAAACUUUGGGUUUCCUUAGCCGAAGAAAUCUACUGUUGCGAGUUGAUUAUGGAUAAACUUAAAAGAUUAACAAGUUCAAGGACUCUCAUGGGCGGCGAACAAGGCAAUACAAAGAAAAGAAAAGAAAAGGGCAAAUGCUUGAUGAAGCUGGAACAAAUCUCGAACGAGAAUCCUGUCUCCACGCCCGAUCAUUCGUGGAUAUCGGUCUUAACUAGAUGAAUCCUUCCGUACUCUGCAUGCCGCCCGCCGCCAGCGUGGACUCUUGGGUCCUUAACUUUUCGAGAAAUCCGCAGUGCGGUGCGUGCGGUGCAAUGUCGUGUUGACUCUGCAAACGAAGACUUGCUUUGUUUAGUGAAAACUUCGACAUGUCUAAGAAAGAUGUUUUGUACUGAAAUCACUUUUAGCUAUCGUUUGGUCAUUAACUUGAAAAUGAUUCCCUCUCUUAAGGGUAGAGAAAAAUUUCCUCAUUGUUUACCAUAGAUUUUUUUAUAGAAUUAAUAAUACUGAAAUUUCCAAACUAGUACAUUUGUGAUCAAUUUAUCUUCUAUUAGUUUUUAUUAAAUUUUACUGUCAAAUUGCUAAGUUAGAUAAUAUAAAUAGUUGACAGAUAUACUAAUUUUGAGUUUUACUUUCCGUUUGUCACAGAUGUAUCAAUUUGUGUUUUUUUAUGGCAUUAACUCAAUUUAACGAAAAUUAACAAAUGAUAAAUUUAUUAUAAAUAUAUUAUAUUAAGGUUUUUUGUGAUCAAAAAAUUAGUUUAUGAUAAAUUUGUCAUGUAUGUAUCAAUUUUGAAUUUUUGAUGGUUGAAAAAUUAGUUUUAGGUAAAAUUAUCAAAGGUAAACCAAUUUAGAGACGUUUUAUGCGGAAAUCAUUUUUAGUUCUCGUUUGGUCAUUAACUUUAAAAUGAUUUCCUCUCUUUGAGAAUAGAGAAAAUUUUCCUUGUUUUUUAGCAUGGAUGUUUUCCUUCAUUGUAAAUGAUUUUUCGAUAAUCAAUCCAUUUUCGGUAACUAAGCAGGUAAAAAUAUCAAAAACAAAUUGUACAAAACCCUUUUUGGCUAAACAAACACUCAAGCUAUGUUUGGUCGUCCGGAUUUCUAAUCAGGAUAGGACUGGAUAAGAUAUGAUAUGAAAUCCUGGGAUUUUUCUAUAUCAUAUCCACUGUUUGGUGAAUCACAAUAUUAAAGUCGGAUAUGUUUACAUCAUGUCAUGUACAUUUAUUUAACAUAAAUAGCAUAUCAUUAUAAAUAAACCUAAAAAUUUAUAAAUGGAGAUGGUAAAAAUCUCUCAUGACACUAUUCCUUAAUUUAUUUUUAUUUUCUUUUAUUUUAUUAAUCCUCUUUUUAAAAUUAUUUUCUUCAUUAUUUCUUUUUUCCCUUUUCAUCAUUCUUUAAUAAAAUUUUAUUAAAUAGUAAACUGUACUUACAUACCUUAAAUACAAAAAUACCUAAAAUAUAUAAUAAAUAUAAAUAUAUAAUUUAUAGAUUGAAUGUUUAUUACAAGAUAGAAUUAAAGUUAAUUAUAUAAAUUAAAAUAAGAUUGAAUUAAAAAUAAUUUUUAAUUUCUUAAAAUAGAAUUCAAAUAUUAUUUAUAUUGAAAUAUAAUUUUAAUUUUGUUAAUUUAAUAAGUUUAUUAUUCGAGAAAAAUAACUUUCCUAUUAUGGACAUUAGAAAUCAUAUCCACAUUUAUCUCACCUCCCCCACGGGAUAAUUUUAUUCGGCCUAUAUUCCUCUUAUAUCCGAUUUUAUCCUAUCCUAAGCGAGCAUCAAACGUAAGAUAUAAUAAAUCAUAUUUUAUCCUGAAUUUUAUCCUGACCGUCAAACAUAACCUCAAAAGAUAAGCCAUUUCAAUUUCGAAAAGUGAUCUAAACAUUAAACCUUUCUCAUUUAAUGAUAAAGAGAUUAUCAUUUAUAUAUGUCUGCAUCGUGCUCCCUAUUCAAUCAAUGAACCAAUCUAAUAAUUUACCUCUCCUUUCUUCAAGAAGUUUUGAAUUAUUUAUAAGAUAAUCUUUUGUUGGCCAAAAAGUUACAAAAUUAAUUUAUGUGAUUGACUCUACAAGAAAAAAGAAUUUGCACCUGAAAACAAUCAUAUAUGGACUAUGAAACUCCAUAUAUAUAUGUAUGCAUGCAAAUGCAUGUCAAGCAGCUCAUUGCCCUCUCAUACCAUUUUUUCUUAUUAUUUCAUAUGAUAAAGUACACCUAAAAGGCAGUCUCAAUUUCUUCGAUAUCAAUUACAUUGAAUAUUACAGUAAAUUAUAAUAGUAUAAUUUCAAUUAAAAAAGCAAGCUACAGUUUAAAUUAAAUAAUAUUUCUAGCACUUCAAAAUUAAGAUUACUUAAAUUUCAAACACCAUCCAAACUUUAAUUUAGAUUUUCAUAUUGUUGGCAAGUUAAGCUAUAACGUCUACAGUUUUAGCCCGUGAGAAAUGGCUAUGAAAUUAGUGUGCCCCAAGGACCACUCCAAGAAUCACUUGCGAUGGAUCACGGACUAGUCAUGGAUCGGUCAUGGAUUAGCUUAGCGACCUUGCCACCCAGCCAUGCGCCAGGCCAUAAGCCCGGCCUUAUGCUAGGCCAUGAGUUGGCCUUAAGCCCGAUUAGCUUGACCCUAUGUUCGGCCAACUCUGGCCAUGCAUUGGCCAAGAUAGGCCAUUGAACUAGCCAUGUCGGUCAGGCUUGGUUACAUCCCACCUCGACCAAUUGUGAAUUAGCCACAAAUCUCAACUCGAAUGGUGCAAUUAAUUGUAGAUGAACAUGAAAAGCUCUCACACAAUAAUCUUGGCACUUUCAUCAGCUUCCUUCUCAUGUUUACAAAAUGUUCUUUGGAAGUUAGUCCAUAAAUGAAGAGAAUGACUCAUCAACUUAAGUGGUAAGGAACUUGGGUGGCAAGGAAGAGGAUUUGGUCAUAAUUACAUAUGACAACUUAAGUAGCAAGUUACUUGAGAAACAAGAAACAUGUGACUAAAUCUAAAGCCGAUUAUAACUAAAUCUUAGCUAACUCAUAUAGGAAUGAGUUGUCAUUCAAGUGGCAAGAUAGGGGUUUAACUUGAAGAACAAGUAAUCUAAUUAUGGUUUUUUGGAAGUUAGUAACUGAAUAAAAGGGAUGACUCACAUGGCCAAGUGGCAAGAAGGAGUUCAACUUGGAGAACAAAUAGUCUAACAUGUGACAAAAAUCCAAGCCUUAUGAUGACACCAAAUCUAAGCAAUUAAUGAAGAGAAUGACUCAUAAGCUUGGGUGUCCUUAUAGAAAUGAGGUUAUCAUUACAUUAAGAUAUUGUCUUGGAGAUCAAGUUUAGCCAAGUUAUUAUUGAAAGAUGACUCAUGACAUAGGUGGCCUAAUGAGAAGAAUGGCAAGUGCUCUUCUAGGGCCUUAGAACGUCAUUUCAUCAGGGUAGGCGUGCCACCUCUUCAAGAUAGUUUCUUCAUUAAGGCAAUGGCUUAUGGCUAAGUGACCAAUAAGAGACACUUUUAGGACUUUGAUCAUUUCUCUAGGCUAUUAGGGCACCAUCUCUCCUAAUUAGCCUUGCCACCUAAAGAAGUUAUUAGACCAUUUGGAAAAGGCAAUCAUUAAGGUUUUGCCUAUAAAUAAAAGCACCAACCCUUCAUUUCCCCCACAUUGGCUCAUUUCUCCCACCUCUCCUCUCUUGCACGCCCUUUCCCCCUCUCUCUCAACCAUUCGCUCUCUCGCCAUUCACCCCUCAUCAAUUUGCCAUCACUUGGCCAUUGGCCACCACCUGGACAAGUCGUAAGUGAAAUCUCUAACCUUCGACUAAGGCAAUGUGCUGCGUUGUUGGCUUGGUUGUGUUCUCAUCCAUGCUUAGUUGUGUACAUGCUGAUGGUUGUUUGUAUGGUUUGCUCAUGUCCUUGCAGUUACAAGUAGAAUUUCUAACCCUUAAUUAGAGCAAUGUGUUACAUUGAUGGAUUUAGUUAUGAGCCCACCCAUGUGUAGUUGUGUGCAUGAUAAGGAUUGAUUUAAUAAGGUUUGCUCAUGUCUUGCAUUCAUAAGUACAAUCACGCCACGAGUUACAGAUGAGUCUUACUCAGUUUUGGAAUCGAUGUUGAGGCGUGACAGACUAAACCUUACUUGGCCUUAGAUCAGCAUUGAGGCAUGUCAAUUUGAGCCUCGCUUGGCUUUGGGUUGACGCUUAAGCGUGUCAAUUCGAGCCACAAGUCACAUGUCAUGCUCAGCAUAGUAGUAAAGUAACAAUGUUAUAAGUCAUGACGCACACACGCACUUGUAUGAGCACGCUUUCAGACCUUAUUUACACCAACUAAAACGAAAGAAAAUAAAUUGAUUUGUGCAAUGUGGAACAUGUGAUCACCUAAUGAAAUAUAAGAUCUGUUGCCACUUGAGGUAACGACGAUGACCCCAUGCCAAUGGGAUGUUGUCGCCCAUUGAGAUGGCGACGAUACCUCAUUCAUGAGAAUGAGAUGUCCCCACGCCAACAAGAUGUCUCUUUAAUGAGAAUGAGAUGCCUCUAUGCCAAGAGGAUGCCUCAUUCAUGAGAACGUGAUACCUUGAUUGAGUCAAGAAGUCCUUGAAUGUAUGGGAUGCUUAGCUUGAUGGUCGACUGCCUCGCUUGAUGUUGGAAGCCCCUGAAAGUAUGGGAAGAAUCGUUUGAGACGGUCAAUGAACCUUUGUGCAUGUUGUUGUGUGUUGUUUGAUAAGUUUGAGGUAGAUCAUACAUUGAUGAUAAGCCAAAAUUGAUCGCAUGCAUAUAAUCAAGGUUUAGCAAAGGAAUUGUUAUUGAUUUGCCAUCGAUGUUGUAGUGCAAGUAAUGUUUGCAUGCUAGAUUCGAUGACAAGCUGUCCUCCUAUAUGAGGAUUAGUGACUUCACUUGUUGAGUCAUUGACUCACUCUUUUAUCUUUCAGACUUGUAGGUAUGAAUACCAAUUUUGGAGCUUCAACUUCCAUAGAGGAGAUAGGGAUACCUCAAGCUUAUGCAAAUAGAUAUAGCAUCAUGGAAAAAGAUAUGUUUCAUAGAGAAAUGGCUUGUAAUAUACUAAUGUAAUUUAAAAGUAGUACAUUUGUGGUGUCUUUUCCUGGCUGUUGUUUAUUGUGUUGUCUUAGAGAUCGUUGAUGGACACGCUUUCGCAUGCUCACUAAGGGUCCAGGGUGGGUAGGGUCUAGACCUAGACCAUGUACCCAACCAUAUUAUAACUAAUUCCUCUUUUCUGGACUCUAUACCCGACCCUGUUUGUAUUGGACCCUAUACCCAAUCUAUCAUGUUUUUCCGAUCUGGUUCCAAGGUCAGCCCGGUUUCCACUAGAACCUGUUUUGCAACCUCUCGAUAUCUUAUACGAUUUCAAAUUUUAUAUUAAUACGCGAGAAAAUAAUGUAAUCCUCCUAAUUUUUAUUAAAACAUUAAGCACUUGUAAUAAAUAAAUACAUGAAAUUUUUGACUAAAUGAAAAAUUAAGGAUCCACAAGGCUAAUUAUAAUAAAUAAAAUCAUAAGGCAAAGAAUUAGCAACAAACAUGGGUCUAAUAAUAGUCUUAUUCCCACAACUACUACAUGAAGUUACUCAUUUAUGCAAGCAUAACUCCUCCUACAAAAAAUAAAUUAGGCAAGAUAAUCCAUGUGAUACACAAGAAUUUGGCGGCGACGAAUACCGUCCGUCAUCGGACGGUGCGAGAGGGAGCCGAUGAGGGAGAGAAGCAAGUGAGGAAGAAGAAUGACAAAGGAGGAGUAUCGUGCAUGUUUGAGAGAGCCAAGAAGAAAUACGUCGUGUGAUUGCGGGAGUGAGAAUAGAAAUUGAGGGAAAAAAAAAAAGGGUUUUUGACCUCUACUUACAAAACUGGUUUGGGAACUAGUCCAAGAACCGGUUUCCGAGUGAGUAAUCACUCGAAACCUGUUCCUGGACCGGUUUAAACCGGUUCCCGGACCAGUUUCAGAAUGAACCGGUUUCAACGGAAACCAGUUCCCGACUCUGUUUUCCGAGUGGGCCGGUCCGGGAAUCAGGUAUACUCGGUCCAGUUGCACACCCCUAAUGCUCACACCUAGGACGUUGUAUUAAUAAUCCCUCGUCAGAUUGUUACAUAAGCUUUUUUAAAAUUACAAAAAUAUAAACCAUCUCUCAAGCUAGACAAUAUCGUGAUUAAGGUAAUUUAAAUAUGAUUUUUUUCCUUUUUUUUCAAGACUAGCAAUACAAAAAACUCUAACAUCUACAUGCGUGUCAUAUGUACUGAAAAUUAAUUUUAGAUUGCAAAAAAUCUUACAUUGUUACACUCAAGUCACAUUUAUCGCAUUUUUUUCCUAAUUUAUGAUAUUAAAAAUUAAUUUGUGAUAAAUAUAGCACUAAUAUAUCCGUUUGAGAAUUUUAUAUAGAUAAAAAUAAUUAAUUUAAGAUAAAUGUAACAGACAAUUAAUUUCAUGCACUUUUUUCCGGUGAAGGAUCAGAUCGAGGGAAGUCAAUUCGCUGGAAAAAGACGCUUAUGCCCUUCUGGAAUCAAAAUAUAGAUGGGCUUCCGUGCGAAGUACCUCCUCAUUUUAGCGCGCUCUCUCCCUUUCUUACAAGCAGCUGGAGCAGAGUCGCUCAGGAGACCGAGCGAGCUCGCCGGAGAAAACCCACCGACUCCGCCGUGAAAAGCCACUCCGAGAUGGCGGAGAAGAGCAAAGUCCUGGUGAUCGGAGUGACCGGACUCAUCGGAAAGUUCGUCGUGGAAGCGAGUGCUAAGUCCGGUCACCCCACCUUCGCUCUCCUGGCACCGCCGUCCACUCCGUCCGACCCUGCCGAGGCCGACCUCGUCGAAGGUUUCAAGAGCUUAGGCGUCCGUGUGGUUCAGGUGAGAAGCUAUGCCCGUGCGAUCGCGUUCGUUUCCGACAUCUGGUCCUGCUUCGAGGAACCGAAGCCUCGCCUGCCGUUGAAUCUUUGCUCGUCGUCCUGAGAAAUGUCUUCAGCAGUAGAAUCGGAGCUGAUUUUCGUCUCGAUCUCUUACUCGAUCGAGUUGAUUGGAGUCGCGUUGGGCUUUGGCGUUGUUCAUUAUCUUUUCUGAUAUUUUGUCUUUGUUCGUGAAAAAGGUGAAAUCUUUUGUGACGAAUCAUCUCAGCUUUCCAUGUUGAUUCGAACGAGCGCAUUUUCAGGCAAAUCUUACAGAAACUUCCUUAUGCCUUAGCUGUUUAUGAGACAGCUACAGCUACACUCUGACCUGUUGUUCAGAUCCCAUGGACGAGAAUUCUGUGGAUAGUAGCUUGUUAUUUAUUUGUCUUCGUAUUUUUUCUUGUCUGAUAAAGGUAUUGAAGUAUUAUCUUCAUCGGUUAUGAAUCCCACUGCCAAACCAGGAUUUGUUGAUGAUUGCUGACUUCAUCGAUUGUUGGUUCAUGCUCUUGGUCCUUUGAUUCUCAGGGAGAUAUAAAUGAUCCGGAUACUCUGUUGACUGCGAUCAGGAAGGUCGAUGUGGUAAUAUCUACCGUUGAGACAUCACCAGAGGACCAAUACAAGAUUGUUGCUGCCAUUACGAUGGUCGGAAAUAUAAAGGUGGCGCUGUUUCGAAUGAUUUUGUCCUUGUCAUCAUUGUUUGUUUAGCAAUCGACUGAUGAUACAGGUUGUGUUAGCUUAAUUCUUUCCUUCCGGUAUAAGUGGAUCACCUUCUCCUUGCGAGCUUCGUUUUGAUGAAAUAGGAUGCAUUGACUUACAUAUCUGUAGACUUCACAUCUUUUGGUCAUGACUUUGUGUAGAAGUCUUCGAUGAAAUUUGAGAAUAACUAUUUCACAUCCAAGUGUAGCCCAGUGUGCAUAUUGCGCUGCCCACAUACUCCAGGAGGCUUCAUAUGUAUAUAUAUCCAGAACCUGUGUUUGGGUUUCCUGUAGGUCAGUGAAAAAAACACAUGUUUCGAGCACUCGAUAUGGACUAUGGACGUGUAUCCAAGCUGUUCGAUCAUGAAUUCGCAGGGAACAUGAACUAGUUUAACCUUGAAAUGGUCUUUUUCAGGAGUAUUAUUUUUGCAUAUAUGUUCCCCAGCCCUACUUACUGGGAUAGUACUUAGUAGUAAUUGUUGUUGCUUCGGGUGGUAAACGGUCAACGAUGAGUGGAACUCAGCAUGCUCCCAAAAGGCAAUACACUUACCUGAUAUCUUAUCACUUGUGAAAGUGUCCAUCCAAGCAAGCAGCAUAGUUGCAUAUUUUAUACUCGACAGAGUUAUCUGGCUGCUGCCUAACAUUGGAAUCUUCACUUUCCAUUUCUUCUAUUUUUCUAAUAGCACUUGGGGUAGAAUUUGCUUAAUUGCUGGAUUUGUUUUCUCACUUAUGGUCACAUUUUACUCUGUUAUAGCAACAUAUUGACCCAAAAAAAAAAAAAAGUACUUCAGUCUCGUAUAAGUUUGUUUUGUUUUAUUUUGCCAGAACUCGUAUAAUUUUGUUGUAUAAGGGGAAUGUGCUCUAAAUUUGCGUUGCUUUCCAAUAGAAAUGUUUCUUCUGAUUUGGCGAUUUUUCUUUAUAGAGAUUCUUGCCUUCAGUGUUUGGAAGUCAUGUGGAUCGUGCCCAUGCUGUGGAGCCAGCAAGAACUUUUUAUGCUGCUUACUAUACCAACAUCCUCCGCCUUCUUGAGGAACAGGGAAUCCCGUAUACCUAUGUGUCUUGUAACUUUCUAGCUGGUUGGCACAGUUCGACGUUGGCACAGCCCGGGGCUACAGCUCCCUCUAGAGAUAAAGUUGUCAUCUUAGGGGAUGGUAAUGCAAAAGGUAAGAAGCAAUUCGUUGAAAUACAUAUUCUGACUGCUCAGGAUUUUGCUGUACAAUUUUUAUGAUUUAAUUACGGGAGUGUUGAGAUUGAGAGCAGUUCCUCAAGCUUGAGAAUUUUGAGGCAACUCCCUAUCUAGAGAUGUCGGGCUUUUUACAUCCAUUAGUCUUGACUUCUGGAGACUAAUAAAUGAUACGAAAGUGAUGCUGGUUAUCUUGGCACAAUACCUAUUAAGAAGGUUAUCUCUAUGUAUCAGGUUGAGAAAAGAACAUAUGAAUGCAUUCAUCAGAUGAAUCUUUAUUUCAAGAGAGUUCUUUAAAUGUGAACCGAAAGUAACUCUAGGAAAAUCAAAGUUUUUGUGAUAUAUUUAUUAGCCAAAUACUAAAAUUCUCCCUGUCAAUAUACAGUGGUGUUUAACAGGGAGGAUGACAUCGGCACCUAUACCAUCAAAGCCAUGGAUGAUCCAAGGACCUUGAACAAAAUUCUGUACAUCAGACCUCUUGCCAACACCUACUCGAUGAAUGAUCUUGUGUCUUUGUGGGAGAGAAAGAUCGGCAAGACCCUGGAGAGAUUCUAUAUUCCAGAGGAGCAACUUCUGAAGCAAAUUCGAGGUCACAGAUGCGUUACUAUUAGAUUUAAGCACGUGGAAAUUGUCUCUAUUCUCUACUUGACAUCGAUUGGUCUAUUUGUCUGCUCAUAUUGCAGAUGCGAAAUCUCCGGACGAUCUGAGGUGGGCCAUAUCCCAUUCAAUUUUCGUGAAAGGAGACCAAACCAACUUCGAGAUUGAGCCAUCAUUUGGAGUGGAAGCUUCAGAGCUCUACCCCGAUGUCAAAUACACCACUGUGGAUGAGUACCUAGAUCAGUUUGUCUGAUUGUCGAAACUUACUGUGCUUGGGGACUUGAUUUCUCACAUCAGCUUGGAUACAGAAAUGAUAAUUGUAUACCGCUUCUUACGAACCUAGUGGGAAACGUUGCUCCCAUUGAUCAUCUCGUGGCACUGUACAACCUCCUAAUAUUAGGACGUACUAUGAAUACUGAUUAUGUGUUUCAUCUGUGCCGUGUGCUUUGAGAAGUUACUUCUGUUUUGGAGUUGCCGUGGGUUUAGGGCUAGCUUAUAUAUAAAAAAAAAAGAAAAAGACUGGGGCUAAGGGGCUGUCGUGCCAAAAGCCUAACCCAAAUUUGGGUCAAACCUAACUGACUUCUCAAUCCAUAGGAGACUUGGUUAGACAAGUCGAAACUACAGGGACUAAAUUAGAGAAUCGGCAAAAGUGAAUGAUGAAAAAGUAUAAUUUUCCUUUUCUAUUCUUACAACGGAGUAUAUAAAGCCAAACCAAAGUUGAUGCUCAUUUUUCUGAAAUCAAAUAUUUUAUAUGUCUUCGAAGAUUUCCUCGGAAUUGAGAUGAGGUUUACUUGGCAGAUUACUUGUUAAAGUCAGCAAAGAUGAUAUUUCUGUUACCAGUUGAUGAAGGGUGAGAGAAUAGCAAGUUAAAACCGAUCGAUGAACAAAUCUCACGAUGUAGGAUUAUCCUUGAUGCUAUAAGGACUGUUAUAGACUUAAUAAUGUUAUGGGCGUGGAAUGAGCAAGAAGAAGAGAGGCGUGCACGAUGAAUCUGGACACCUCGCGAACCAAAUUCUUUACCAGAGUCGGCGCGGACUCGUGUCCUUUUCUAAACAAGAAAGCCUGAAAAGGCGGUGUCUACAUAGUACCAUGUUAACUUCACAAAUUAGGUAAAAUGCAAUUUUAAAUUUUGAAUGGAUGAUCUAAGCAUAAAGUCUUUUCCAUUUAAUGAUAAAGAGACCAUCUUAUAAUUUGCUUAAUUUAUUUAUAUCGAGCUCACUCUUUUAUGAAGGAAUUAAUCUAACAAGGUAAGUUUCCUUUUUUCAAAAAUUCGUGAAUUUGAAAACAUAGAAUUCUUAUGUUACCCAAAAUAAUAAAAAGAGUAAUCUCAUAAUCAAUGCAAUACGUCAAGAUACCAUGCAAGCACAUGCACGUCAAGUACCUCGUUGCCCUUUAAUGAUAAAGAGACCAUCUUAUAAUUUGCUUAAUUUAUUUAUAUCGAGCUCACUCUUUUAUGAAGAAUUAAUCUAACAAGGUAAGUUUCCUUUUUUCAAAAAUUCGUGAAUUUGAAAACAUAGAAAUCUUAUGUUACCCAAAAUAAUUAAAAAAGUAAUCUCAUAAUCAAUGUAAUACGUCAAGAUACCAUGCAAGCACAUGCACGUCGAGUACCUCGUUGCUUUCCAACCCUACUCACUUCUCUUUCGUAUGAUAAAAAAACGGUUCCAACUUCUUCCUUAAUAUUUGCAUGACAAAUCAUUGUACGUUACAAUAGUCUAACAUUGAUCGAGAAACACAAUCACAAUAUUAAAAUUAAUUAGAAUCUCCAACGUUCAAAAUUAGGAUUACUUAAAUCUAGCACAAUCCAAACUUAAAUGUAGAUUUUCUUAUUUUUAGCGAGUUGAGUUUUCUUAAUUCACAAUAAUUCAAAUCGUCUCCCCUCGAACAAGACAAACCUUCUAGUAAAGUUCCUUCUGUUUCUAUUCGUCCACUUUGCAUGUCCUUCUGUCCCACCUAAUGAUAAGGUCAAGAAAAAUCAAGUGGCUGAAAAGACAAUGCAUUAAAGAGACAAUCCAUUGAAAAGACAAUUGUGCCAUUCCAGAACCAAAAUAAAUAAAAUUAACAUUAUAAAAAAUCUAAAUUGAUACACAUUAAAUAAAUUUACUCCAAAUUAAUAUAUUUGUGAUAAAUUUAUCUUAAUAUCAAAUUACUAAAUUGAGUGAUAUAUGAUAAUUGACAGCUUUGGAUUUUACUCUCCAUUUUUUAUAAUUAUAUAAUUUUCAUGAUUUUUUGUGAUAUUAAUAUAAUUUAAUGGAUUGUAUGGUUUAGGGUUUUUGACGGUUGAAUAAAUUAAUUCUGGUUAAAUUUAUUAUAAGUAUAUUAUUUGAGAUUUUUUGUGGCUAAAAAAUUAAUUUGAAAUAAAUUUAUUAUAUAUUUAUUAAUUUAGGAUUUUUCAAAGUAUUAAUUCAAAUAAAUAUGAAUUAAUACUCGCAAAAAAAGUGUAUGUAUUAAAAAGGGGUCAACCUUUGUUUCCUACAUCUGGCUCUGCUUCGAGGAACCGAAGGGUCGCAUGCCGUUAAAUCUUGCUUGUCGUUCCGAGAAAUGUCUUUAGCAGUGGAAAUGGAGUUGAUUUUCGUCUUGAUCUCUCGCUCAAUCGAGCUGAUUGGAGUCCUGUUGCAAUUCGGCGUCGCUCCUUCUCUUUUCUGAUGUUUUUUUUUUGUAUAUUGGUGAAAUUAUACGCUGCCUGAUGAAUCAUUUCAGCUUCGCAUGUUGAUUCGAACAAGCACAUUUUCAGACAAUCAUUAUAGAAACUCCCGUAUGCCUUAGCUGUUUCCGAGACAGCCAUAGCUAUGUAGCUGCACUGACCUGUUGUUCAGAUGACUGCCGAUUUUAUUGAAUGUUUAUCCAUGCUCUUGCUCAUUUGAUUCUCAUGUAAACGAAAAUGAUUCAGAGACUAUUGAUUGUGAUUAAGCAAGUUGAUAUAGUAAUCUCUAGUGUCGGCAUAGCUCUAUAAAUCCAAUACAAGAUUGUUACUGCCAUUAAAGUAGCUGGAAAUAUAAAGGUGGUGUUGUUUUCAAUAAUUUUGUCCUCAUAAUCAUAAUCAUCGCUUGUUUAGCAUUCAACUGAUGAUACAAGUUGCAUUAGCUUAAUUAUUUACUUCUAGGACGCUUUGACUUAUUUAUCUGUAGACUAAACCUCUUUUUUUCUAUCAUGACUUUGUGUAGAAAUUAUCAAUGAAAUCAGAGGAUGACUAUUGCACAUCUAAGUAUAGCACAAUGUGGAUAACCAUUUCAAAUCCACACCAUUGCUUUUUGACAUGUUCAAUUGGGUAGGAAAUUCUGUCAUCAAGGAUGCACAAUGUACUAUAUGCAUAAAUACUCGUAUGGACAAGCAAAUCAAAAAAAAAAAAAUAGUCAAAAAGAAAAAGAAUAAAUCGGAUACCAAAUUUUUGUGGUUCAAUUUGAAUAUCAAAACUUACGUUUACGUGAAAAGUAGUACAAAAUUUCACUAUAAAAAUAAGUAAAAUAACAAAUAUUUCAAUUACUCAAGUACUCAAAUAUUCUCUCUCAAUAUUUUUUAACUCUUAAUUAGACUUAAUAACUCAUAUAAUAUUUAGCUCUUCAUAAUUACUGAUGAAAUUUCACUUAAAGAAUCAAAUAAAUUCUGCUAAUAACGAUUUAACUCGGCUUCAACACUCCGGGUCUCUUCAAAUCUUAUUUGCGGGGAAGAAAUGGGGAUGUAAUAGAAUAAUACUCCACCCUCGGCCACCAAAAAGCUGUCGACCUCUCUCCUCCCUAGCCAUCAAGGACUUUUCGUACCUCAACCCGAAUUAGCUCCUCUUCUAUAGCCAAGAGAAGUUUCUCAUCAUUUAAUUUAGCAUGAGAAAGUCUUCUGGACAUGUACUGAGGAAAUGAUUACCUCUGACUUACUUUUCUUUCCUUUCUUUCAUUUUUACGUUCACAUAGCCUUAGACUAAGAAGACAAAAGGGUAAGGAAAAAGAGACGAACAAAGGCCACGUUCCAUUAUCUUCUUCAAAUGCUCCAGCACCUAACCUGUCAGAUCUUCCAUGCGUGACAACACGAAAGUCUUCCUCCUGCACCUCUUCAUUUAAUGAGGCGUGUAAGAAUCCCAAAGUGUCGGGCGCCAUUCAUUUCUUCCACGUGCAGCGGCCACAAGAGGAAAAACAAACAUGUCCGCUUGCUGAUUUAUUCAUCGUCGAGAGGCGCGCGCAGAGAAAUUAAUGCACGAACAAAAGAAGUCAAGAGACAAAGCUUGGACGUUCAUUAGAGUUUGGAUUUCGUGGUCCGCAUCCAGGAGGCUUUAUUUAUCCAGAACCUCUGUGUUUGGAUUUCCUAUAAGGUCAGCCUACAGAAUAAGAAGUUCUGAGCGCUCAGUAUGUACUAUGGACAUGUAGCCCAGCUCUUCGAUCAUGAAUUCGCGGGAAACAUGAACUAGUUUAUUCUUGAAAUGGUCUUUUUCAGGUGUAUUAUUGUCGCAUAUAUGUUAGUACGUUACCCAAUCCCUCUAGUGGGAUGUUGACCAUCGAUCGAUAUUUUUAUACUUGCAUAUGUUAUACUUUGACAGAGUGCCCAAGCAAGCAGCAUGUCUGCAUUUUUAUCCUUGACAAAGUGAUCUGGUUGCUACCCUAACAUUUGAAUCUUCACUUUCCAUUUCUUCAAAUAUCCUAACAUUUGAAUCUUCAGUUUCAAAAAUUUAGUGGAAUCGAUGAGUUCUAAGCAUGGAAUCGCUCGCCCACUCACUCGGACUGAACCGGUAUAUAUAUAUAUAUAAAAUCAAUUUUAAUUACUUAAUUAUUUUGUAGUUUUUCGACCACAUAUAUAUAUAUAUAUAUAUAUAUAUAUAUGUUUGGUUAUUGGAUAUUAUUGACUAAUUUAUAGGAUUAACCCCAUCUUUUUUUUUCAUUUAUUUACUUGUUUUUUCAACCAAAACAAAAUAAAUAAGUAUAGAGGAAUGAGAGAAUCGAUUAGAGAUGUCCAUAAGAGCCAACCGCUCGUUUUAAGAGUAUAAUUAGGUCUCUCUUUAGCAUCCCAUGAUUUAAUUAGGUUGAUGUUGAAAAAACGACGAAUCAAGAGACUAAUGUUUUAACUUCUGUGAAGGUUAGGAUUUUUAACAUGAAGUAUAAUUCUCCACUUGUUUCCGGUGUUCGAAAAUCUUAAGAGGAGUAAAUCAUGAAUUUCGAAGAAAUUAAGUUUUUAGCUGAUGAAUAUCGUCUAUUUGUUUUGCUUUAUAGUUUUCAAUUCUUAAUCAAAAUUAAAGACUUGCAAUUCAACUCGAAUAUAAGGUCAAACAAGCUUUGUAGAGAUUGAUGAUAGAUUCCAUUGACCCACUAUAGAACCAGACUGGUCUAGCGAUCUAGUUUCUGGUUGGAUCCAUGGAGCCAAUGGGCGGGUCUUGAUUCCAAUUUUUCAGAAUCAGUCUUUAAUGGACGGUUUCCAAUUCUAAAGUGAGAAAUGUCCACCUCAACCAUGCUCACCCCUAUGUUGAAUUUGGGCAAAUUCCUCUCUAACCAAAUUCCCAUCUCCAAGCCUAACCAUUUAUUUAUAGUGGUGUGACUACAUGAACCAUUUCAUGGCACUGUACAACCUCCAAAUAUUAGGACAUACUAUGAAUACGGAAUAUGUGCUCGUCUAUGCUGUGUGCUUGGGUAGGUUACUUCUGUGUUGGAGUUGCAAUGGGUUUCUGGGCCAGCUAAUAGAAAAAAGAGACGGGGGUUUAUGGUGUCGUGCCAAAUUCCUAACCCAACUGACUUCUCAGCCCAUAAAAAAUUGAUUAGACAAAUUAAAAAUACAGGGACUAAAUUAGAGAAGCAGUUUAAAUAGAGGGGUGAAAGAUAUAAUUUUCCUAUUUUAUUAACGCAGCGGAGCGUAUAAAACCAGGCCACAAUUGUUGAGCAUUUGAAAAUAUUCCUGCCAUUUGCAACGUGCAAGGUCGUAAUUCGUACAUGCUGUAAGGUUAUGGUGAAAUCAAUUACUUUAUAUGUCCUCGAAAAUCUCCUCAUAAUUGACACUCGAGGUUUUUCUUUUUAGGUUGGAUUUGAAACUUGAGGUCCACUUAGCCUACCAUCUUUUGAUGACAGCAAAGGUGAAAUUUCUGUUGCCAGAUAAUUAAGGUAAACUGAAUUUGCUAACGUUUCAAGGACUAUUUAAGGCGUCGAACGAAUAAGAAGGCAAAAUGGCAAUUGCACGAUGAAUCUGGACAAACUCCUCUGGAACCAAAUUCCUACCUCCAAGCCUGACCGUUUGUGGGUAGUGGUGUGAAUCAAUUCGUACUCUUACCACGACAGUGCGAGCGAACUCUUGUAUCCUUUCCUUAACGAGAAAGUUGGGAAAAUAACCAAAAAAUUCAAAAAUUAUUGUAUCCGGGCAAGUUUAAAUCUAAGUCUUUUGAGGUGACCAAUUCAUUUCUAAACAUUUUUCAUAUUUUUCAAUUCAAUCAUUUUGUCUGGAAAAAUCUAACGUGUGUGUGGCUUACAUGAAAUUUUAAAAAUAAAGCGGUGUCAUUUCUUUAAAGGUAAAAACUCCACUUUACCUGAGAAACACCGUUGCUUCCCUUCAUCAACCACCGUCCCAAUUUGGCCACAAUCACAAACCACAAAAUUGGGAAGAACCCUAAUUGCUCUUAGCUUUUCUCCAGGCAAAUUAAAAUCAAUUAUUUUUUUGAAAAUAAUUUUGAUUAAAUUAUCUUCUUUUAUCACAAAAUUUUCAAAAAAAAAAACAUACGCAAUAUAGAUACAAGACAAUUUCAAAUUCAAUUGGAUGAUAUGAACAUAAUAUGUUUUUAAUUUAGUGAUAGUAUUAUCUAAUAGGCUCAAACUUUCAUUAAUGAAUCAAUCUAAUAAGGUUGCUCUGUUUCUUUCAAGAACGUUGGAAUUAAAAAUAUAAUUAAUCUCGUGAUCAACCCUCCCCGGAAAAAGAAUUCAGUGCACCUCCAAAGUCAAACUGAUGCUGUAGUCACCAUGAAACUCCAUGAAAUCAUGCAAGCACAUGCGUGGUGAGUAGCUCAUUGCCCUCUCAUGCCAUUUCUACUCGUUUUUUCAUAUGAUAAACUGAACCUAAAAGGUAUCCAAACCUCUAAUUCCCUUUGAGGAGGUGACAGGGUGGUAGAGAGAGAGAGAGAGAGAGAGAGAGUAAGAGUAGAGCAAAGAGGAGUCGUGAACUUGAAGAGAGAAUAAACGGAGAAGCAACGAAGACGAGAGGAAGGAGUAGAAAUUUUGAAAUUUCUGACUAAUGGGAUUGCUACAUGUCGAUUUUUGAAUGGUUUAUCGUAAACCUUAUGUGACAUGUCCAACUUUCCUAAUAUCUUCUCAGAAAUCAAGUGCUCCAUUUGGCUUAAACGGCAUGUAAGACACGAUUGCAUUAAAUGUGUAUAUAUUACAAGUGGAGACUUGAGCAAGUCUUUGAACUGCUCCCCUCAAGCCCAUGUGAGAGAACCUCCCCCAGGGACAAGUCUCAGGAGGGGGCGUGAAAUACUGGGGGUCUGUCGGAGUCAACCAUAAACCAUAAACCCGGUAAUGAUAAACCGCAGGGGGGACUAACAGGGGUUUACCCACCCCACCCCCUGGCUUUUCCCAAUAUAUUCUCAGAAAUCAAGUGCUCCAUUUGGCUUAAACGGUAUGUAAGACACGAAUGCAUUAAAUGUGUAUAUAUUACAAGUGGACAAAGAGGACAGAGAGUCCUUUUAAUUUAGUGCUUUCUGCGGCUGAAGCAAAAGAAGUCAUCAGAGAGUUAAUGAAGGGGACAAAAGAAGCCCAUACCUUCUCUAAUACUCGGCAAUUAUCAUUACUUAAAUUUAUAGCACCAUCAAAAUUAAAAUUUCCAUUUUUUUGGUAAGUUAAGCCUAUCUUAUUUUACAAGAAAUAAAUCAUCAUUGAAACUACAUAAAAUCGUCAUCUUCAAUUUAUUUUCCCACUAUCUAUGUACCUUUUUUUUGGGUGAAAAGCGACAUUAGAAAUGAUCCAUAAACUUUACAAUAUAAUCUUUUAAUUUUUAAUUUGUUCGAUGUAAUUUCUAAAUUUCAACAAAAUGUGUCAUAUGAUUCAUGAAUUCUUAAUAUAUAUUCAACUUAAUCCAUUAAUCAUAUGAAAAUAUUUAACAAUAUCCUUCUAUUGAGUUAAGUUUAAUGACAAUAUUGAAUAUUUUUAUAUAAUUUAAAAAUUAAGUUAAACACGUGUCAAAAGUUCAUAAAUCAUAUUGAACAAAUUAAAAAUUCGGGUAUCACAUUGCUCAUUAGAUUAAAAUUUAGGGGUUAUAUCAAAUAAAUUAAAAAUUUAUGGACCACAUUGCAAGUCAGGAUGAGGUUAUGGAAUUACUUAUGUCAUUAAGAAUUAUUUCAAUUAAAGGACCAUUAUGCCCUUCUUGAAACAAAAGCCAAAUAACGCUCCGUCACUUGAAGACAAGAUUCCCGCUUUCUCUCUCUCUCGAUCGACAGUUACUGCACAGUCAGUUCAGAGGCCGAUCGAGUUCGCCGGAAAAAACAACCACGCCUCCGCCGGGAAAACUCUCCGAUGGCCGAGAAGAGCAGGGUCCUGGUCAUCGGAGGCACUGGGUCCAUCGGAAAGUUCAUCGUGGAGGCGAGCGCUAAGUCCGGUCGCCCUACCUUCGCUCUCGUGAGGGAGUCCACCCUCUCCGACCCCGCCAAGGCCGACAUCGUCGAGGGUUUCAAGAGCUUAGGCGUGAAUUUAGUCCGGGUGAGUAGUUAUUAGCGUGCGAUCUGUGUUCAUUGCCCCACCUUUGUGGUUCUGCUUCGACGAAUCGAAGCGUCACUUGUCGCUAAUCUGGUUCGCCGUUCGGAGAAAAUGUCUUUAGCAGUAGAAUCGGAGUCGAUUUUUAUCUCAAUCUCUCCCAAGAUCGUUAGGCAACGUAUGGUCGAGCAUAGUAACUUCUUGUUGUUUUAUUUCUUGCAAUACUUCCUUUCGUCUGAUGAAGGUAUUGAAGGAUUUAUCUGCAUCGGAAUAUGUAUUUCUCCUUUUCUUAGUCUUCCUACUGGCCAAAAUAGGAUUUUUUUUUUUUUAAUUGCUGACUUUAUUGAUUGCUUGUUGAGGCUCUUGGUGAUUUGAUUCUCAGGGAGACAUAUACGAUCAAGAGAGUUUGCUGAAUGCAAUUAAGCAGGUUGAUGUGGUAAUCUCUGCUGUGGGGCAAGCACAAACGGAGGACCAAGACCGGAUUGUUGCUGCCAUCAAAGCAGCCGGGAAUAUCAAGGUCGUGCUGUGCCUAGUCAUUUCCAUUUCAAGCUACUGAGUCCGUUUACUGCUUGACUGAUGAUAUAGGUUGGCGUUAGCAUGAUUCUUUUCUUACUGGUUUAGGUGCAUUGCGAUCUCCUUGCGAGCUUCGCUUUGAUGAAAUGGGACGGAUUGACUCAUUUAUCUGCCGAAUUCACUUCUUUCUUUCUCUAAAUGGUCAUGACUUUGUAUAGGACAGCGUGAGCUGCUAAGUGGGCUACUCUAAAUCCACAUUAUUGCUUUUUAAUGGAUUCAAUUGGGUAGGAAAUUCUGUCAUUGUGGAUGCACAGUGCACCAUCUACAUGAAUUUGUGCAUAUUCGUAUGUAUUUACUCGGAGAUUUACAUCUUUACACAACCAAAAAGGUACUUUGACACCAAACUCAUGCCUGAUAUUGGGCUACCCACAUACUCCAGUGGCUGAUGGCUUUAUUUAUCCAGAACCUGUGUGGUUAGGUUUCCUCUAGGUCAGCAAAAAAAGUAGAAGGUUUCUAGCACUCAAUUUGGAUUAUGGUCAUCUACCCAGCUCUUUGAUCAUGAAUGGAAAACAGCAACUACUUAAUCCUUUAAAUCGUCUUUUUCAGUAGUAUUAUUAUUGUAGCAAAUAAGUUACCAAAACCCAGUUAGUGGAUAGUUUAGCAGUUGUUGCUUUGGCAGGUUGACGGUUGGUAAUGAGUGGAGCUCAACAUGCUCACAUAAGGCAAUGGACUUAUCUGAUAUUUUAUUUCUUGUGGAAGUGUCUAAGCAAGCUGUAUCUUUGCAUACUUGACAGAGUUUUCUGGCUAUUGCCCUGACAAGUAAAUCAUCACUUUUGUUUUUCUUCUACUUUUCCAAGAUCUCUUAAUUGCUUGUGUUGAUUCACUUACGAUCAUUUUUACCCUGUUAUAGUCACAUCUUGAAAAAAAGGAAAAAAAAGCGAAAUUCAGUCCCAUGUAAGUUUGUUUUUUUUUGUCAGAACUCAUGUGGGUUUGUUGGAUGAGGGGAAUAUACUCUAGUAUUGUUGCUUUCUAAUAAAAAAAAAAUUUCUUAUUUAAUUAAUUUUCUUUUUAGAGAUUCUUGCCUUCAGAGUUUGGAAAUGAUGUGGAUCGUGUCCAUGCUGUGGAGCCAGUAAAAACUGGAUUUGCUCUCAAGGCCAAGAUCCGCCGCCUCGUUGAGGCCGAGGGAAUCCCUUAUACCUAUGUGUCUUCUAACUCUUUUGCAGGUUACUACCUUCAAACAUUGUCACAGCCCGGGGCUACAGCUCCCCCUAGAGAUAACGUUGUUAUCUUAGGGG
rnacentral:lncRNA from 1 species